rnacentral:lncRNA from 1 species
GAGUGGUCGGUGUAUUGCAUAGUUCUAGAGAUUGAAUUUCACUCAAAACCAAUGAAAUGACUCCCAUCACCAUAUUAUGAUGUGCCCCAAAUUUUGAACUUAAUCUGAUAUCGAUUGGCCCAAGAAAUUUGACAAGUCAGGUUCGUACGAAGUUCGUUCUGAAAUGGAGUGGUCGGUGUAUUGCAUAGUUCUAGAGAUCGGAUUUCACUCAAUACCAACCAAAUGACUCCUAUCCCCAUAUUAUGAUGUACCCCAAAUUUUGAACUCAAUCUGAUAUCAAUUGGCCCCAAAAAUUUGACAAUUCAGGUUCGUACGAAGUUUGUUCUGAAAUGGAGUGGUCGGUGUAUUGCACAGUUCUAGAUAUUGGAUUUCACUCAAAACCAACCAAAUGACUCCUAUCACCAUAUUAUGAUGUGCCCCAAAUUUUUAACUAAAUCUGAUAUCGAUUGGUCCAAGAAAUUGGACAAUUCAGGUUUGUAUGAAAUGGAGUGGUCGGUGUAUUCCAUUGUUCUAGAGAUUGGAUUUCUCUCAAAACCAACCAAGUGGCGCCUCCCACCCUAUUAUGAUGUUCUCCAAGUUUUGGACUCAAUCCGAUAUCGAUUGGUCCAAGAAAUUGGAUAAUUCAGGUUCAUACGAAGUUCGUUAUGAAAUGGAGUGGUCGGUGUAUUCCAUAGUUCUAGAGAUUGGAUUUCACUCAAAACCAACAAAACGACUCCUCCCACCAUAUUAUGAUGUUCCCCAAGUUUUGGACUCAAUCCGAUAUCGAUUGGUCCAAGAAAUUGGACAAUUCAGGUUCGUACGAUUUUUGUUCUGAAAUGGAGUGGUUGUUGUGUUGUAUUGUAUAGUUUUAGAAAUUGGAUUUCACUCAAAACUCACCAAAUGACUCCUCCCACCAUAUUAUGAUGUCCCUAAGUUUUGGACUCAAUCAGGUAUCGAUGGGUGCAUGAAAUUGAAUAAUUCAGGUUCAUACGAAGUUCGUUCUGAAAGGAAGUAGUUGGGGUAUUGCAUAGUUCUAGAGACACUACAAGAAAAACACCCUUUACUGAUGGCUAAAAAACGUCACUAUAGCCAUUAGAUGAUGGUUCCAAAAGUGUUAGCGACACCAUUGUCAGGAAAGGGUACCACCAUACUUGACACUUACUAUCCGUGAAGAAAUAGUGUUUUCUGACAGGUAAAAAGCGUUACGGAUUAAUAAAAACCGUCAACGAAGGCUUUUCUUGUCACUUAAUAAGCAUCAACAAAUAUAUUUCCUGACAUUUAAUAAAUCUUUCUUGACGGUUCUUAGCCGUCAAGAGUUGUACAACUGAAAUAAAAGAAAAAAAGGAGAGCUUCCUGGACAACUAAAGUUUCCCAGAAUUUAACAGCUAAAUGAAUAUAAUUAAAAAAUAUCAAGCUGAAAUUUAAUAUCCAUUAAAGUAGAAUAUUUUGAUACAAACAUUUAAAAAACUUCUAAUACAUGCUGAAAUAAACCAAGCUAUCUAGUACGAUAAAACAUAAAACUUCUAACUUAGGAGCUUGACUUUCCAUAACACUUGUCUUUGUAGUUUAAGCUUCCAUGAACGCAUCAAUCUGCCAAUAGAUAAGACAUGAAUUUUAAAGAGUUAAGAGAUAAAAUCAAUGAAAACAUCAAACUUGUCCAACACUAAUGGAGUCUCAUAUCAUGCAUAUAUUCAUUACCAGAUACAAAUGCCCACUUCCUUUGAUUCAAAUGCAGAGAAAGACUUGAAGCCAACUAUGCACAAAGUAUGAGCACACACAAUCACAUUUCCUUUUACUUUUUAAUUUUUUAAAAAAAUAUCACAUCUCCUCAAUUUAUCAAAUCUCUCUUUUACAGACCCCACUGUAUUCGUUAGAAGAGGAGAUCAAUCAAAUCUUUGAAGCUGAAACUUGCCAUAUAAAAUAACAGAUUAACCAAUUCCUACCCAAUCUGUGUUGUUUAGAAAGUUAUUUGGAAUUCUUUAAAUAGAGGAAACCAAAGUCUAAUCAAUGAGAAAAAUUAUUACCACAAUUAACAAAAAACAUAAAAUCCAAUUCCUUGACCUGUUUUCUUCAAGACUACCAUCUGACCAGCUAAUGUACUACUAGCACGUACCUGCAAAAUUAAAAAGCAACUCAAAAUAUUGCCCAAUUGAAUAUUAUAACAAUAACUGCUACAUAAAACCAAAUAUAUGUGUUGUUUAUCAUGCAUGAUUUCCAAAGAAAGCCUUUCAUACAAAAUCUUCAUAAAAGCAUCCAUUAAACCUCCGUAUCCAAAUAUAUAAACUUUUCUUGGCCUCUUGAAGUACUUGACAGUAGCAUUUGGGUCCAAAUAAUUGAACCUAAUAAUGAUAUCUAUAGAAACAAAACUGUACAUUUUGCAUCUUAAAGUCAAAAGCUUUGGAAUUAAAUAACAACAUCCCACUACAACAAGUGGCGAGACCAAAAAGAAAACAAAGAAUUUUAAUAAUUUUAAUUGUAUAUAGCAAACCAAAAUCCAAACCACCUAAAUAAGCUUCAAAUAAAUAAAUAAAAAAUGUACCAGUCUGCUGAAGGUUUGAGAUUAGAAUCGUGCUCUUGUUAUUCUGAUGACUCCACAUCUAUCUUCACCAUUCUCGUCCUUUAAAUCCAUAUACUCCUCAUAUCCCCCAAUAGCCAUAUUAAGAGAAAAUAAAUUUCAAUAUCCCUUUCUUCUACCUACAUGACCAGGUAGCCAUGCCUUAAGUAAAAUCCAUGUGUAUAAGAACAAGUUAAAAGGAAAAAUGAAAAUAAAAUAAAAUAAGGUUAUGUGGCCAGCUUAAGACAAACCUGAACUAGUAACAUUGGUGGCCCAAUAAUUCAAACUCAUACUAGGGCACCACAAUAUGUAUUUUGCAACAAAAGUCCAUGUUUUUUUUUAAAAAAAUUUAGUCUUUUCUUAGUCAACUUAGUGCUGAAAUCUCCUAUACCAGUACUUGAGCCAACAAUUUGGUCUCUCCUUUGUUUAAAGAAUCCAUUAUUGUUCUAACUCCCGAGCCACUUGUUUUCCACAAAUGACAGUAUUUAUUGUAAGAAAAAAAAAACAAAAACUCUGGUCAGCCUUUACUGAAAUAUAUAAAACGGAUCCAACUCUAAGAACAUAUAUAUACCAAUCUGGCAACAACAAAAAAAAAAGAAAAAAAAAAAGAAGAAAAUAAAUUCAUUUUGUACCUGUAUGUCAUUGUGAAAUUGUGAAUCCGAUUUUCAGCUACAUAAAGAAAACUACAUCAGCAAAAGCUACUAGUGUCAUCUAAUAUAUCAGCACAAUAACCAAUUUUCUCCUUCUCUGGACUGCCCUAACUCAAAGCAACAAUGCAUUACUGAUAUGACAUUAUCAUACCCACACAGGGUGUUUGGCCCGAAACACAUACAAACACAGAAAAAAAAGAGAAGAAAAAAGGAAUGUUACUGGAACUUACAGCAGUGCAAUUUUUCUCACAAGCCACUUUGUACCAAGGCUAAAUUUGAAGAGGUUUCCCCUGAUUUCCACUAACGCAUGCCUGAUUUUCGCAAACCUAGAAAAAUAUUGCAGAUUUGACUCUAUGGGCAACAAUCGAGACCUAAUUGGAAGUUUUUUGACCUAGAAAUACUGAGAGAUAGGAGCAAAGAACUUCUCGCUCUCGUUCGGCGUCAAGAUUUGAGAACCAUGUAUAAGGAAGAGAAAGACAGAGGUGAAGAGAAGAAGGGGAAAAUAAGAAAAUAAGGAAGAGAAAUAGGGUAGCACCAGAUCUGAAAAUGGAGAAGUCUAGUUGUGCAGAAAAGACGAGGAGGCAAUGGAAAGAGAGAGAGAGGAGAAAAGCUCAGAUCUAUGAACUUAGGAGAGAACACCCUACAGUUCGUGAAUUUAGGAAUGAAUUUUUUUAUUUUUUAUUUUGUUGGAAGGAAAGAUAUUUAAGAUACCAACUCAGCCACUAAGUCCGUCCAAAAAAAAAAAUAAUUAAAACAUUAUGCCGCUUAGUCAGAAUGGUUUUGUAGAAAACGUUAGGUUUUGUAGGAAACGUCAGGUUUUGUACAAAACGUCAAGUUUUAUAAAGGUCUAACUUGAUGGUUUUCUAAAAGCGUCAUGUACAUCUGGUCUUACUUGAUGGUGUUCAAUAAGCGUCAUGAUUAUGCCACAUAUAGUUGACGCAAUUUAAAAAGCGUCAAAACCAAGCAUUAUAGUUGAUGGUUUUUGCUAAAACGACACCAAUGAAGUGUCAACUAAUCAUGUUUUUAUUGUAGUGACAUUGAAUUUCAAUCAAAACAAACCAAAUGACUCUUCCCAAUAUAUUAUGAUGUUUCCCAAGUUUUUGACUCAAUCCGAUAUAGAUUGGGCAAUGAAAUUGAACAAUUCAGGUUCGUACUAAGUUCAUUCUAAAAUGGAGUGCAUAGUGUAUUGCAUAGUUCAGAGGUUGGAUUUCACUCAAAACCAACCAAAUGACUCCUCCCACCAUAUUAUGAUGUUCCCCAAGUUUUGGACUCAAUCCGAUAUCGAUUGGUCCAAGAAAUUUGACAAUUCAGGUUCGUACGAAGUUCAUUAUGAAAUGGAGUGGUCGGUGUAUUGCAUAGUUCUAGAGAUUUAAUUUCACUCAAAACCAACCAACUGACACCUCCCACCAUAUUAUCAUGUUCCUCAAAUUUUGAACUUAAUCUGAUAUCGAUUGGACCAAGAAAUUUGACAAUUCAGGUUCGUACGAAGUUCAUUCUGAAAUGGAGUGGUCGGUGCAUUGCAUAGUUCUAGAGAUUGGAUUUGACUCAAAACCAACCAACUGACUCCUCCCACCAUAUAAUGAUGUUCCCCAAAUUUUGAACUCAAUCUGAUAUCGAUUGGCUCAAGAAAUUUGACAAUUCAGGUUCGUAUGAAGUUCAUUAUUAAAUGGAUUGGUAGGUGUAUUGCAUAGUUUUAGAGAUUGAAUUUCACUCAAAACUCACCAAAUGACUCCUCCCACUAUAUUAUGAUGUUCCCCAAGUUUUGGACUCAAUUCGAUAUCGAUUGGGACAUGAAAUUGGACAAUUCAAGUUCGUACGAUGUUCGUUCUAAAAUGGAGUGGUUGGAGUAUUGCAUAGUUCAGAGGUUGGAUUUCACUCAAAACCAACCAAAUGACUCCUCCCACCAUAUUAUGAUGUUCCCCAAGUUUUGGACUCAAUCUGAUAUCAAAUUGGACUAUUCAGGUUUGUACGAAGUUCCUUCUGAAAUGGAGUGAUCGGUGUAUUCCAUAGUUCUAGGGAUUGGAUUUCACUCAAAACCGACAAAAUGAUUCCUCCCACCAUAUUAGGAUGUUCCCCAAAUUUUGAACUCAAUGUGAUAUCGAUUGGUCCAAGAAAUUUGACAAUUCAGGCUCGUACGAAGUUCGUUCUUAAAUGGAGUGGUCAAUGUAUUGCUUAUUUCUAGAGAUUGGAUUUCACUCAAAACCAACCAAAUGACUCCUAUCACCAUAUUAUGAUGUUCCCCAAAUUUUGAACUCAAUCUGAUAUCGAUUGGCCCAAAAAUUUCACAGUUCCGUUUUGUACACAGUUCGUUCUUAAAUGGAGUGGUCUAUGUAUUGCAUAGUUCUAGAGAUUGGGUUUCACUCAAAACCAACCAAAUGACUCCUCCCACCACAUUAUGAUGUUCUCCAAGUUUUGGACUCAAUCCGACAUCAAUUGGUCCAAGAAAUUUGACAAUUCAGGUUCGUACGAAGUUCGUUCUAAAAUGGAGUGGUCGGUGUAUUGCAUAGUUCUAGAGAUUGGAUUUCAAUCAAAACAAACCAAAUGACACCUCCCACCAAAUUAUGACGUUCCCCAAGUUUUGGACUCAAUCCGAUAUCGAUUGGGCCAUGAAAUUGGACAAUUCAAGUUUGUACGAUGUUCGUUCUACAAUGGAGUGGUUGGUGUAUUGCAUCGUUCAGAGGUUGGAUUUCACUCAAAACCAACCAAAUGACUUCUCCCAUCAUAUUAUGAUGUUCCCCAAGUUUUGGACUCAAUCCGAUAACGAAUUGGACUAUUCAGGUUCGUACGAAGUUCAUUAUGAAAUGGAGUGGUCGGUGUAUUGCAUAGUUCUAGAGAUUUGAUUUCACUCAAAACCAACCAAAUGACACCUCCCACCAUAUUAUAAUGUUCCUGAAAUUUUGAACUCAAUAUGAUAUCGAUUGGACCAAGAAAUUUGACAAUUCUGGUUCGUACGAAGUUCAUUCUGAAAUGCAGUGGUCGGUGUAUUGCAUAGUUCUAGAGAUUAUAUUUCACUCAAAACCAACCAAAUGACCCCUCCCACCAUAUUAUGAUGUUCCCCAAAUUUUGAACUCAAUUUGAUAUCGAUUGUCUCAAGAAAUUUGACAAUUCAGGUUCGUACAAAGUUCGUUCUUAAAUGGAUUGGUCGGUGUAUUGCAGAGUUUUAGAUAUUGAAUUUCACUCAAAACUCACCAAAUGACUCCUCCCACUACAUUAUGACGUUCCCCAAGUUUUGGACUUAAUCCGAUAUCAAUUGGUCCCAGAAAUUGGACAAUUCAGAUUCGCACGAUUUUUGUUCUCAAAGGGAGUGGUUAGUGUAUUGCAUAGUAUUAGAAAUUGGAUUUCACUCAAAACAAACCAAAUGACUCCUCCGACCAUAUUAUGAUGUGCCCCAAAUUUUGAACUUAAUCUGAUAUCGAUUGGCCCAAGAAAUUUGACAAUUCAGGUUCGUACGAAGUUCGUUCAGAAAUGGAGUGGUCGGUGUAUUGCAUAGUUCUAGAGAUUGGAUUUCAAUCAAAACAAACCAAAUGACACCUCCCACCACUUUAUGAUGUUCCCAAGGUUUUGGACACAAUCCGAUAUCGAUUGGGCCAUGAAAUUGGACAAUUCAAGUUCGUACGAUGUUCGUUCAAAAAUGGAGUGGUUGGUGUGUUGCAUAGUUCAGAGGUUGGAUUUCCCUCAAAACCAACCAAAUGACUCCUCCCACCAUAUUAUAAUGUUCCCCAACUUUUGGACUCAAUCCGAUAUCGAAUUGGAUUAUUCAGGUUCGUACGAAGUUCAUUCUGAAAUGGAGUGAUCGGUGUAUUCCAUAGUUCUAGGGAUUUGAUUUCACUGAAAACCAACCAAAUGUGUAAUGACCCAAACCUAAAAUUCAUAUUUAAUUAGUAAUUUAUUAUGCAGAAAGACAAUUUUGCCCUUGGAAUAAAUUAAGAACCCAAAGUUGACUUUUUGACCGAAAAGGAAUAUGACAAUUUCACAUACACCGUUGCGUAGAGCACGACGACACGAGUUCAUAGACACGAAGUGAGCUCGAAUCGGAGUUGUAAUGAAGAAAAUACGAUUAAAAUAUCACGAAGGGCAAAACGGUAAAUUGGAAAAACCAGAUUUUUGAUAAAACCUCAGCUUCUCUCUCCCUCUCUCUCCCUCUCCUGUUGCUUUCCUCAGCCGUCACCUUCCAAGCACCAUAACUCCCACCACCGACCACCUCUGCCCCUGCCGUCGGCGCCAAUAGAACCAGCUCGGUUCCGUCUUCAAGCCCCGACCACUCUCCGCUGCCAGCCGCCGCUGUAGUCGCUGGAUUCCAUCCAAAAACGAAUCGGUUUUGUCAAAACUUCAAACUGUUCGUUCUCCUUCAAUUCUCCUCCAAAUUUGUCUCGUAAGGUAUGGAUUUCUACCUAUUUUCCAUGCUCUAGCUGAUGGUUGGGUAGGUUUGCGUUGAUUUUCACCGUAGCUAGCUCAGUUUUCGAAUUGGGAAUUCGGCCGACUUUUGGCCUCCGUGUUCGGCCACUUCCGGUCAGUUUUUGAGGUUGGUCCAAGAACAAAAGUGGUUCCAAAUAUGGUGUUAUACCUAGGAUAGGAGUUUGGAGCCUUGGUUUUGAGAUUUUUAGGCGACGCGUAAUCGCUUUGGACACCCAUCGCUGCCGGUGCGUGCGGCGGCGCGUGGGCGAGGGUGGUACAGUGACACUGUGUUCUGAUGAGAUCCUUAGGUUGUCACGAGCGCAUAGGAAUUCGCGGAUCUCAAUUUGGAUACCGUUUGAGCCUCAAACGAAUUUUCCAUAUUGUGCGAUUAUCGGGUUCAAUACUGUUGAGCCGUUGGAUCGUAAUCAAUUUUAGAUAUGUUAUUCUAGAUAAUUUUAGAAACGUGUAGGAUUUGACGGAUUGUGAAUCGGAGUCCCGAAUACUCCGAAAUCGCGAACCCUAGGGCUAGGGUUUAGAAAUUAUGCGAUUACAGGAUUGUGAUCAAUCCGACCGUCCGAUCGACAUCAAUACCCUCGGGACAUGUGUCCUAGAUAUAUUCUUCGAGCGGCAUCCGGAUCAUAUUGUGAGGUCAUGGACCCGUGGGGUUCCGGAGUGACUUUUUGGACUUUAGCGCUUUUUGAGUCCCAAGAUAUCGCUAAACUAUCCCACGUGGAGGAAAGCUGUUAUGGGAAUAGGGAUCACUUUAAAUUGACGCACGUACUUUUAGGAGCCGGGGGUAGGGUUUUUAAUUUAAUACUAUAUUGUAUUAAUAGAAUAUUAUGGUCAUUGAAUCAGGCACCCAGGCACCAGUUGACCCGCAGGAGGGACCUUCAAGAGGUGCAGCGAGCUCGGACUAUCAGUGAGUGGACUCUUUGUUUUAAUAAAUGAAUUUAAGCAGUUCAGUUUUAGUUAUCAGCUGUUUUAUUCUGUUAAAUAUUUUAUGUUGCAUGCUGCCGAGUGACAUUUCCUUUAAAGAAUAUAGGAACAGAUAUUCUUGUUCAUUAUCAGAUAAAUGGCAGCAGAAUUUUAAAGGUUACAGAAAGUUAAUUAUUCAACAGAUUUCCUUCAGAAACUUUAUAUUUUCUUAAAUCAACUUGUACCCAGAUAUUAAAUGUUGCCUUCGGAUUAUAUUUGUUGCCUUCGGUUUGGUCAGCAUGCUUGACAGUUUCCCCACGUGUUCCUUGGUACUCGAACUCGUGUGGAGCGAGUAAUGCGGAUAAAGGUGGACUACGGUUCUCUGAAUCCUGCGAGUUGCGGCUCGGACUGACCUCAUGUCACUGAGACCUGCGAGUAUGUAUCACCCAUGGUGAUGCAAGGAAUUGACGGAGGAUUUGACGGAAAUAGGGUACACCUAGGAGAUGGUUUUCAACUGUUUUCAAAUGUAUUAUUAUAUACAUGCAUUGAUUUCAGAAAUAUAGAAAGUAAGCUAGUUUGUAUAACUGUUUUUACAGUGGGGUUAGUAUGUUCAUAUGGUAUUUUCUAAACUUUGGUUUUGGGUCCACUCACCCUUUUUGUUGUUUUGCGCCCCCAGGCAGUAGACGUGCACAUGAAUCCACCACUGGGCCACUUCCCAUCUUCUGCGGCUUUCUUUGAUGUAGGAUUUGUAUUUUGUACAAAGAUUCGCUUUUUUGUAAAUUCUUAGUAGUCGCUCUGAUGUUUUGCCCUAGACUGAGCUUUGAACUCUUGGCAUGUGUAUAUAUAUGUAUGCUGGCAGUUGGUUGUAUAUAUAUACUUGUUUUGACAGGUGUAAAGAUUUUGGUAUUGAGCCAGAUACAAGGGAAACUCUGCCGAUUUUUCGGUAGAAGUCAACCUUGUUAUUUUUAUCAAGUUUUGUAUAGAAGGGCAAAUACGUCAUUUGUGCCCGACAUUCGCCAGGUGUCGGACACGCACAGGGUCUGGCUCGGAUUCCAAAGUGGAAUUUGGAUCGGGUCCUGUCAAAAUGACUCCUCCCACCAUAUGAGGAUGUUCCUCAAAUUUUGAACUCAAUGCGAUAUCGAUUGGUCCAAGAAAUUUGACAAUUCAAGUUCGUACGAAGUUCGUUCUUAAAUGGAGUGGCCGGUGUAUUGGAUAGUUCUAGAGAUUGGAUUUCACUCAAAACCAACCACAUGACUCCUAUGACCAUAUUAUGAUGUUCCCCAAAUUUUGAACUCAAUCUGAUAUCGAUUGGCCCAAAAAUUUCACAGUUCCGUCUUGCACACAGUUCUUUCUUAAAUGGAGUGGUCUAUGUAUUGCAUAGUUCUAUAGAUUUGGUUUCACUGAAAACCAACCAAAUGACUCCUCCCAUCACAUUAUGAUGUUCUCCAAGUUUUGGACUCAAUCCGACAUCAAUUGGUCCAAGAAAUUUGACAAUUCAGGUUCGUACGACGUUCUAAAAUGGAGUGGUCGGUGUGUUGCUUAGUUCUAGAGAUUGGAUUUCAAUUAAAACAAACCAAAUAACACCUUCCACCACAUUAUGAUGUUCCCCAAGUUUUGGACUCACUCCGAUAUCGAUUGGGCCAUGAAAUUGGACAAUUCAAGUUCGUACGAUGUUCGUUCUAAAAUGGAGUGGUUGGUGUAUUGCAUAGUUCAGAGGUUGGAUUUCACUCAAAACCAAGCAAAUGACUCCUCCCACCAUAUUAUGAUGUUCCCCAAGUUUUGGACUCAAUCCGAUAAUGAAUUAGACUAUUCAGGUACGUACGAAGUUCAUUCUGAAAUGGAGUUGUCGGUGUAUUGCAUACUUCUAGGGAUUGGAUUUCACUCAAAACCAACCAAAUGACUCUGCCUACCUUAUUAGGAUGUUCCCCAAAUUUUGAAGUCAAUGUGAUAUCGAUUCGUUGAAGAAAUUUGACAUUUCAAGUUCGUACGAAGUUUGUUCUUAAAUGGAGUGGUUUGUGUAUUGCAUAGUUCAAGAGAUUGGAUUUCACUCAAAACCAACCAAUGACUCCUAUCACCAUAUGAUGAUGUUCCCCAAAUUCUGAACUCAAUCUGAUAUCGAUUGGGCCAAGAAAUUUGACAAUUCCGUUUUGUACAAAGUUCGUUCUCAAAUGGAGUGGUCUAUGUAUUGCAUAGUUCUAGAGAUUGGAUUUCACUCAAAACCAACCAAAUGACUCCUCCCACCACAUUAUGUUGUUCCCCAAGUUUGGAACUCAAUCCGACAUCAAUUGGUCAAAUAAAUUUGACAAGUCAGGUUCGUACGAAGUUCGUUCUGAAAUGGAGUGGCCGGUGUAUUGCAUAGUUCUAGAGAUUGGAUUUCACUCAAAACCAACCAAAUGACUCCCCCCACCCUAUUAUGAUGUUCCCCGAAGUUUUGGACGCAAUCCGAUAUCGAUUGGGCCCUGAAAUCGGACAAAUCAUGUUUGUACGAUUUUUGUUCUGAAAUGGAGUGGUUGGUGUAUGGCUAAGUUUUAGAAUUGGAUUUCACUCAAAACUCACCAAAUGACUCCUCCCACUAUAUUCUGAUGUUCCCCAAGUUUUGGACUCAAUCCAAUAUCAAUAGGUCCAAGAAAUUAGACUAUUCAGGUUCGUACGAAGUUUAUUCUGAAAUGGAGUAGUUGGUGUAUUGCAUAGUUCUAGGGAUUGGAUUUCACUCAAAACCAACCAAAUGACUCCUCCCACCACAUUAUGAUGUUCCCUAAGUUUUGGCCUCGAUCAGAUAUUGAUUGGUCCAUGAAAUUGGAUAAUUUAGAUUCAUACGAAGUUCAUUCUAAAAUGGUGUGGUUGGUGUAUUGGAUAGUUUAGAGGUUGGAUUUCACUAAAAACCAACCAAAUGACUCCUCCCACCACAUUAAGAUGUUCCCCAAAGUUUGGGCUUAUAUCGAUUUGUCCAACAAAAUGGACAAUUUCGGUUCGUACGAAGUUCGUUUUGAAAUGGAGUGGUUGGUGUAUUGCAUAGGUCCAGAGAUUGGAUUUCACUCAAAACCUACCAAAUGACUCCUCCCAUCGUACUAUGAUGUUCCCCAAGUGUUGGACUCAAUCUGAUAUCGAUUGGUCCAUGAAAUGGGACAAUUCUAGUUCGUACGAAGUUCAUUCUGAAAUGGAGUGGUUGGUGUGUUGCAUAGUUUUAGAUAUUGGAUUUCACAGAAAACUCACCAAAUGACUCCUCCCGCCAUAUUUUGACGUUCCCCAAGUUUUGGACUCAAAUCGAUAUCAAUUGGUCCAUGAAAUUGGCCAAUUCGGGUUCGUACGAAGUUCGUUCUGAAAUAGAGUGGUUGGUGUGUUGCAUAGUUCUGGAGAUUGAAUUUCACUCAAAACCUAACAAAUGCCUCCUCCCACCAUAUUAUGAUGUUCCCCAAGUUUUGGACUCAAUCCGAUAUCGAUUGGUCCACGAAAUUGUACAAUUCUGGUUCGUACGAAGUCCGUUCUGAAAUGUUGUGGUUGGUGUGUUGCAUACUUUUUAGAUUUUGGGUUUCCCUCAGAACUCACAAAAUGACUCCUCCCACCAUAUUAUGAUGUUCCCCAAGUUUUGGACUCAAUCCGAUAUCAAUUGGUCUAUGAAAUUGGCCAAUUCGGGUUCGUACGAAGUUCGUUCUGAAAUGGAGUGGUUGGUGUAUUGCAUAGUUCUAGAGAUUGGAUUUCACUCAUAACCUACCAAAUGACUCUUCCCAGCAUAUUAUGAGGUUCCCAAGUUUUGGGCUUAAUCCGAUAUAGAUUUGUCCAGGAAAAUGGACAGUUCCAGUUCGUACGAAGUUCGUUCUUAAAUGGAGUGGUUGGUGUAUUGCAUAGUUCUAGAGAUUGGAUUUCACUCAAAACCAACCAAAUGACCCCUCCCACCAUUUUAUGAUGUUCCCCAAGUUUUGGGCUCAAUCCGAUAUAGAUUUGUCCAAGAAAAUGGACAAUUCCGGUUCGUACGAAGUUCGUUCUAAAAUGGAGUGGUUGGUGUAUUGCGUAGUUUUAGGGAUUGGAUUUCACUCAACACUCACCAAAUGACUCCUCCCACCAUAUUAUGAUGUUCCCCAAGUUUUGGACUCAAUCCGAUAUCGAUUGGUCAAUGAAAUUGGACAAUUCACGUUCGUACGAAGCAGACAUUGGAUUUUACUCAAAAAAAACCAAAUGACUCCACCCACCAAAUUAUGAUUUUCCCCAACUUUUGGACUCAAUCCGAUAUCGAUUGGUCGAUUAAAUUGGACAAUUCAGGUUCGUAUGAAGUUUGUUCUAAAAUGGAGUGGUUAGUCAUUUGCAUAGUUUUAGAGAAUGGAUUUCACAUAAAAAGCACCAAAUGACUCCUCCCACCACAUUUUGACGUUCCCCAAGUUUUAGACUCAAUCCGAUUUCGAUUGGUCCCUGAAAUUGAGCAAUUCAGGUUCGUACGAAGUUCAUUUUGAAAAGGAAUGGUCGGUGGUUUGCGUAGUUUUACGGAUUGGAUUUCACCCAAACCUACCAAAUGACUCCUCCCACCGAAUUAUGAAGUUCCCCAAGUUUUGGUCUCAAUCCGAUAUCGAUUGGUCUACGAAAUUGGAAAAUUCAGGUUGGUACGAAGUUCGCUCUGAAAUGGUGUGGUUGGUGUGUUGCGUACUUUUAGAGAUUGGAUUUCACUCAAAACUGACCAAAUGACUCCUCCCACCAUAUUAUGAUGUUCCCCAAAUUUUGGGCUCAAUCCGAUCUCGAUUGGUCCCUGAAAUUGGACAAUUCAGGUUCGUACGAAGUUCGUUCUGAAAUGGAGUGGUUGGUGUAUUGCAUAGUUCUAGAGAUCGGGUUUCACUCAAAACCAACCUAAUGACUCCUCCCACCAUAUUAUGAUGUUCCCCAAUUUUGGGAGUCAAUCCGAUAUCGAUUGGUCCAUGAAAUUGGACAAUUUAGGUUCGUACGGAGUUCAUUAUGAAAUGGAGUUGUUUGUGUUUUGCAUAGUUUUAGAGAUUGGAUUUCACUCUAAAGUCACCAAAUGACUCCUCCCACCAUAUUAUUCUGUCCCCCAAUUUCUGGACUCAAUCCGAUAUCGAUUGGUCCAUGAAAUUAGACAAUUCAGGUUCGUACGAAGUUCGCUCCGAAAUUGUGUGGUCGGUUUAUGGCAUAGUUUUAGGGAUUGGAUUUCAAUCAAAACCCCCCGAAUGACUCCUCCCACCAUAUUAUGGUGUUCCCCAAUUUUGAGACUUAAUCCGAUAUCAUUUGGUCCAUGAAAUAGAACAAUUCAGUUUCGUACAAAGUUCAUUAUGAAAUGGAGUGGUUAGUGUUUUGCAUAGCUUUAGAGAUUGGAUUUCACUCAAAACCCACCAAAUGACUCCUCCCACCAUAUUAUGAUGUUCCCCAACUUUUGGGCACAAUCUGAUAUCAAUUGGUCCCUGAAAUUGGACAAUUCAGGUUUGUACGAAGUUCGUUCUAAAAUGGAGUGGUUGGUGGACUGUAUAGUUCUUGAGAUUGGAUUUCACUCGUAACCGAACAAAUGACUCCCACCAUAUUAUGAUGUUCCCCAAGUUUUGGACUCAAUCCGAUAUCGAUUGGUCCAUGAAAUUGGACAAUUCAUGUUCGUACGAAGUUCGUUAUGAAAUGGAGUGGUUUGUGUUUUGCAUAGUUUUAGAUAUUGGGUUUCAAUCCAAAGUCACUAAAUGACUACUCCCACCAGAUUAUGAUGUUCCACAAGUUUUGGGCACAAUCCGAUAUCGAUUGGUCCCUGAAAUUGGACAAUUCAGGUUCGUACAAAGUUCGUUCUGAAAUGGAGUGGUUGGUGUACUACAUAGUUCUUGAGAUUGGAUUUCACUCAUAACCUAACAAAUGACUCCCAACACAUUAUGAUGUUGCCCAAGUUUUAGACUCAAUUCGAUAUCGAUUGGCCCCUGAAAUUGGACAAUUCAGGUUCGUACGAAAUUCCUUAUGAAAUGGAGUUGUUGGUGUUUUGCAUAAUUCUAGAGAUUGGAUCUCACUCCAAAGUCACCAAAUGACCCCUCCCACCAUAUUAUGAUGUUCCCCAAGUUUUGGACUCAAUCCGAUAUUGACUGGUCCAUGAAAUUGAACAAUAAAGGUUCGUACGAAGUUCGUAUUGAAAUGGAGUGGUUGGUGUGUUGCAUAGUUUUAGAGAUUGGAUUUCACUCGAAACCCACCAAAUGACUCCUCCCAUCAUAUUAUGGUGUUCCCCAAGUUUUGUACUGAAUCCGAUAUCGAUUGGUAAAUGAAAUUGGACAAUCUAGGUUCUUACGAAGUUCGUUCUGAAAUGGGGUGGUGUGUGUAUUGCAUAGUUCUCGAGAGUGGAUUUCUCUCCAAAGUCAGCAAAUGACACCUCCCACCAUAUUAUGAAGUUCCCCAAGUUUUGGACACAAUCCAAUAUCGAUUGGUAAAUGAAAUUGGACAAUUCAAGUUCGUGCGAUGUUCAUUCUGAAAUGGAGUGGUUGGUGCAUUGCAUAGUUCUAGAGAUUGAAUUUCACCCCAAACCCACCAAAUGACACCUCCCACUAUUUUAUGAUGUUCCCCAAGUUUUGGACACAAUCUGAUAUCGAUUGGUAAAUGAAAUUGGACAAUUCAGGUUCGUACGAAGUUCGUUCUGCAAUGGAGUGGUUGGUGUAUGGCACAGUUCUAGGGAUUGGAUUUCACUCCAAAGUCACCAAGUGAAUCCUCCCACCAUAUUAUGAUGCUCCACAAUUUUGGGACUCAAUCCGAUAUCGAUUGGUCCAUGAAAUUGGACAAUUAAGGUUCCCACGAAGUUCGUUCUGAAAUGGAGUGGUUGGUGUUUUGCACAGUAUUAGGGAUUGGAUUUCACUUAAGAAGUACCAAAUGCCUCCACCCACACUAUUAUGGAGUUCUCCAAGUUUUGGACUCAAUCCGAUAUUGAUUGGUCCAUGAAAUUGGACAAUUCAGGUUGGUAUGAACUUCGUUCAGAAAUGGAGUGGUCUGAGUAUUGCAUAGUUCUAGAGAUUGGAUUUCACUCCAAAGUCACCAAAUGACUCCUCCCACCAUAUGAUGAUGUUCCCCAAUUUUGGGACUCAAUCCGAUAUCGAUUGGUCCAUGGAAUUAGACAAUUCAGGUUCGUACGAAGUUUGUUCUGAAAUGGAAUGGUUGGUGGUUUGCAUAGUUUUAGAGAUUGCACUUCACUCAAAAAGUACCAAAUGAUUCCUGCAACCAUAUUAUUGAGUUCACCAUAUUUUGGACUCAAUCCGAUAUCGAUUGAUCCAUGAAAUUGGACAAUUCAAGUUCGUACGAAGUUCGCUCAGAAAUGGAGUGGUUGGUGUAUUACAUAGUUCUAGAGAGUGGAUUUCUCUCCAAAGUCACCAAAUGACACCUCCCACCAUAUUAUGAUGUUCCCCAAGUUUUGGACUCAAUCCGAUAUUGAUUGGUAAACGAAAUUCGACAAUUCAAGUUCGUGCCACGUUUGUUCUGAAAUGGAGUGGUUGGUGUAUUGCAUAGUUCUAGAAUUGAAUUUCAGUCCAAAGUCACCAAACGACUCCUCCCACCAUAUUAUGAUGUUCCCCAAUUUUGGGACUCAAUCCGAUAUCGAUUGGUCCAAGAAUUUGGACAAUUCAGGUUCGUACGAUAUUCGUUCUGAAAUGGAGUGGUUGGUGUUUUGCAUAGUUUUAGAGAUUGGAUUUCACUCAAAACUCAACAAAUUACACCUCCCACCAUAUUGUUAUGUUCCCCAAGUUUUGGACCCAAUCUGAUAUCAAUUGGAAAAUGAAAUUGGACAAUUCAGGUUCGUACGAAGUUCGUUCUGAAAUGGAGUGGCUGGUGUAUUGCAUAGUUUUAGAAAUUGGAUUUCACUCAAAAAUCACCAAAUGACACCUCCCACCAUAUUACGAUGUUCCCCAUGUUUUGGACUCAAUCCGAUAACUAUUGGUAAAUGAAAUUGGACAAUUCAGGUUUGUGCGAAGUUCGUUCUGAAAUGGAGUGGUUGAUGUAUUGCAUAGUUCUAGAGAUUGGAUUUCACUCCAAAGUCACCAAAUGACACCUCCCACCAUUUUAUGAUGUUCCCCAAGAUUUGGACUCAAUCCGAUAUCGAUUGGUAAAUGAAGUUGGACAAUUCAGGUUCAUACGAAGUUCGUUCUGCAAUGGAGUGGUUGGUGUAUGGCACAGUUCUAGGGAUUGGAUUUCACUCCAAAGUCACCAAGUGAAUCCUCCCACCAUAUUAUGAUGUUCCACAAUUUUGGGACUCAAUCCGAUAUCGAUUCGUCCAUGAAAUUGGACAAUUUAUGUUCAUACGAAGUUCUUUAUGAAAUGGAGUGGUUGGUGUUUUGCACAGUUUUAGAGAUUGGAUUUCACACAAAAAGCACCAAAUGACUCCACCCACACUAUUAUGGAGUUCCCCAAGUUUUGGACUCAAUCCGAUAUCGAUUGAUCCACGAAAUUCGACAAUUCAUAUUCGUACGAUAUUCGUUCUGAAAUGGAGUGGUUGGUGUUUUGCAUAGUUUUAGAGAUUGGAUUUCACUCAAAAUUCAGCAAAUUACACCUCCCACCAUAUUGUUUUGUUCCCCAAGUUUUUGACUCAAUCCGAUAUCGAUUGGUAAAUGAAAUUGGACAAUUCAGGUUCGUGCGAAGUUCGUUAUGAAAUGGAGUGGUUGGUGUAUUGCAUAGUUCUAGAGAUUGGAUUUCACUCAAAACCCACCAAAUGACUCCUCCCACCAUAUUAUGAUGUUCACCAAGUUUUGGACUCAAUCCGAUAUCGAUUGGUCCAUGAAAUUGGACAAUUCAGGUUCGUACGAAGUUCAUUAUGAAAUGGAGUGGUUGGUGUUUUGCAUAGUUUUAGGGAUUGGAUUUCACUCAAAACCAACCAAAUGACUACUCCCACCAUAUUAUGAUGUUCCCCAAGUUUAGGACUCAAUCCGAUAUUGAUUGGUCCACGAAAUUGGACAAUCCAGGUUUGUACGAUGUUCGUUCUGAAAUGGAAUGGUUGGUGUUUUGCAUAUUUUUAGAGAUUGGAUUUCACUUGAAAGUCAACAAAUGACACCUCCCCCCAUAUUAUGAUGUUCAUCAAGUUUUGGACUCAAUCCGAUAUCGAUUGUUCCAUGAAAUUGGACAAUUCAAGUUCGUAUGAAGUUCGUUCUGAAAUGGAGUAGUUGGUGUAUUGCAUAGUUUUAGAGGUUGGAUUUCACUCAAAAAUCAACAAAUGACUCCGCCCACCAUAUUGUGAUGUUCCCCAAGUUUUGGACUCAAUCCGAUAUCGAUUGGUCUAUGAAAUUGGACAAUUCAGGUUCGUACGAAGUUCGUCCUGAAAUGAUGUGGUUGGUGUAUUGCAUAGUUUUAGAGUUUGGAUUGCACUCAAAACUCAAUAAAUGACUCCUCCCACCAUAUUAUGAUGUUCCUCAAGUUUUGGACUCAGUCCGAUAUCGAUUGGUCCAUGAAAUUGGACAGUUCAGGUUCGUACGAAGUUUGCCCUGAAAUGGUGUGGUUGGUGUUUGCAUAGUUUUACAGAUUGAAUUUCACUGAAAACCCACCAAAUGACUCAUCCCACCAUAUUAUGAUGUUCCCCAAGUUUUGGGCUCAAUCUGAUAUCAAUUGGUCCUUGAAAUUGUACAAUUCAGGUUCGUAUGAAGUUCGUUCUGAAAUGCAGUGGUUGGUGUUUUGCAUAGUUCUAGAAAUUGGAUUUCACUCAAAACCUACCUAAUGACUCCUCACGCGAUAUUAUGAUGUUCCCCAAGUUUUGGACUCAAUCUGAUAUCGAUUGGCCCAUGAAAUUGGACAAUUCAGGUUCCCACGAAGUUCGUUCUGAAAUGGAGUGGUUGGUGUAUUGGAUAGUUUGAGAGAUUGGAUUUCACUCCAAAGUCACCAAAUGACUCCUCCCACUAUAUUAUGCUGUUCCCCAAGUUUUGGACUCAAUCCGGUAUCGAUUGGCCCAUGAAAUUGGACAAUUCAGGUUCCCAUGAAGUUCGUUCUGAAAUGGAACGGUUGAUGUUUUGCACAAUUUUAGAGAUUGGAUUUCACUCAAAAAGCACCAAAUGACUCCUCCCACCGUAUUAUGGAGUUGACGAAGUUUUGGACUCAAUCCGAUAUCGAUUGGUCCAUGAAAUUGGAGAAUUUAGGUUCAUACGAUGUUCGUUCUGAAAUGCAAUGGUUGGUGUUUUGCAUAGUUUUUGGGAUUGGAUUUCACCCAAAACUCAGCAAAUGACUCCUCCCACCGUAUUAUAUUGUUCACUAAGUGUUGGACUCAAUCCGAUAUCGAUUGGUCCCCGAAAUUGGACAAUUCAGGUUCGUACGAAGUUCGCCCUGAAAUGGUGUGGUUGGUGUUUGCAUAGUUUUACAGAUUGGAUUUCACUGAAAACCCACCAAAUGACUCAUCCCACCAUAUUAUGAUGUUCCCCAAGUUUUGGGCUCAAUCCGAUAUCAAUUGGUCCUUGAAAUUGUACAAUUCAGGUUCGUAUGAAGUUCGUUCUGAAAUGCAGUGGUUGGUGUUUUGCAUAGUUCUAGACAUUGGAUUUCACUCAAAACCUACCUAAUGACUCCUCACGCGAUAUUAUGAUGUUCCCCAAGUUUUGGACUCAAUCUGAUAUCGAUUGGCCCAUGACAUUGGACAAUUCAGGUUCCCACGAAGUUCGUUCUGAAAUGGAGUGGUUGGUGUAUUGGAUAGUUUGAGAGAUUGGAUUUCACUCCAAAGUCACCAAAUGACUCCUCCCACUAUAUUAUGUUGUUCCCCAAGUUUUGGACUCAAUCCGGUAUCGAUUGGCCCAUGAAAUUGGACAAUUCAGGUUCCCAUGAAGUUCGUUCUGAAAUGGAGCGGUUGAUGUUUUGCACAAUUUUAGAGAUUGGAUUUCACUCAAAAAGCACCAAAUGACUCCUCCCACCGUAUUAUGGAGUUGACGAAGUUUUGGACUCAAUCCGAAAUCGAUUGGUCCAUGAAAUUGGAGAAUUUAGGUUCAUACGAUGUUCGUUCUGAAAUGCAAUGGUUGGUGUUUUGCAUAGUUUUUGGGAUUGGAUUUCACUCAAAACUCAGCAAAUGACUCCUCCCACCGUAUUAUAUUGUUCACUAAGUGUUGGACUCAAUCCGAUAUCGAUUGGUCCCCGAAAUUGGACAAUUCUGGUUCGUACGAAGUUCGCCCUGAAAUGGUGUGGUUGGUGUUUGCAUAGUUUUACAGAUUGGAUUUCACUGAAAACCCACCAAAUGACUCAUCCCACCAUAUUAUGAUGUUCCCCAAGUUUUGGGCUCAAUCCGAUAUCAAUUGGUCCUUGAAAUUGUACAAUUCAGGUUCGUAUGAAGUUCGUUCUGAAAUGCAAUGGUUGGUGUUUUGCAUAGUUUUUGGGAUUGGAUUUCACUCAAAACUCAGCAAAUGACUCCUCCCACCGUAUUAUAUUGUUCACUAAGUGUUGGACUCAAUCCGAUAUCGAUUGGUCCCCGAAAUUGGACAAUUCAGGUUCGUACGAAGUUCGUGCUAAAAUGGAGUGGUUGGUGAAUUUCAUAGUUCUAGAGAUUGGAUUUCACUCCAAAGUCACCAAAUGACUCCUCCCACCAUAUUAUGAUGUUCCCCAAUUUUGGGACUCAAUCCGAUAUUGAUAAGUUCAUACAUUCGCAUGUCCUCUUUACUUAGUGACUUUGGUUAGUUUCUCUUUAUUUUGAGUCACUUACCUCUUUUUGUUUGUUUUGUAGGUUAAGACAACCGGAGAUCACAUUUGAUGCAAUCCAUGCUUGAUAAGGGCUGAUUGGGAUAAGAGUACUAUGAGUUUAAAGACAAACCCAAUUUGGGCCACACUCCUUGUCAGUCCAGUUUCGUUGGUCAUCUUGUAGGCCUCAUUUCAGCAACUUAAACAGGUCGGAUGAGGAGACAUCCUUGAUAGAAGUAGUUCUAAUGGAUGUCUAUUAUAACAUAUCCAAAGUUCAGCCCAAUUGGAUAAAUCUGGAGCCCUCAGCACGUCAAAGACUCAACCAAGUACACAGAAAAGUCAUAGUUGGCUGCCAUCACAUUUAUUGUGGCUACAUCUCUAGAGCCAUGUGCUACACAUAAGAGCAGCCACACAUGGGAGACAAAUCAGCUUGGGAACUCAGAAAAAUGAACAAAAGUCAAGCUUGCCAUAAAGAGACCAAGAAUAGUUCACCAAAGCAUUUAUUGGGCAACUAGAGCAAUUGGCUUUUAUUGGGCAGCUAGAGCAGUUGGCAUUUAUUGAGCAGCUGAGGCAAUUGGGAGCAGCUAAGAGAAGUGUGUUUCACCAGCUAGAGGGGAGGAUGAAAUUGGACUCAAUAAAUGGAGAGCUGCACACUCAUUCAAAAAAGACAGAGAUGGAAGAGACUCAGAUUCAUUUUCAUCCAUCACUCACACAUUCAGAUUCACCACAAGAGAGAAGGGAGCUAGUUGCAAAGGAGGGAGACCUUGGAGCUCUCCUGGGAACUACCUUGUUACCAUCAGCUAGUUCUUCUCUUCUCUUUAUUCUAUCUAUGUAUUUCUUAUUUUCUAUAUUCAUAGUUAUGUCUAACUAGUCCAUUUAGUUAGGGCUUAGGAUGAAGCCCUAGUCAUGAAUAUUCAAUGUUAUGGAUAAUUUUAUAAUUAAUUGAUUUCCUUACUUUCAUUAUCAAGUUGUUAAUCUCCAGUUUAUUAUGUGCUUGAUGUAUGUUUUCUUGGAGUAGCUAACUAGGAUUUUGUGCAUCUAGCACAGGUUGGGAAAGGGUUUAGAUUCACCAAUUCUACUCUCCUUUCACAAGCAACACAUGAAUGGCCUAAGAAUCAUUCAAGGGUUAAUAACCAUAGGUUGACUAGAACAGAUACCAUGUUCUAGGACUUGUGUCAUUAUCAUAUUCUCAAGGAGCUUAAUGACUCUUGUAUACUUUAUUCUAAGUAGAUACCAUGCUUAGGUUGCAUAUUAGAGAUCACGUGUUGUGUAGAUACCAUGCACAAUCACAUGCCUUAGGAGAAUCAUGCAUCAUGCACCUAGAUACCAUAGGCUUGUAUGCGAUAAUCUACUGUUGAUGAAGCUUGAGUCAAUUUCUAUGCAUUCAUAACUUGAAUAGGAAGACUAGUGGUGGAUUCCAAGGCUCUAACACCUCUCAAUCGUUGUUUCACAACUUGUUGAUUGCUGCCAGCGUUUACUUUCCAGCACUUUCUUUUCACUUUCAUAUCAUCAUUUCGACAACAAAAACUCUCAUUUCGAGUGCGUGUGUGGUGCUAGGAUUCUGUCCUAGACCUUGAGUAAUUAGCAAGAGGCAUUGUUGAAUUCGACUUUGCCUUUAGUUAGUUAGUCAGUUUCUUUAUUUUCUGUUUUUUUUUCAGCAUUCUAAGUAAUUUAACUUGGAACCAAGUUACCAUUCUCCGUGGGAUCGACCUCGUAUUUACAUAAGCUAUACCAUAAACGGUUCCCGCACUUGCAAGAAUUAAAGUUGCUAUUUUUAAUAACUCAUUUUAGUUGUUAGGAAUAGCCUCAAUAGAUACCGAUUGGUCCAUGAAAUUGGACAACUCAAGUUCGUACGAAGUUCGCUCUGAAAUGGUGUGGUUGGUGUAUUGCAUAGUUCUAGAGAUUGGAUUUCACUCCAAAGUCACCAAAUGACACCUCCCACCAUAUUAUUUUCUUCACCAAGUUUUGGACUCAAUCCAAUAUCGAUUUAUGGAUGACAUUGGACAAUUCAGGUUCGUACGAAGUUCGUUCUGAAGUGGAAUGGUUGGUCUUUUGCAUAGUUUUAGAGAUUGGACUUCACUCAAAGCCCACCAAAUGACUCCUCCCGCCAUAUUAUGAUGUGGAUUGGUCCACGAAAUUGGACAAUUCAGGUUCCUACAAAGUUCGUUCUAAAAUGGAGUGGUUGGUGUAUUGCAUAGUUCAAGAGAUUGGAUUUCACUGCAAAGUCAGAAAAUGACUACUCCCACCACAUUAUGAUGUUCCCCAACUUUGGGAUUCAAACCGAUAUAGAUUGGUCAUGAAAUUGGACAAUUCAGGUUCGUACGAAGUUCAUUAUGAAAUGGAGUGGUUAGUGUUUUGCAUAGUUUUAGACAUUGGAUUUCACUUAAAACCCACCAAAUGACUCCUCCCACCAUAUUAUGAUGUUCCCCAAGUUUUGGAAUCAAUUCGAUAUCGAUUCGUCCAUGAAAUUGGACAAUUCAGGUUCGUACAAAAUUCGUUCUGAAAUAGAGUGGUUGGGGUAUUGCAUAGUUCUAAAGAUUGGAUUUCACUCCAAAGUCACCAAAUGAUGCCUCCCAACAUAUUAUGCUGUUCUCCAAGUUUUGGACUCAAUCCGAUAUCAAUUGAGCCAUGAAAUUGGACAAUUCAGGUUUCCACGAAGUUCUUUCUGAAAUGGAGAGAUUGGGUUUCACUCAGAAAGCACCAAAUGACUCCUCCCACCAUAUUAUGAUGUUCCCCAAGUUUUGGACUCAAUCCGAUAUCGAUUUAUCGAUGAAAUUGGACAAUUCAGGUUCGUACAAAGUUCGUUAUGCAAUGGAAUGGUUGGUCUUUUGCAUAGUUUUAGAGAUUAGACUUCACUCAAAACCCAUCAAAUGACUCCCCCCACCAUAUUAUGAUGUUCCCCAAGUUUUGGACUCAAUCCGAUAUCGAUUGGUCCCUGAAAUUGGACAAUUCAGGUUUAUACGAUGUUAGUUUUGAAAUGGAGUGGUUGGUGUAUUGCAUAGUUCUAGAGAGUGCAUUUCACAGCAAAGUCACCAAAUGACUACUGCCACCAUAUUAUGAUGUUCCCCAACUUUGGGAUUCAAUCCGAUAUUGAUUGGUCCUGAAAUUGGACAAUUCAGGUUCGUACGAAGUUCAUUAUGAAAUAGAGUGGUUGUUGUUUUGCAUAGUUUUAGAGAUUGAAUUUCACUCAAAACCCACCAAAUGACUCCCCCCACCAUAUUAUGAUGCUCCCUAAGUUUUGGACUCAAUCCGAUAUCGAUUGGUCCAUGAAAUUGGACAAUUCAGGUUCCCACGAAGUUCGUUCUGAAAUGGAGUGGUUGGUGUACAUAGUUCUAGAGAUUGGAUUUUACGGCAAAGUCACCAAAUGACUACUCCCACCACAUUAUCAUGUUCCCCAACUUCGGGACUCAAUCCGAUAUAGAUUGGUCAAGAAAUUGGACAAUUCAGGUUCGUACGAAAUUCAUUAUGAAAUGGUGUGGUUGGUGUUUUGCAUAGUUUUAGAGAUUGGAUUUCACUCAAAACCCACCAAAUGACUCCCCCCACCAUAUUACGAUGUUCCCCAACUUUUGGACUCAAUCCGAAAUCGAUUGGUCCAUGAAAUUGGACAAUUCAGGUUCAUACGAUGUUUGUUCUGAAACGGAGUGGUUGGUGUAUUGCAUAGUUCUAGAGAUUGGAUUUUACUGCAAAGUCACCAAAUGACUACUCCCACCACAUUAUGAUGUUCCCCAACUUUGGGACUCAAUCCGAUUGGAUUGGUCAUGAAAUUGGACCAUUCAGGUUCGUACGAAGUUCAUUAUGAAAUGGAGUGGUUGGUGUUUUGCAUAGUUUUAGAGAUUGGAUUUAAAUCAAAACCCACCAAAUGACUCCCCCCACCAUAUUAUGAUGUUCCCCAAGUUUUGGAAUCAAUUCGAUAUCGAUUGGUCCAUGAAAUUGGACAAUUCAGGUUCGUACGAAAUUCGUUCUGAAAUGGAGUGGUUGGGGUAUUGCAUAGUUUUAGAGAUUGGAUUUCACUCCAAAGUCACCAAAUGACGCCUCCCAACAUAUUACGCUGUUCUGCAACUUUUGGACUCAAUCCGAUAUCGAUUGGUCCAUGAAAUUGGACAAUUCAGGUCCCCACGAAGUUUGUUCUGAAAUGGAGUGGUUGGUGUUUUGUAUAGUUUUAGAGAUUGGGUUUCACUCAAAAAGCACCAAAUGACUCCUCCCACCAUCUUAUGAUGUUCCCCAAGUUUUGGACUGAAUCCGAUAUCGAUUUAUCGAUGAAAUUGGACAAUUCAGGUUCGUACGAAGUUCAUUAUAUAAUGGAGUGGUUGGUCUUUUGCAUAAUUUUAGAGUUUGGACUUCAAUCAAAACCCACCAAAUGACUCCUUCCGCCAGAUUAUGAUGUUCGCUAGGUUUUGGACUCAAUCUGAUAUCGAUUGGUAAAUGAAAAUGGACAUUUCAGGUUCCUUCUAAGUUCGUUCUGAAAUGGAGUGGUUGGUUUAUUGCAUAGUUCUAGAGAUUGGAUUUCACUCGAAAGUCACCAAAUGACUACUCCUACCACAUUAUGAUGUUCCCCAACUUUGGGACUCAAUCCGAUAUAGAUAGGUCCAUGAAAUUGGACAAUUCAGGUUCGUACGAAGUUCAUUAUGAAAUAGAGUGGUUGGUGUUUUGCAUAGUUUUAGAGAUUGAAUUGCACUCAAAACCCAGCACAUGACUCCGCCCACCAUAUUAUGAUGUUCCCCAAGUUUUGGGCUCAAUCCGAUAUUGAUUGGUCCAUGAAAUCGGACAAUUCAUGUUCAUACGAUGUUCGUUCUGAAAUGGAGUGGUUGGUGUAUUGCAUAGUUCUAGAGAUUGGAUUUCACUGCGAAGUCUCCAAAUGACUACUCCCACCACAUUACGAUGUUCUCCAACUUUGGGACUCAAUCCGAUAUAGAUUGGUCAUGAAAUUGGACAAUUCAGGUUCGUACGAAGUUCAUUAUGUAAUGGAGUGGUUGGUGUUUUGCAUAGUUUUAGAGAUUGGAUGUCACUCAAAACUCACCAAAUGACUCCUCAAACAACAUUAGGAUGUUCACCAAGUUUUGGACUCAAUCCGAUAUCAAUUGGUCCAUGAAAUUUGACAACUCAGGUUCGUACGAAGUUCAUUAUGAAAUGGAGUGGUUGGUGUUUUGCAUAGUUUAAGAGAUUGAAUUUCACUCAAAACCCACCAAAUAAGUCCACCCACCAUAUUAUGAUGUUCCUCAAGUUUUGGAUUCAAUCUGAUAUUGAUUGGUCCAUGAAAUUGGACAAUUCAGGUUCAUACGAUGUUCGUUCUGAAAUGGAGUGGUUGGUGUAUUGCAUAGUUCUAGAGAUUGGAUUUCACUCCAAAGCCAAUAAAUGACUCCUCCCCACCAUAUUAUGAUGUUCCCCAUGAUUUGGACUCAAUCCAAUAUCGAUUGGUCCAUGAAAUUGGACAAUUCAGGUUCCCACGAAGUUCGUUCUGAAAAGGAGUGGUUGUUGUUUUGCACAGUUUUAGAGAUUGAAUUUCACACAAAAAGCACCAACUGACUCCCACCAUAUUAUGGAGUUCCCGAAGUUUUGGACUCAAUCUGAUAUCGAUUGGUCCACGAAAUUGGACAAUUCAGGUUCAUACGAAGUUCGUUCUGAAAUGAAGUGGUUGGUGUAUUGCAUAGUUCUAGAGAUUGGAUUUCACUCCAAAGUCACCAAAUGACUCCUCCCAACAUAUUAUGCUGUUCCCCAAGUUUUGGACUCAAUCUGAUAUCGAUUAAUCCAUGAAAUUGGACAAUUCAGGUUCCCACGAAGUUCGUUCUGAAAUGGAGUGGUUGGUGGUUUGCACAGUUUUAGAGAUUGGAUUUCACUCAAAAAGCACCAAAUGACUCCUCCCACCAUAUUACAAUUCUCCCCAAGUUUUGGACUCAAUCCAAUAUUGAUUUAUCGAUGAAAUUGGACAAGUCAGGUUCGUACGAAGUUUGUUCUGAAAUGGAAUGGUUGGCCUUUUGCAUAGUUUUAGAGAUUGGACUUCACUCAAAACCCCCCAAAUGACUCCUCCGGCCAUAUUAUGAUGUUCCCCAAGUUUUGGACUCAAUCCGAUGUGGAUUCAUCGAUGAAAUUGGAGAAUUCAGGUUCGUACGAAGUUUGUACUGAAAUAGAAUGGUUGGUCUUUUGCAUAGUUAUAGAGAUUCGAUUUCACUCAGAAGUCACCGAAUGACUCCUCCCACCAUAUUAUGAUGUUCCCCAUUUUGGGACUCAAUACAAUAUCAAUUGGUCCAUUAAAUUGGGCAAUUUAGGUUUGUACGAUGUUCGUUAUGAAAUCGAGUGGUUGGUGUUUUUCAGAGUUCUACACAUUGGAUUUCACUCAAAACUAACCUAAUGACUCAUCCCACCAUAUUAUGAUGUUCCCCAAGUUUUAGACUCAAUCCGAUAUCAAUUGGCCCAUGAAAUUGGUCAAUUCAGGUACCCACGAAGUUUGUUCUGAAAUGGAGUGGUUGGUGUAUUGCAUAGUUUUAGUGAUUGGAUUUCACUCCAAAGUCACCAAAUGACUCCUCCCACCAUAUUAUGAUGUUCCCAAAUUUCGGGACUCAAUCCGAUAUGGAUUGGUCCAAGAAAUUGGACAAUUCAGGUUCGUACGAAGUUCGUUAUAAAAUAGAGUGGUUGGUGUAUUGCAUAGUUCUAGAGAUUGGAUUUCACCCAAAACUCACCAAAUGACUCCCCCCCCAUAGUAUGAUGUUCCCCAAGUUUUGGACUCAAUCCCAUAUCGAUUGGUCCAUGAAAUUGGACAAUUCAGGUUCAUACGAAAUUCGUUCUGAAAUGGAGUGGUUGGUGUAUUGCAUAGUUCUAGAGAUUAGAUUUCACUCCAAACUCACCAAAUGACGCCUCCCAACAUAUUAUGUUGUUCUCCAAGUUUUGAACUCAAUUCGAUAUCGAUUGCUCCAUGAAAUUGGAUAAUUCAAGUUCCCACGAAGUUCGUUCUGAAAUGGAUUGAUUAGUGUUUUGCACAGUUUUAGAGAUUGGAUUUCACUCAAAAAGCACCAAAUGACUCCUCCCACCAUAUUAUAAUGUUCCCCAAGUUUUUUCCUCAAUCCGAUAUCGAUUUAUAAUUGAAAUUGGAGAAUUCAUGUUCGUACGAAGUUUGUUCUGAAAUGGAAUGGUUGGUCUUUUGCAUAGUUUUAGAGAUUCGAUUUCACUCAAAAGUCACCGAAUGACUCCUCUCACCAUAUUAUGAUGUUCCCCAAUUUUGGGACUCAAUCUGAUAUCGAUUGGUCCAUUAAAUUGGACAAUUUAGGAUUGUACGAUGUUCGUUAUGAAAUGGAGUGGUUGGUGUUUUCAGAGUUCUACACGUUGAAUUUUACUCAAAACCAACCAAAUGACUCCUCCCACCAUAUUAUGAUGUUCCCCAAUUUUGGGACUCAAUCCGAUAUGGAUUGGUCCAAGGAAUUGGACAAUUCAGGUUCAUACGAAGUUCGUUAUGAAAUGGAGUGGUUGGUGUUUUGCAUAGUUUUAGAGAUUGGAUUUCACUCGAAACGCACCAAAUGACCUCUCCCACCAUAUUAUAGUGUUCCCCAAGUUGUGGACUCAAUCCUAUAUCGAUUGGUAAAUCCAAUUGGACAAUUCAGGUUCAUACGAAGUUCAUUCUAAAAUGGAGUGGUUGGUGUAUUACAUAGUUCUAGAGAUUGGAUCUCACUCUAAAGUCACCAAAUGACUCCACCCGCCAUAUUAUGAUAUUCAACAAGUUUUGGACUCAAUCCGAUAUCGAUUGGUCCAUGAAAUUGGACAAUUCAGGUUUGUACGAAGUUCAUUCUGAAAUGGAGUUGUUGGCGUAUUGCAUAGUUCUAGAGAUUGGAUUUCACUCAAAACUCACCAAAUUACUCCCCCCACCAUAUUACGAUGCUCCCCAAGUUUUGGGCUCAAUCAGAUAUCGAUUGGUCCAUUAAAUUGGACAAUUCAGGUUCAUACGAAGUUCUUUCUGAAAUGUAGUGGUUGGUGUAUUGCAUAGUUCUAGAGAUUGGAUUUCACUCAAAACUCACCAAACGACUCCUCCCACCAUAAUAUGGAGUUCCCCAUGUUUUGUACUCAAAACGAUAUCGAUUGGAAAAUGAAAUUGGACAAUUCAGUUUUGUACGAAGUUCGUUCUGAAACGGAGUGGUUGGUGUAUUGCAUAGUUCUUGAGAUUGGAUUUCACUCCAAAGUCAACAAAUGACUCCUCCCACCAUAUUAUGAUCUUCCCCAAUUUUGGGACUCAAUCCGAUAUGGAUUGGUCCAAGAAAUUGGACAAUUCAGGUUCGUACGAAGUUCGUUAUGAAAUGGAGUGGUUGGUGUUUUGCAUAGUUUUAGAGAUUGGAUUUCACUCAAAAAGCACCAAAUGAUCUCUCCCACCAUAUUAUGGUGUUCCCCAAGUUGUGGACUCAAUCCUAUAUCGAUUGGUAAAUGCAAUUGGACAAUUUAGGUUCAUACGAAGUUCGUUCUAAAAUGGAGUGGCUGGUGUAUUGCAUAGUUCUGGAGAAUGGAUCUCACUCCAAAGUCACCAAAUGACUCCUCCCACCAUAUUAUGAUGUUCAACAAGUUUUGGACUCAAUCCGAUAUCAAUUGGACCAUGAAAUUGGACAACUCAGGUUCGUAUGAAGUUCGUUCUGAAAUGGAGUAGUCGGUGUAUUGCAUAGUUCUAGAGAUUGGAUUUCACUCAAAACACACCAAAUGACUCUCCCCCCUCCCCUCCCCAUAUUAUGAUGGUCCCCAAGUUUUGGACUCAAUCCCAUAUUGAUUCGUCCAUGAAAUUGGACAACUCAGGUUCGUACGAAGUUCAUUCUGAAAUGGAGUAGUUGGUGUAUUGCAUAGUUCUAGAGAUUGGAUUUACCUCCAAAGUAACCAAAUGACUCCUCCCACCAUAUUAUGAUGUUCCCCAAUUUUGGGACUCAAUCCGGUAUCGAUUAGUCCGUGAAAUUGGACAAUUCAGGUUCGUGCGAAUUUUACUAUGAAAUGGUGUGGUUGGUGUAUUGCAUAGUUUUAGAGAUUGUAUUUCACUCAAAACCCGCCAAAUGACUCCUCCCACCAUAUUAUGAUGUUCCCCAAGUUUUGGACUCAAUCCGAUAUUGAUUGGUCCAUGAAAUUUGACAAUCCAGGUUCGUACGAAGUUCGUUAUGAAAUGGAGUGGUUGGUGUUUUGCAUAGUUUUAGAGAUUGGAUUUCACUCAAAAAGCACCAAAUGAUCUCUCCCACCAUAUUAUGGUGUUCCCCAAGUUGUGGACUCAAUCCUAUAUUGAUUGGUAAAUGCAAUUGGACAAUUUAGGUUCAUACGAAGUUCGUUCUAAAAUGGAAUGGUUGGGGUAUUGCAUAGUUCUGGAGAAUGGAUCUCACUCCAAAGUCACCAAAUGACUCCUCCCACCAUAUUAUGAUGUUCAACAAGUUUUGGACUCAAUCCGAUAUCGAUUGGACCAUGAAAUUGGACAAUUCAGGUUCGUACGAAGUUCGUUCUGAAAUGGAGUAGUCGGUGUAUUGCAUAGUUGUAGAGAUUGGAUUUCACUCAAAACUCACCAAAUGACUCCCCCCCAUAUUAUGAUGUUCCCCAAGUUUUGGACUCAAUCCCAUAUUGAUUGGUCCAUGAAAUUGGACAACUCAGGUUCGUACGAAGUUCGUUCUGAAAUGGAGUAGUUGGUGUAUUGUAUAGUUCUAGACAUUGGAUUUCCCUCCAAAGUAACCAAAUGACUCCUCCCACCAUAUUAUGAUGUUUCCCAAUUUUGGGACUCAAUCCGAUAUCGAUUAGUCCGUGAAAUUGGACAAUUCAGGUUCGUGCGAAUUUCACUAUGAAAUGGUGUGGUUGGUGUAUUGCAUAGUUUUAGAGAUUGCAUUUCACUCAAAACCCGCCAAAUGACACCUCCCACCAUAUUAUGAUGUUCCCCAAGUUUUGGACUCAAUCCGAUAUCGAUUGGUCCAUGAAAUUGGACAAUUAAGGUUCGUAUGAUGUUCGUUAAAAAAUAGAGUGGUUGGGGUUUUGCAAAGUUCUAAACGUUGGAUUUCACUCAAAACCAACCUAAUAACUCCUCCCACCAUAUUAUGAGGUUCCCCAAGUUUUGGGCUCAAUCCCAUAUCGAUUGGCCCAUGAAAUUGUUCAAUUCAGUUUCCCACGAAGUUCGUUCUAAAAUGGAUUGGUUGGUGUGUGGCAUAGUUUUAGAGAUUGGUUUUCACUCCAAAGUGACCAAAUGACUCCUCCCACCAUAUUAUGAUGUUCCCCAAUUUUGGGACUCAAUCCGAUAUCGAUUGGUCUAAUAAAUUGCACAAUUCAGGUUCGCAAGAAGUUUGUUAUGAAAUGGAGUGGUUGGUGUUUUGCAUAGUUUUAGGGAUUGGAUUUCACUUAAAACCCACCAAAUCACUCCUCCCACCAUAUUAUGAUGUUCCUCAAGUUUUGGACUCAAUCCGAUAUCGAUUGGUCCAUGAAAUUGGACAAUUCAUGUUCAUACGAUUUUUGUUCUGAAAUGGAGUGGUUGGUGUAUUGCAUUGUUUUAGAGAUUGGGUUUCACUCAAAACUAAGCAAAUGAGUCCUCCCAUCAUAUUAUGAUGUUCCCCAAGUUUUAUACUCAAUCCGAUAUCGAUUGGUCCAUGAAAUUGAACAAUUCAUGUUCGUACGAUUUUUGUUCUGAAAUGGAGUGGUUGGUGUAUUGCAUAGUUUUAGAAUUGGAUUUGACUCAAAACGCACCAAAUGACUCCUCCCACCAUAUUAUGAUGUUCCCCAAGUUUUGGGCUUAAUUCGAUAUCGAUUUGUCCAAGAAAUUGGAAAAUUCAGGUUCGUACAAAAUUCGUUCUGAAAUGGAAUGGUUGGUGUACUGCAUAGUUCUAGAUGUUGGAUUUCACUCAAAACCUACCAAAUGACUCAUCCCACUAAUAAGGUCAUAAUUUCACACAUUUGCAUGCCUUCUUUGCUUAGUAAUUUUGUUUAGUUUCUCUAUAUUUUGAGUCUCUUACCUAUGUUUGUGUGUUUUGUAGGUUAAGACAGAAAUGGGAUGACAUCUUAAGUGCUGAUUGGCACAAGAGGAAUAUGGGCUUAAAGACAAAACCAAUUUGAGCCACACUCCUUGUCAGUCCAGUUUCGUAGCUCAUUUUGCCGGCCUCAUGUAAGCAACUUACACAGGUCGGAUGAGGAGACAUCCUUGAUAAACAUUGUUCCAAUGGGUGUCUGUUAUAACAUAUCAAAAUUUCAGCCAAAUGGGAUAAAUUUGGAGCCCUCAGAACGUCAAAGGCUGAACUAAGUUCACAGUAAAGUCAUGUUGGUUGCCAUCACAUUUAAUGUGUCUACAUCCCUAGAGCCAUGUGCUACACAUUAGAGCAGCCACACAAGGGAGACAAAUCAGCAUGGGAACUCAAAAAGAUGAACAAAAUUCAAGCUUUCCAUUAAGAAACCAAGAAAAGUCCACCAAAGCAUGUAUUCGGCAGCUGGAGCAGUUGGCAAGUAUGGGCAGCUGGAGCAAUUGGCAUGUAUGGGCAGCUGGAGCAGUUGGCAGCAGCUAAGAGAGGUGUGCUUCACCAGCCAAAAAGGAGGACGAAAUUGCACUCAACACUCUAUAAAUAGAAAGCUGCACACUCAUUCAUAGAGGCAGACACACACAUUUACUUCAUCCAUUACUCUCAUACACACAUUCAGAUUCACCACAAAGAGAGAACAGAGCUUGGAGCUGUGCUGGGAACUACAUUGCUGUCAUCUAGUUCUUCUCCUCUCUUUAUCCUAUCUAUGUAUUUGUUAUUUUCUGUAUUCAUACUUAUGUCUAACUAAUCCAUUUAGUUAGGGCUUAGGAUGAAGCCCUAGUCAUAAAUAUUCAAUGUUUUGGAUGAUUUUAUAGUUAAUUGAUUUCCUUGCUUUUAUUAUCAAGUUGUUAAUCUCCAGUUUAUUAUGUGCUUGAUGUAUGUUUCUUGGAGUAGCUAACUAGGAUUUUAUGCAUCUAGCACAGGUUGGGAAGGGGUUUAGAUUCACCAAUUCUAAGAAUCAUUCAAGGGGUUAAUAACCAUAGGUUGACUAGGACAGAUACCAUGUUCAAGGACUUGUGUGAUUAUCAUAUUCUCAUGGAGCUUAAUGACUCUUGUAUGCUUUAUUCUAAGUAGAUACCAUGCUUAGGUUGCAUAUUAGAGAUCACGUGUUGUUUAGAUACCAUGCACGAUUACAUGCCUUAGGAGAAUCAUGCAUCCUGCACCUAGAUACCAUAGGCUUGUAUGUGAUAAUCUAUUGUUGAUGAAGCUUGAGUCAAUUUCUAUGCAUUCAUAACUUGGAUAGGAAAACUAGUGGUGGAUUCCAAGGCUCUAACACCUUUCAAUCAUUGUUUCACAACUUGUUGAUUGCUGCCAGUGUUUACUUUCGAGCACUUUCAUUUCACUUUCUUCUUUUCAUUUCAACAACAAAGCCCCCCGUUUCGAGUGCGUGUGUGGCGCUAGGAUUCUGUCCUAGACCUUGACGAAUUAGUAAGAGGCAUUGUUGAAUUCGACCUUGCCUUUAGCUAGUUAGUCAGUUUCUUUGAUCUAUGUUUUUCAAGCAUUCUAAGUAAUUUAACUUGGAACCAAGUUACCAUUCUCCGUGGGAUCGACCUCGUAUUUACAUAAGCUAUACUAUAAACGGUUCAUGAACUUGUGAAAAUUAAAGUUACUGUUUUUAAUAACUCAUUUUAGUUGUUAAGAAUAGUCGCAACACCCACCAUAUUAUGAUGUUCCCCAAGUUUUAGACUCAAUCCGAUAUCGAUUGGUCCAAGAAAUUGGACAAUUCAGGUUCGUAUGAAGUUCAUUCUGAAAUGGCGUGGUCGGUGUAUUGCAUAGUUCUAGAGAUUGGAUUUCACUCAAAACCAACCAAAUGACUCCUCCCACCAUAUUAUCAUGUUCCCCAAGCAUUGGACUCAAUCCAAUAUUGAUUGGUCCAAGAAAUUAGACAAUUCAGGUUCGUACAAAGUUGUUCUGAAAUGGAGUGGUCGGUGUAUUGCGUAGUUCUAGAAAUUGGAUUUCACUCAAAACCAACCAAAUAACUCCUCCCACCAUAUUAUGUUGUUACCCAAGUUUUGGACUCAAAUUGAUACUGAUUGGUAGAAGAAAUUGGCAAUUCAGGUUCGUACGAAGUUCGUUCUGAAAUGGAGUGGUCGGUGUAUUGCAUAGUACUAGAGAUUCGAUUUCACUCAAAACCAACCAAAUGACUCCUCCCAUCAUAUUAUGAUGGUGCCCAAGUUUUGGGCUCAAUCUAAUAUCGAUUAGUCCAAGAAAUUGAACAAUUUAGGUUCGUACGAAGUUCGUUCUAAAAUGAAGUGGUCGAUGUAUUGCAUGGUUCUAGAGAUUGGAUUUCACUCCAAACCAACUAAAUGACUCCUCCCACCAUAUAAUGAUGUUCCCCACAUUUUGAACUCAAUCUGACAUCGAUUGGCCCAAGAAAUUUGACAAUUCAGGUUCGUACGAAGUUUGUUCUUAAAUGGAGUGGUCGGUGUAUUGUAUAGUUCCAGAGAUUGGAUUUCACUCAAAAAAAAGAAAAAGAAAUGACUCAUCCCACCAUAUUAUGAUGUUCCAUAAGUUUUGGACUCAAUCCGAUAUCGAUUGGUCCAAGAAAUUUUGACAAUUCAGGUUCGUACGAAGUUCAUUCUGAAAUGGAGUGUUCGGUGUAUUGCAUAAUUUUAGAGAUUGGAUUUCACUCAAAACCAACCAAAUGACUCCUCCCACCAUAUUGUCAUGUUCCCCAAAUUUUGAACUCAAUCCGAUUUCGAUUGGUCCAAGAAAUUUGACAAGUCAGGUUCGUACGAAGUUCAUUCUGAAAUGGAGUGUUCGGUGUAUUACGUAGUUCUAGAGAUUGAAUUUCACUCAAAACCAACCAAAUGACUCCUCCCACCAUAUUAUCAUGUUCCCCAAAUUUUGAACUCAAUCCGAUAUCGAUUGGUCCAAGAAAUUUGACAAUUCAGGUUCGUAUAAAGUUCAUUCUAAAAUGGAGUGGUCGGUGUAUUGCAUAGUUCUAGAGACUGGAUUUCAGUCAAAACCAACCAAAUGACUCCUCCCACGAUAUUAUGAUUACCCCCAAAUUUUGAACUCAAUCCGAUAGCGAUUGGUCCAAGAAAUUGGACGAUUAAAGUUCGUACGAAGUUCGUUCUGAAAUGGAGUGGUUGUUUCAUUGAUCCAGAUAUUGGAUUUCAUUCAAACCCAAGUUUUGGACUUAAUCCGAUAUCGAUUGGUCCAAGAAAUUAGACAAUUCAGGUUCGACCGAAGUUCGCUCAGAAAUGGAGUGCUUUGUGUUAUGCUUUGUUCUGCAGAUUGGAUUUCACUCAAAACCUACGAAAUGACUCCGCCCACCAUAUUAUGAUGUUCCCUAAGUGUUGGACUCAAUUCGAUAUGGAUUGGUCCACGAAAUUGGACAAUUCAAGUUCGUACGAAGUUCGUUUUGAAAUGGACUGGUUGGUGUAUUGCAUAGUUUUAGAGAUUGGAUUUCACUCAAAACCUACGAAAUGACUCCUCCCAGCUUAUUAUGAUGUUCCCGAAGUUUUAGACUCGAUCCGAUUUCAAUUGGUCCAUAAAAUUGGACAAUUCAGGUUCGUACGAAGUUCGUUCUAAAAUGAAGUGGUUGGUAUAUUGCAUAGUUCUAAAGAUUGGAUUUCACUCAAAAUCAACCAAAUGACUCCUCCCACCAUAUUAUUAUGUUCUCCAAGUUUUGGACUCAAUCUGAUAUCAAUUGGUCCAUGAAAUUGGACAAUUCAGGUUCGUACAAUGCUCGUUCUGAAAUGUGUGGUUGGUGUAUUGCAUUUUUCUAGAGAUUGGAUUUCAUUGAAAACCAUCCAAAUGACUCCUCCCACCGUAUUAUGAUAUUCGCCAAGUUUUGGACUCAAUCCGAUAUCAAUUGGUCCACGAAAUUGGACAAUUCAGAUUCUUACGAAGUUCGUUCUGAAAUGGAGUGGUUUGUGUAUUGCAUUGUUCAACAGAUUGGAUUUCACUCAAAACCAAUCAAAUGACUCCUCCGACCAUAUUAUGAUGUUCCCCAAGUUUUGGGCUCAAUCCGGUAUCGAUUUGUCCAAGAAAUUGGACAAUUCAGGUUCGUACGAGGUUGGUUCUAAAAUGAAGUGGUUGGUGUGUUGCAUAGUUCUAGAGAUUUGAUUUCACUCAUAACCUACAAAAUGACUCCUCCCAUAAUAUUAUGAUGUUCCCCAAGUUUUGGACUCGAUCCGAUAUAGAUUUAUCGAUGAAAUUGGACAAUUUAGGUUCGUACGAAGUUCAUUCUGAAAUGGAGUGGUUGGUGUAUUGCAUAGUUUUGGAGAUUGGAUUCCACUCAAAACUCACCAAUGACUACUCCAACCCUAUUAUCAUGUUCACCAACUCUUGGACUCAAUCUGAUAUCGAUUCGUCCAUGAAAUCGGACAAUUCAGGUUCGUAUGAAAUUGGACAAUUUAGGUUCGUACGAAGUUCAUUCUGAAAUGUAGUGGUUGGUGUGUUGCAUAGUUUUAGAGAUUGGAUUCCACUCAAAACUCACCAAUGACUCCUCCCACCAUAUUAUGAUGUUCCCCAAGUCUUGGACUCAAUCUGAUAUCGAUUCGUCCAUGAAAUCGGACAAUUCAGUUCGUACGAAGUUAGUUCUGAAGUGGAGUGGUUGGUGUAUUGAAUAGUUUUAGAGAUUGGAUUUCACUCCAAACUCACCAAAUGACUCCUCCCACCGUAUUAUGAUGUUCCGCAUGUUUUGGAUCGAAUCCGAUUGGUCCGUGAAAUUGGAUAAUUCAGGUUCGUACGAAGUUCGUUCUGAAAUAGAGUGGUUGGUGUAUCGCAUAGUUCUAAAGAUGGGAUUUCACUCAAAACCUACCAAAUGACUCCUCCCAUCAUACUAUGAUGUUCCCCCAGUUUGGACUCAAUCCGAUAUCGAUUCAUCCAUGAAAUUGGACAAAUCAGGUCCGAACGAAGUUCGUUCCUAAAAGGAGUGAUUGGUGUAUUGCAUAGUUUUAGAGAUUCGACUUCCGUCAAAACCCACCAAAUCACUCCUCCCACCAUAUUAUGUUGUUCCCCAGGUUUUGGACUCAAUACGAUAUCCAUUGGUCCAUGAAAUUGGACAAUUCAGGUUCGUACGAAGUUCGUUCGAAAAUGGAGUGGUUGGUGUAUUGCACAGUUUUAGAGAUUGGGUUUCACUCAAAACCCACCAAAUGACUCCCCCCACCAUAUUAUGAUGUUCCCCAAGUUUUGGACUCAAUUCGAUAUCGAUUGGUCUAUGAAAUUGGACAAUUCAGGGUCGUACGAAGUUCUUUCUGAAAUGGAGUGGUUUGUGUUUUGCAUAGUUUCAGAUAUUGGAUUUCACUCAAAGAGCACCAAAUGACUCCUCCCGCCAUAUUAUGAUGUUCCCCAAGUUUUGGACUCAAUCCGAUAUCGAUUGGUCCGUGAAAUUGGACAAUUUCGGUUCGUACGAAGUUCAUUCUAAAAUGCAGUGGUUGGUGUAUUGCAUAGUUUUAGAGAUUGGAUUUUGCUUAAAACCCACCAAAUCACUCCUCCCAUCAUAUUAUGUUGUUCCCCAAGUUUAAGACUCAAUCCGAUAUCGAUUGGUCCAUAAAAUUGGACAAUUUAGGUUCGUACGAAGCUCUUUCUGAAAUGGAGUGGUUUGUGUUUUGCAUAGUUUUAGAUAUUGGAUUUCACUCAAGGAGCACCAAAUGAAUUCUCCCAAUAUACUAUGACAUUCCCCAAGGUUUGGACUCAAUCCGAUAUUAAUUGGCCCAUGAAAUUGGACAAUUCAGGUUCGUACGAAGUUUGUUCUGAAAUGGAGUGGUUGAUGUAUUACAAACUUUUAGAGAUUCGAUUUCACUCACCAAAUCACUCCACCCACCACAUUAUGAUGUUCCCCACGUUUUGGACUCAAUCCGAUAUCGAUUGGUCUGUGAAAUUAGACAAUUCUGGUUCGUACGAAGUUCGUUCUGAAAUGGAGUGGUUGGUGUAUUGCAUAGUUUUAGAGAUCGGAUUUCACUCAGAACUCACCAAAUGACUUCUCCCAUCAUAUUACGAUGUUUCCCAAGUUUUGGACUCAAUCCGAUAUCAAUUGGUCCAUGAAAUUGGAUAAUUCAGGUUCGUACGAAGUUCGUUCUGAAAUGGAGUGGUUUGUCUUUGGCAUAGUUUAAGAUAUUGGAUUUCACUCAAAACUCACCAAAUAACUCCUCCCACCAUAUUAUGAUGUUCCCCCCGUUUUGGACUCAAUCCGAUAUCGAUUGGUUUGUGAAAUUGGAUAAUUCAGGUUCCCACAAAGUUCGUUCUGAAAUGGAGUGGUUGGUGUUUUGCAUAGUUUUAGAUAUUGAAUUUCACUCAACAUUCACCAAAUGACUCCUCCCACCGCAUUAUAAUGUUCCCCAAGUUUUGGACUCAAUCCGAUAUCGAUUUAUCGAUGAAAUUGGACAAUUCAGGUUCCCACGAAGUUCGUUCCGAAAUGGAGUGGUUGCUGUAUUGCAUAGUUUUAGAGAUUGAAUUUCACUCAAAACCCACCAGAUGACUCCUCCCACCACAUUAUAAUGUUCCCCAAGUUUUGGACUCAGUCCGAUAUCGAUUUAUCGAUGAAAUUGGACAAUUAUGGUUCCUACGAAGUUCGUUCCGAAAUGGAGUGUUUGGUGUAUUGCAUAGUUUUGGAGAUUGAAUUUCACUCAAAACCCACCAGAUGACUCCUCCCACCAUAUUAUGACGUUCCACAAGUUUUGGACUCAAUCCGAUAUCGAUUUGUCCAUGAAAUUGGACAACUCAGGUUCGUACGAAGUUUGCUCUGAAAUGGUCUGGUUGGUGUAUUGCAUUGUUUUAGAGAUUGGAUUUGACUCAAAACAAACAAAAUGACUCCUCCCACCAUAUUAUGACGUUCCACAAUUUUGGACUCAAUCCGAUAUCGAUUUGUCCAUGAAAUUGGACAAUUUAGGUUCGUACGAAGUUUGCUCUGAAAUGGUGUGGUUGGUGUAUUGCAUAGUUCUAGAGAUUGGAUUUCAAUCCAAAGUCACCAAAUGACACCUCCUACUAUAUUAGGAUGUUCCCCAAGCUUUGGACUCAAUCCGAUAUCGAUUGGUCCAUGAAAUUGGACAAUUCAGGUUCGUACGAAGUUCAUUAUAAAAUGAAGUGGUUGAUGUUUUGCAUAGUUUUAGAGAUUGGAUUUCACUCAAACAACACCAAAUCAUUCCUCCAACCAUAUUAUGGAGUUCCCCAAGUUUUGGACUCAAUCUGAUCUCCACUGGUCCAUGAAAUUGGACAAUUCAGGUUUGUAUGAAGUUCGUUCUAAAAUGGAGUGGUUGGUGUAUUGCACAGUUCUAGAGAUUGGAUUUCACUCAAAACCAACCAAAUGACUCCUCCCACCAUAUUAUGAUGUUGCCGAAGUUUUAGACUCAAUCCGAUAUCGAUUGGUCCAAGAAAUUGGACAAUUCAGGUUCUUACGAUUUUUCUUCUGAAAUGUAUUGGUUGGUGUAUUGCACAGUUCUAGAGAAUGGAUUUCACUCAAAACCAACUAAAUGACUCCUCCCACCAUAUUAUGAUAUUUCCCAAGUUUUGUACUGAAUCCCAUAUCGAUGGGUCCAUGAAAUUGGACAAUUCAGGUUCAUACAAAGUUCGUUCUGAAAUGGAGUGGUUGGUGUAUUGCGUACUUUUAGAGAUUGUAUUUCACUAAAAACCUACGAAAUGACUCCUCCCACAAUAUUAUGAUGUUCUCCCAGUUUUGGACCCAAUCCGAUAUCGAUUGGGCCCUGAAAUUGGACAAUUCAUGUUCAUACGAUUUUUGUUUUGAAAUAGAGUGGUUGGUGUAUUGCAUAGUUUUAGAGAUUGGAUUUCACUCAAAAUUCACCAAAUGACUCCUCCCACCAUAUUAUGUUGUUCCCCAAGUUUUGGACUUAAUCCGAUAUCGAUUGGUCCAAGAAGUUGGACUAUUCAGUUUCGUACGAAGUUCGUUCUGAAAUGGAGUUGUCGGUGUAUUGCAUAGUUCUAGAGAUUGGAUUUCACUCAAAACCAACCAAAUGACUCCUCCCACCAUAUUAUGAUGUUCCCCAUGUUAAGGACUCAAUCCGAUAUCGAUUGGUCCAUGAAAUUGGACAAUUCAGGUUCGUACGAAGUUCGUUCUGAAAUGGAGUGGUUGGUGUAUUGCAUAGUUUUAGAGAUUGGAUUUCACUCAAAACUCACCAAAUGACUCCUCCCACCAUAUUAUGGUGUUCCCCAAGUUUUGGAGUCAAUCCGAUAACGAUUGGUCCAUAAAAUUGGACAAUUCAGGUUCGUACGAAGUUCGUUCUAAAAUGGAGUGGUUGGUGUAUUGCAUAGUUCUAGAGAUUGGAUUUCACUCAAAACCAACCAAAUGACUCAUCCCACCAUAUUAUGAUGUUCCCCGUGUUUUGGACUGAAUCCGAUAUCGAUUGGUCCAAGAAGUUGGACUAUUCAGUUUCGUACGAAGUUCGUUUUGAAAUAGAGUGGUUGGUGUAUUGCAUAGUUUUAGAGAUUGGAUUUCACUCAAAACUCACCAAAUGACUCCUCCCACCAUAUUAUGAUGUUCCUCAAAUUUUGGGCUCAAUCCGAUAUCAAUUUGUCCAAAAAAUUGGACCAUUCAGGUUCGUACGAAGUUCGUUACGAAAUGGAGUGGUUGUUGUACUGCAUAGUUCUAGCGAUUGGAUUUCACUCAAAACUUACCUCAAAACUUACCAAAUGACUCCUUCCCCCAUAUUAUGAUGUUCCCCAAUUUUUGUACUCAAUCCGAUAUCGAUUGGUCCUUGAAAUUCAACAAUUCAGGUUCGUAUGAAGUCCGUUCUGAAAUGGAGUGGUUAGCGUAUUGCAUUGUUCUAGAGAUUGGAUUUCACUCAAUACGUACCAAAUGACUCAUCCCACCAUAUUAUGAUGUUCCCAAAGUUUUGGACUCAAUCCGAUAUCGAUUGGUCCAUGAAAUUGGACAAUUGAAGUUCUUACGAAGUUCUUUCUGAAAUGGAGUGGUUGGUGUACUGCAUAGUUGUGGAGAUUGGAUUUGACUCAAACACAGCCAAAUGACUCCUCCCACCAUAUUAUGAUGUUCCCCAAGUUUUGGUCUCAAUCUGAUAUCGAUUAGUCCAAGAAAUUGGACAAUUCAUGUUCGUACAAAGUUUGUUCUGAAAUGGAAUGGUUGGCGUAUUGCAUUAUUCUAAAGAUUGGAUUUCACUAAAAACCAACCAAAUGACUCCAACCACCGUAUUAUGACGUUCCCCAAGGCGUUGUUCUAGAGAUUCAAUUUCACUUAAAACUAACCAAAUGACUCUUCCCGCCAUAUUAUGACGUUCCCCUGGUUUUGGUCUGAAUCCGAUAUCAAUUUGUCGAAAAAAUUGGAGAAUUCGGGUUCGUAAGAAGUUUGUUAUGAAAUGGAGUGGUUGGUGUAUUGCAUAGUUUUAGAGUUUGGAUUUCACUCAAAACUCACCAAAUGACUCCUCCCACCAUAUUAUGAUGUUCCCCAAAUUUUGGGCUCAAUCCGAUAUCAAUUUGUCCAAAAAAUUGGACCAUUCAGGUUCGUACGAAGUUCGUUCUGAAAUAGAGUGGAUGGUGUAUUGCAUAGUUCUAGAGAUUGGAUUUCACUCAAAACCAGCCAAAUGACUCCUCCCACCAUAUUAUGAUGUUCCCAAAGUUUUGGACUCAAUCCGAUAUCUAUUGGUCCAAGAAAUUGGACAAUUCAAGUUCAUACGAAGUUCGUUCUGAAACGGAGUGGUUGCUAUACUGCAUAGUGCUAGAGGUUGGAUUUCACUCAAAACCUACCAAAUGACUCAUCCCACUAAUAAGGUCAUAAUUUCACACAUUUGCAUGCCUUCUUUGCUUAGUAAUUUUGUUUAGUUUCUGUAUAUUUUUAGUCUCUUACCUAUGUUUGUGUGUUUUGUAGGUUAAGACAGAAAUGGGAUGACAUUUGAUACAAUUCAUGCAUCUUAAGUGCUGAUUGGCAUAAGAGGAAAAUGAGCUUAAAGACAAAACCAAUUUGACCCACACUCCUUGUCAGUCCAGUUUCGUAGGUCAUUUUGCAGGCCUCAUGUCAGCACAUUACACAGGUAGGAUGAGGAGACAUCCUUGAUAGAAGUUGUUCCAAUGGGUGUCUGUUAUAACAUAUCCAAAUUUCAGCCCAAUUGGAUAAAUCUGGAGCACGUCAAAGACUGAACUAAGUUCACAAAAAAGUCAUGUUGGCUGCCAUCACAUUUAAUGUGGCUACAUCCCUAGAGCCAUGUGCUACACAUUAGAGCAGCCACACAUGGGAGACAAAUCAGUAUGGGAACUCAAAAAGAUGAACAAAAGUCAAGCUUUCCAUAAAGAAACCAAGAAAAGUCCACCAAAGCAUGUAUUUGGCAGCUGGAGCAGUUGGCAAGUAUGGGCAGCUGGAGCAGUUGGCAUGUAUGGGCAGUUGGAGCAGUUGGCAGCAGCUAAGAGAGGUGUGCUUCACCAGCCAAAAGGGACGACGAAAUUGCACUCAACACUCUAUAAAUAGAAAGCUGCACACUCAUUCAUAGAGGCAGACACACACAUUCACUUCAUCCAUUACUCUCAUACACACAUUCAGAUUCACCACAAAGAGAGAAGAAAGCUUGGAGCUGUCCUGGGAACUACAUUGCUGUCAUCUAGUUCUUCUCCUCUCUUUAUCCUAUCUAUGUAUUUCUUAUUUUCUGUAUUCAUACUUAUGUCUAACUAAUCCAUUUAGUUAGGGCUUAGGAUGAAGCUCUAGUCAUAAAUAUUCAAUGUUUUGGAUGAUUUUAUAGUUAAUUGAUUUCCUUGCUUUUAUUAUCAAGUUGUUAAUCUCCAGUUUAUUAUGUGCUUGAUGUAUGUUUCUUGGAGUAGCUAACUAGGAUUUUAUGCAUCUAGCACAGGUUGGGAAGGGGUUUGGAUUCACCAAUUCUAAGAAUCAUUCAAGGGGUUAAUAACCAUAGGUUGACUAGGAUAGAUACCAUGUUCUAGGACUUGUGUGAUUAUCAUAUUCUCAUGGAGCUUAAUGACUCUUGUAUGCUUUAUUCUAAGUAGAUACCAUGCUUAGAUUGCAUAUUAGAGAUCACGGGUUGUGUAGAUACCAUGCACGAUUACAUGCCUUAGGAGAAUCAUGCAUCCUGUAACUAGAUACCAUAGGCUUGUAUGCGAUAAUCUAUUGUUGAUGAAGCUUGAGUCAAUUUCUAUGCAUUCAUAUCUUGGAUAGGAAAACUAGUGGUGGAUUCCAAGGCUCUAACACCUCUCAAUCAUUGUUUCACAACUUAUUGAUUGCUGCCAGUGUUUACUUUCGAGCACUUUCAUUUCACUUUCUUCUUUUCAAUUCAACAACAAAGCCCCCCAUUUCGAGUGCGUGUGUGGCGCUAGGAUUCUGUCUUAGACCUUGAGUAAUUACUAAGAGGCAUUAUUGAAUUCGACCUUGCCUUUAGCUAGUUAGUCAGUUUCUUUGUUCUAUGUCUUUCAAGAAUUGGGAUCGACCUCGAAUUUACACAGGCUAUACUAUAAACGGUUCUUGUACUUGCGAGAAUUAAAGUUGCUGUUUUUAAUAACUCAUUUUAGUUGUUUAGAAUAGUCACAACACCCACCAUAUUAUGAUGUUCCCUAAGUUUUGGACUCAAUCUGAUAUCGAUUGGUCCAAGAAAUUGGACAAUUCAGGUUCGUACGAAGUUCAUUCUGAAAUGGAGUGGUCGGUGUAUUGCAUAGCUCUAGAGAUUGGAUUUCACUCAAAACCAAUCAAAUGACUCCUCCCACCAUAUUAUGAUGUUCCCCAAGUUUUGGAGUCAAUCUGAUAUCGAUUGGUCCAACAAAUUGGACAAUUCAGGUUCGUACCAAGUUCGUUCUGAAAUGGAUUCGUCGGUGUAUCGCAUAGUUCUAGAGAUUGGAUUUCACUCAAAACCAACCGAAUGACUCCUCCCACCAUAUUAUGUUGUUCCCCAAGUUUUGGACUCAAUCCGAUAUUGAUUGGUACAAGAAAUUGGACAAUUCAAGUUCGUACGUAGUUCGUAUUGAAAUGGAGUGGUCGGUGUAUUGCACAGUACUAGAGAUUGGAUUUCACUCAAAACCCACCAAAUGACUCCUCCCACCAUAUUAUGAUGUUCUCCAAGUUUUGGACUCAAUUAGAUAUCGGUUGGUCCAAGAAAUUGGAUAAUUCAGGUUCUUACGUAGUUUGUUUGAAAUGGAGUGGUCGGUGUAUUGCAUAGUUCUAGACAUUGGAUUUCACUCAAAACCAACCAAAUGACUCCUCCCACCAUAUUAUGAUGUUCCCCAAAUUUUGGACUCAAUCUGAUAUCGAUUUGUCUAAGAAAUUGGACAAUUCAGGUUCGUAUGAAGUUCGCUCUAAAAUGGAGUCGUUGGUGUAUUGUAUCGUUCUACAGAUUGGAUUUCACUCAAAACUGACCAAAUGACUUCUCCCACCAUAUUAUGAUGUUCCCUAAGUUUUGGACUCAAUCCGAUAUGGAUUGGUCCAUAAAAUUGGACAAUUCAAGUUCGUACGAAGUUUGUUCUGAAAUGGACUGGUUGGUGUAUUGCAUAGUUUUAGAGAUUGGAGUUCACUCAAAAACUACGAAAUGACUCCUCCCACCAUAUCAUGUUCCCCAAGGUUUGGAGUCAAUCCGAUAUCGAUUGGUCCCUAAAAUUGGAAAAUUCAGGUUCGUACGAAGUUCGUUCUUAAAUGGAGUGGUUGGUGUAUUGCAUAGUUCUAGAGAUUGGAUUUCACUCAAAAUCAUCAAAAUGACUCCUCCCACCAUAUUAUGAUAUUCCCCAAGUUUUGGACUCAAUCCGAUAUCGCUGGGUCCCUGAAAUUGGACAAUUCAGAUUCGUACGAAGUUCGUUCUGAAAUAGAGUGGUUAGUGUAUUGCAUAGUUCUAGAUAUUGGAUUUCACUCAAAAUCAACCAAAUGACUCCUCCCACCAUAUUAUAAUAUUCUCCAAGUUUUGGACUCAAUCUGAUAUAGAUUGGUCCAUGAAAUUGGACAAUACAGGUUCGUACGAAGUUCGUUCUAAAAUGGUGUGGUUGGUGUAUUGCAUUUUUCUAGAGAAUGGAUUUCACUGAAAAGCAUCCAAAUGACUCCUCCCACCAUAUUAUGAUGUUCCCCAAGUUUUGGGCUCAUCCGAUAUCGAUUGGUCUAAGAAAUUGGACAAUUCAGGUUCGUAUGAAGUUCGUUCUGAAAUGGACUGGUUGGUGUAUUGCAUAGUUUUAGAGAUUGGAUUUCACUCAAAACCUAUGAAAUGACUCCUCCCUCCAUAUCAUGUUCCCCAAGUUUUGGACUCAAUCCGAUAUCGAUUGGUACAUGAAAUUGGACAAUUCAGGUUCGUACGAAGUUCAUUCUGAAAUGGGGUGGUUGGUGUAUUGCAUAGUUCUGGAGAUUGGAUUUCACUCAAACACAAAAUGACUCCUCCCACCAUAUUAUGAUAUUCCCCAAGUUUUGGACUGAAUUCGAUAUCGAUUGGUCCAUGAAAUUGGACAAUUCAGGUUCGUGCGAAGUUGGUUCUGAAAAGAAGUGGUUGAUGUAUUGCAUAGUUCUAGAGACUGGAUUUCACUCAAAACCUACAAAACGACUCCUCCCACCAUAUUAUGAUGCUCCCCAAGUUGCUCAAUCCGGUAUCGAUUUGUCCAAGAAAUUGGAUAACUCAGGUUCGUGUGAAGUUCGUUCUAAAAUGAAGUGGUUGGUGUAUUGCACAGUUCUAGAGAAUGGAUUUCACUCAAAACCUACCAAAUGACUACUCCCACCAUAUUAUGUUGUUCCUCAAGUUUUGGGCUCAAUCCGGUUUCAAUUUUUCCAAGAAAUUGGACAAUUCAGGUUCGUGUGAAGUUCGUUCUGAAUUGAAGUGAUUGCUGUAUUGCACAGUUCUAGAGAUUGGAUUUCACUCAAAAUCAACCAAAUGACUCGUACCACCGUAUUAUGAUAUUCCACAAGUUUUGGACUCAAUUCGAUAUCCAUUGGUCCGUGAAAUUGGACAAUUCAGGUUCGUAUGAAGUUGGUUAUGAAAUGAAGUGGUUGAUAUAUUGCAUAGUUCUGGAGACUGCAUCUCACUCAAAACCUAUGAAAUGACUCCUCCCACCAUAUUAUGAUGCUCCCCAAGUUUUGGACUCAAUUCGAUAUCAAUAGGUCCGUGAAAUUGGACAAUUCAGGUUCGUACGAAGUUCGCUCUGAAAUAGAGUUGUUGGUGUAUUGCAUUGUUCUAGAGAUUGGAUUUUGCUGAAAACCAACCAAAUGACUCCUCCCACCAUAUUAUGUUGUUCCCCAAGUUUUAAACUCAAUCCGAUAUCGAUAGGUCCACGAAAUUGGUUAAUUCAGGUUCCUGCGAAGUUAGCUCUGAAAUGGAGUGGUUUGUGUACUGCAUUGUUCUAGGGAUUGGAUUUCACUCAAAACCAAGCAAAUGACUCCUCCGACCGUAUUACGAUGUUCCCCAAGUUUAGGGCUCAAUCCGGUUUCGAUUUGUCCAAGAAAUUGGACAAUUCAGGUUCGUACGAAAUUGGUUCUAAAAUGAAGUGGUUGGUGUAGUGUAUAGUUCUAACAUUGGAUUUCACUCAAAAUCAACCAAAUGGCUCCUCCCACCAUAUUAUGAUAUUCCCCAAGUUUUGGACUCAAUCCGAUAUCGAUUAGUUCAUGAAAUUGGACAAUUCAGGUUCGUACGAAGUUCGUUGUGAAAUGGUGUGGUUGUUGUAUUGCAUUUUUCUAGAGAUUGGAUUUCACCGAAAACCAUCCAAAUGACUCCUCCCACCGUAUUGUGAUAUUCGCCAGGUUGUGGACUCAAUCCGAUGUCAAUUGGUCCAUGAAAUUGGACAAUUCAGGUUCGUACGAAGUUCAUUCUGAAACGGAGUGGUUGGUGUAUUACAUAGUUUUAGAGAUUGGAUUUCACUCAAAACCUACCAAAGGACUCCUCCCACGAUAUUAUGAUGUUCCCCAAGUUUUCGACUCAAUCGGAUAUCGAUUGGUCCAAGAAAUUGGACAAUUCGGGUUCGUAUGAAUUUCACUCUGAAAUGGAGUGGUUGGUGUAUUGCAUAGUUCUAGAGAUUGGAUUUCACUCAAAACCUACCAAUUGACUCCUCCCACCGUACUAUGUUGUUCCCCAAGUUUUGGACUCAAUCCGAUAUCGAUUGGUCCAUGAAAUUGGACAUUUCAGUUUUGUACGAAGUUCGUUCUGGAAUGGAGUGGUCGGUGUAUUGCAUAGUUUUAGAGAUUCGAUUUCACUGAAAACCUACCUAAUGACUCCUCCCACCAAAUUAUGAUGUUCCCCAAAUUUUGGACCCCAUGCGAUAACGAUUGGUCCAUGAUAUUGCACAAUUCAAGUUCUUACGAAGUUCGUUUUGCAUAGUUUUAGAUAUUGAAUUUCACUCAAAGAGCACCAAAUGAUUCCUCCCACCAUAUUAUGUUGUUCCCCAAGUUUUGGACUCAACCCGAUAUCGUUUGGUACAUGAAAUUGGACAAUUCAAGUUCGUACAAAGUUUCUUCUAAAGUGGAGUGGUGGGUGUAUUGCGUAGUUUUAGAGAUUGGAUUUCACUCGAAACUCACCAAAUGACUCCUCCCACCAUUUUAUGAUGUUCCCCAAGUUUUGGACUCAAUUCGAUAUGGUUUGGUCCAUGAAAUUGGACAAUUCAGGUUCGUACGAAGUUCGUUCUGAAACGGAGUGGUUGGUGUAUUGCAUAGUUUUAGAGAUUCGAUUCCACUCAAAACGUACCUAAUGACUCCUCCCACCAUAUCAUGGUGUUCCCCAAGUUUUGGACCCAAUCCGAUAUGGAUUGGUCCACGAUAUUGGACAAUUCACGUUCUUACGAACUUCGUUCUAACAUAGAGAGGUUUGUGUUUUGCAUAGUUUUAGAUAUUGGAUUUCACUCAAAGAGCACCAAAUGACUCCUCCCACCAUAUUAUGAUGUUCCCCAAGUUUUGGACUCAAUCUGAUAUCGUUUGGUUCAUGAAAUUGGACAAUUCAGGUUCUUACGAAGUUCGUUCUGAAAUUGAGUAGUUGGUGUAUUGCAUAGUUCUAGAGAUUGGAUUUCAAUCAAAACCUACCAAACGACUCCUCCCACCAUACUAUGAUGGUGCCCACGUUUUGGACUCAAUCCGAUAUCGAUUGGUUAUUGAAAUUGGACAAUUCUGGUUCGUACGAAGUUCGUUCUAAAAUGGAGUGGUUGGUGUAUUGCAUAGUUUUAGUGACUGGAUUUCCCUCAAAACUGACCAAUUGACUCCUCCUACCAUAUUAUGAUGAUCCCCAAGUUUCGGGCACAAUCCGAUAUCGAUUGGACCUUGAAAUUGGACAAUUCAGGUUCGUACGAUGUUUGUUCUGAAAUGGAGUGGUUGGUGUAUUGCAUAGUUCUAGAAAUUGAAUGUCACUCAAAACCUUCCUAAUGAUUCCUCCCACCAUAUUAUGAUGUUUCCCAGGUUUUGGACUCAAUCUGACAUCGAUUGGUCCAUGAAAUUGGACAAUUCAGUUUCGUACGAAGUUCGUUCUGAAAUGGAGUGGUUGUUGUAUUGCAUAGUUUUAAAGAUUGGAUUUCACUUAAAACUCACCAAAUGACUGCACCCACCAUAGUAGAAUGUUCCCCAAGUUUUGGGCUCAGUCUGAUAUCGAUUGGUCCAUAAAAUUGGACAAUUCGGUUUCGUGCGAAGUUCGUUCUGAAAUGGAAUGGUUGGUGUUUUGCUUAGUUUUAGGGGUUGGAUUCCACUCAAAACUCCCGAAAUGACUCAUCCCACCAUAUUAUGAUGUUCCCCGAGUUUUGGGCUCAAUCCGAUAUAGAUUGGUCCAUGAAAUUGGACAAUUCGGUUCGUACGAAGUUCAUUCUGAAAUGGAGUGGUUGGUGUUUUGCAUAACUUUAGAGAUUGGAUUUCUCUCAAAAAGCAACAAAUGACUCCUCCCACCAUAUUAUGGAGUUUCCCAACUUUUGCACUCAAUCCAAUAUCGAUUGGUCCAUGAAAUUGGACAAUUCAGGUUCGUACGAAGUUCGCCCAAAACUGGACAAUUCAGGUUCGUAUGAAAUUGGACAAAAGGUGUGCUUGGUGUAUUGCAUUGUUUUAGUGAUUGGAUUUCACUCAAAACUCCCCAAAAGACUCCUCCCACCCUAUUAUCAUGCUCCCCAAGUUUUGGACUCAAUCCGCUAUCGAUUGGUAAACGAAAUUGGACAAUUCAGGUUCGUACGAAGUUCGUUCUGAAAUGGAGUGAUUGGUGUGUUGCAUAGUUCUGUAGAUUCGAUUUCACUCCAAAGUCACCAAACGACUCCUCCCUCCAUAUUAUGAUGUUCCCCAAGAUUUGGGCUCAAUCCGAUAUCGAUUGGUCCAUGAGUUUGGACAAUUACGGUUCGUACGAAGUUUGUUAUUUAAUGGAGUAAUUUGUGUUUUUCCUAGUUUGAGAUAUUGGAUUUCACUCAAAGAGCACCAAAUGUCUCCUCCCACCAUAUUAUGAUGUUCCCCAGGUUUUGGACUCAAUCCGAUAUCGAUUGGUCCAUGAGUUUGGACAAUUACGGUUCGUACGAAGUUCGUUUUGAAAUGGAGUAGUUUGUGUUUUGCAUAGUUUUAGAUAUUGGAUUUCACUCAAAGAGCACCAAAUGACUCCUCCCACCAUAUUAUGAUGUUCCCCAAGUUUUGGACUCAAUCCGAUAUUGAUUGGUCGUUGAAAUUGGACAAUUCAGGUUCGUACGAAAUCCGUUCCGAAAUGGAGUGGUUGGUCUGUUGCAUAGUUUUAGAGAUUGGAUUUCACUCAAAACUCACCAAAUGGCUCCUUCUACCACGUUAUAAUGUUCCCCAAGUUUUGGGCUCAAUCCGAUAUCGAUUGGUACAUCAAAUUGGACAAUUCAGGUUCGUACGAAGUUCGCUCUGAAAUGGAGUGGUUUGUGUAGUGCAUAGUUCUAGAGAUUGGAUUUCAUUCAUAACCUACCAAAUGAGUCCUCCCCCCAUAUUAUGAUGUUCCCCAAGGUUUGGACUCAAUCCGAUAUCGAUUGGUCCAUGACAUUGGACAAUUCAGGUUCGUACAAAGUUCGUUCUGAAAUGGUGUGGUUGGUGUAUUGCACAGUUCUAGAGAUUGGAUUUCACUUAAAGCUCACCAAAUGACUCCUCCCACCACAUUAUGAUGUUCCCCAAGUUUUGGACUCAAUCCGAUAUCGAUUCAUCCAUGAAACUAUACAAUUUAGGUUCGUACGAAGUUCGUUCUUAAAUGGAGUGGUUGGUGAAUUGUAUAGUUCUAGAGAUUGGAUUUUGCUCAUAAACUACCAAAUGACUCCUCCCACCGUAUGAUGAAGGUCCCCAAGUUUUGGACUCAAUUCGAUAUCGAUUGGUCCAUGAAAUUGGACAAUUCAGGUAUGUACGAAGUUCGUUCUGAAAUGGUGUGGUUGGUGUAUUGCACAGUUCUAGAGAUUGGAUUUCACUCAACACCUACCAAAUGACUCCUCCCACCAUAUUCUGAUGUUCCCCAAGUUUUGGACUCAAUCCGAUAUCGAUUCGUCAAUGAAAUUGGACAAUUCAGGUUCGUACGAAGAUCGUUCUGAAAUGGAGUGAUUGGUGUUUUGCAUAGUUUUACACAUUGGAUUUCACUCAAAACUAACGAAAUGACUCCUCCCACCAAAUUAUGUUGUUCCCCAAGUUUUGGACUCAAUCCGAUAUUGAUUGGUCCACGAAAUUGGACAAUUCAGGUUCGUACGAAUUUCGUUAUGAAAUGGAGUGAUUAGUGUAUUGCAUAGUUCUAGAGAUUGAAUUUCAAUCAUAACCUACCAAAUGACUACUCCCACCAUAUUAUGAUGUUCCCAAAGUUUUGGAAUCAAUCCGAUUUCGAUUGGUCCAUGAAAUUGGACAAUUCAGGUUCGUACGAAGUUUGUUAUGAAAUGGAGAGGUUGGAGAUUGGAUUUCACUUAAAAAACUCACCAAAUGACUCCUCCCACCAUAUUAUGAUGUUCCCCAAGUUUUGGACUCAAUCCGAUAUCGAUUGGUCCAUGAAAUUCGCCAAUUCAAGUUCGUACGAAGUUCUUUUCGCUGUGGAAGGAUGGGUGUGUUGAACAGUUUUGGGUAUUGGAUUUCACUCAAAACUCACCAAAUUACUCCUCCCACCAAAUUAUGAUGUUGAACAAGUUUGGGACUCAAUCCGAUAUCGAUUGGUCAAUGAAAUUGGACAAUUCCGGUUCGUACGAAGUUCGUUCUGAUAUGGAGUGGUUGGUGUAUUGCAUAGUUUUAGAGAUUGGAUUUCACUCAAAACUCACCAAAUGACUUGGCCCAUUGUUGAGACUAUUCUUAACAACUAAAAUGUGUUAUUAAAAACAGUAACUUUAAUUCUCGCAAGUGCACGAACCGUUUAUAGUAUAGCUUAUGUAAAUACGAGGUCUUUCCCACGGAGAAUGGUAACUUGGUUCCAAGUUAAAUUACUUAGAAUGCUAGAAAAAUAUAGAACAAAUGCCUCUUGCUAAUUACUCAAGGUCUAGGACAGAAUCCUAGCACCACACACGCACUCGAAAUGGGGGGUUUUGUCGUUGAAAUGAAAAGAAGAAAGUGAAAUGAAAGUGCUCGAAAGGAAACACUGGCUGUAAUUAACAGAUUGUGAAACAAUAAUUGAGAAGUAUUAGAGCCUUGGAAUCCACCACUAGUUUUCCUAUCCAAGUUAUGAAUGCAUAGAAAUUGACUCAAGCUUCAUCAACAAUAGAUUAUCACAUACAAGCCUAUGGUAUCUAGGUGCAGAAUCCAUGAUUCUCCUAAGGCAUGUGAUUAUGCAUGGUAUCUACACAACACGUGAUCUCUAAUAUGCAACCUAAGCAUGGUAUCUACUUAGAAUAAAGCAUACAAGAGUCAUUAAGCUCCUUGAGAAUAUGAUAAUCACACAAGUCCUAGAACAUGGUAUCUUUCCUAGUCAAUCUAAGGUUAUUAACCCCUUGAAUAAUUCUUAGGCCAUUCAUGUGUUGCUUGUGAAAGGAGAGUAGAAUUGGUGAAUCUAAACCCCUUCCCAACCGAUGCUAGAUGCAUAAAAUCCUAGUUAGCUACUCCAAGAAAACAUAUAUCAAGCACAUAAUAAACUGGAGAUUAACAACUUGAUAAUAAAUGCAAGGAAAUCAAUUAACUAUAAAAUCAUCCAUAACAUUGAAUAUUCAUGACUAGGUCUUCAUCCUAAGCCCUAACUAAAUGGAUUAGUUAGACAUAACUAUGAAUACAGAAAAUAAUAAAUACAUAGAUAGGAUAAAGAGAGGAGAAGAACUAGAUGACAGUAAUGUAGUUCCCAGGACAGCUCCAAGCUCCCUUCUCUCUUUGUGGUGAAUCUGAAUGUGUGUAUGAGAGUAAUGGAUGAAGUGAAUGUGUGUGUCUACUUCUAUCUUGAAUGAGUGUGCAGCUCUCUAUUUACAGAGGGCAAUUGCGUCCUCCCUUUUGGCUGGUGAAGCACACCUCUCUUAGCUGCUCCCAACUGUUCUAGCUGCCCAUACAUGCCAACUGCUACAGCUGCCGACACUUGCCAACUGCUCCAGCUGCCAAAUACAUGCUUUGGUAUGGUUUCUUUAUGGAAAACUUGACUUUUGUUCAUCCUUUUGAGUUCCUGAGCUGAUUUGACUCCCAUGUGUGGCUGCCCACGUGUAGCACAUGGCUCUAGGGAUGUAGCCACAUUAAAUGUGAUGGCAGCCAACAUGACAUUUUUGUGAACUUGGUUCAGUCAUUGACGUGCUGAGGGGUUCAGAUUUAUCCAAUUGGGUUGAAAUUUGGAUAUGUUAUAAUAGACACCCAUGUGCACAACUUCUAUCAAGGAUGUCUCCUCAUCCGACCUGUGUAAGUUUUGGACUCAAUCGGAUAUCUAUUGGUCCAUGAAAUUGGACAAUUCAGGUUCGUACAAAGUUCAUUAUGAAAUAGAUUGGUUGGUGUUUUGCAUAGUUUUAGAGAUUGGAUUUCACUCAAAACCUACCAAAUGACUAAUCCCACAAUAUUAUGAUGUUCCCCAAGUUUUGGACUCAAUCCGAUAUCGGUUGGUCCAUAAAAUUUGCCAAUUCAAGUUCGUACGAAGUUCUUUCCGCUGUGGAGUGGUGGGUGUCUUGAACAGUUUUAGGUAUUAGAUUUCACUCAAAACUCACCAAAUUAGUCCUCCCACCAAAUUAUGAUGUUGAACAAUUUUUGGAUUCAAUUCGAUAUUGAUUGGUCCUUGAAAUUGUACAAUUCAGGUUCGUACGAAGUUCAUUCUGAAAUGGAGUGGUUUGUGUUUUUCAUAGUUUGCGAAAUUGGAUUUCAAUAAAAGAGCACCAAAUGUCUCUUCCCACCAUAUUAUGAUGUUCCCCAGGUUUUGGAGUCAAUCCGAUAUCGAUUAUUCCAUGAGUUUGGACAAUUACGAUUCGUACAAAGUUCAUUCUGAAAUGGAGUAGUUUGUGCUUUGCAUAGUUUUAGAUAUUGGAUUUCACUCAAAGAGCACCAAAUGACUCCUCCUAUAUUAUGAUGUUCCCCAACUUUUGGACUUAAUCCGACAUCAAUUGGUCCAUGAAAUUGGACAAUUCAGGUUCGCACGAAGUUCGUUUUGAAAUGGAGUGGUUGGAGUAUUGUACACUUUAGAGAUUGGAUUUCACGCAAAACUCACCAAAUGACUCCUCCCACCAUAUUAUGAUGUUCCCCAAGUUUUGGACUCAAUCUGAUAUCGAUUGGUCCAUGAAAUUGGACAAUUCAGGUUCGUACUAAGUUCGUUCUCAAAUGGAGUGAUUGGUGUAUUGCAUAGUUUUGGAGAUUCGAUUUCACUCGAAACUCACCAAAUUUCUCCUCCCACCAUAUUAUGAUGUUCCCCAAGUUUUGGACACAAUCCGAUAUCGAUUGCUCCGUGAAAUUGGACAAUUUAGGUUCAGGCGAAGUUCGUUCUAGAAUGGAGUGGUUGGUGUUUUGCAUAGUUUUAGACACUGGAUUUCACUCAAAACUUACCAAAUGACUCCUCCCACCAAAUUAUGAUGUUCCCCAAGUUUUCGACUCAAUCCAACAUCGAUUCCUCCAUGAAAUUGGACAAUUCAGGUUCGUACGAAGUUCGUUCUAAUAUGGAGUAGUUUGGGUUUUGCAUGGUUUUAGAUAUUGGAUUUCACUCAGAGAGCACCAAGUGACUCCUCCCACCAUAUUAUAAUGUUCCCCAUGUCUUGGGCUACCGACUGGUCCGUGAAAUUGGACAAUUCAGGUUCGCACUAAGUUCGUUCUGAAAUGGAGUGGUUGGUGUAUUGCAUAGUUCUAGAGAUUGGAUUUCACUCAAAACCUACCAAAUGACUCCUCCCACCACACUAUGAUUUUCCCCAAGUUUUGGACUCAAUCCGAUAUCGAUUGGUCGAUGAAAUUGGACAAUUCAGGUUCGUACGAAGUUCGUUCAGAAAUAGAGUGGUUGGUGUAUUGGAUAGUAUUAGAGAUUCGAUUUCACUCAAAACCCACCAAAUGACUCCUCCCACCAUACUAUGUUGUUCCCCAAGUUUUUGACUCAAUCCAAUAUCAAUUGCUCUGCGAAAUUGGACAUUUCAGGUUCGUACGAAGUUCGUUCUGAAAUGGUGUGGUUUUUGUUUGCAUAGUUUUAGAUAUUGGAUUUCACUCAAAGAGCACCAAAUGACUCCUCCCACCAUAUUAUGAUGUUCCCCAAGUUUUGGACUCAAUUCGAUAUCGAUUGGUCCAUGAAGUUGGACAAUUCAGGUUCGUACAAAGUUCGUUCUGAAAUAGAGUGGUUUGUGUUUUGCAUAGUUUUAGAUAUUGGAUUUCACUCAAAACACACCAAAUGACUCCUCCCACCAUAUUAUGAUGUUCCCCAAGUUUUGGACUUAAUCCGAUAUUGAUUGGUACAUGAAUUUGGACAAUUCAAGUUCGUACGAACUUUGUUCUGAAAUGGAGUAGUUGGUUUGUUGCAUAGUUUUAGAGAUUGGAUUUCACUCAAAACUCACCAAAUGACUCCUCCCACUACAUUAUAAUGUUCCCCAAGUCUUGGGCUCAAUCCGAUAUCGAUUGGUCCAUGAAAUUAGAAAAUUCAGGUUCGUACGAAGUUCGUUCUCAAAUGCAGUGGUUGGUGUAUUGCACAGUUUCAGAGAUUGGAUUUCGCUCAAAACUCACCAAAGGACUCCUCCCACUACAUUAUGAUGUUUCCCAACUUUUGGACUUAAUCCGAUGUCGACUGGUCCAUGAAAUUGGACAAUUUAGAUUCGUACGAAGUUCGUUUUGAAAUGGAGUGGUUGGUAUAUUGCAUAGUUUUAGAAAUUCAAUUUCACUCAAAACUCACCAAAUGUCCCACCAUAUUUUGAUGUUCCCCAAAUUUUGGACUCAAUCCGAUAUCGAUUGGUAAAUUAAAUUGGACAAUUCAGGUUCGCAUGAAAUUCUUUGUGAAAUGGAGUGGUUUAUUGUAUUGCAUAGUUCUUAAUAUUGGAUUUCACUCAAAGAGCACCAAAUGAUCCCUGCCACCAUAUUAUCAUGUUCCACAAGUUUUGGACUCAAUCCGAUAUCGAUUGGUCUACGAAAUUGGACAAUUCAGGUUCGUACGAAGUUCGUUCUGAAAUGCAGUGGUUUAUGCUUUGCAUAGUUUUAGAUAUUGGAUUUCACUCAAAAUGUACCAACUGACUCCUGCCACCAUUUUAUGAUGUUCCCCAAGUUUUGGAUUCAAUCCGAUAUCGAUUGGUCCACAAAAUUGGACUGUUCAGGUUCGUACGAAGUUCGUUCUGAAAUGGAGUGGUUGGUGUUUUCCCUAGUUUUAGAGGUUGGAUUUCACUCAAAACUCGGCAAAUGACUCCUCCCAUCAUAUUAUGAUGUUCCCCAAGUUUUGGACUCUAUCCGAUAUCGAUUGGUCCAUGAAAUUGGACAAUUUAGGUUCGUACUAAGUUUGUUCUCAAAAUGCAGUGGUUGGUGUACUGCAUAGUUCUAGAGAUUGGAUUUCACUCAAAACCUACCAAAUGACUCCUCCCUCCAUAUUAAGAUAUUCCUCAAGUUUUGGACUCAAUCCUAUAUCGAUUAAUCCAUGAAAUUGGACAAUUCAAGUUCGUAAGUAGUUCGUUCUGAAAUGGCUUGGUUUGUGUUUUGCAUAGUUGAAGAUAUUGGAUUUCACUCAAAGAGAACCAAAUGACUCCUCGCACCGUAUUAUGAUGUUCCCCAAGUUUUUAACUCAAUCUGAUAUCGAUUGGUCCACGAAAUUGGACUGUUCAAGUUCGUAGAAGUUCGUUCUAAAAUGGACUGGUUGGGGUUUUCCAUAGUUUUAGAGAUUGAAUUUCACUCAAAACCAACCAAAUGACUCCUCCCGCCAUAUUAUGAUAUACCCCAAAUUUUGGACUCAAUCCGAUAUCGAUUAGUCAAUGAAAUUGGACAAUUCAAGUUCGUACGUAGUUCGUUCUGAAAUGGAGCGGUUUGUGUUUUGCAUAAUUCUAAAGAUUGGAUUUCACUCAAAACUCACAAAAUGACUCCUCCCACCAUUUUAUAAUGUUCCCCAAGUUUUGGGAGCUAUCCGAUAUGCAUUGGUCCAUGAAAUUGGACAAUUCAGGUUCGUACGAAGUUCGUUUUGAAAUGGAGUGGUUGGUGUGUUGCUUAGCUCUAGAGAUUGGAUUUCACUCAAAACCAACCAAAUGACUCCUCCCGCCAUAUUAUGAUAUUCCCCAAAUUUUGCACUCAAUCCGAUAUCGAUUAGUCCAUGAAAUUGGACAAUUCAAGUUCGUACGUAGUUCGUUCUGAAAUGGAGUGGUUUGUGUUUUGCUUAGUUUAAGAUAUUGGAUUUCACUAAAAGAGAACCGAAUGACUCCUCCCACCAUAUUAUGAUGUUCCCCAAGUUUUGGACUGAAUCCGAUAUCGAUUGGUCCCAUGACAUUUUGCUGUUCAGGUUCGUAUGAAGUUCGUUCUGAAAUGGACUGGUUGGUGUUUUCCAUAGUUUUAGAGAUUGGAUUUCACUCAAAAUUCAGCAAAUGACUCAUCCCACCUUAUUAUGAUGUUCCCCAAGUUUUGGACUCAAUCCGAUAUCGAUUGGUCCAUGAAAUUGGACACUUCCGGUUAGUGUGAAGUUUGUUCUGAAAUGGGGUGGUUUGUGUAUUGCAUAGUUUUUGAGAUUGGAUUUCACUCAAAACUCACGAAAUGACUCCUCCCACCAUUUUACAAUGUUCCCCAUUUUUUGGGAUCAAUCCCAUAUCCAUUGGCCCAAGAAAUUAGACAAUACAGGUUUUUACAAACUUUGGACUCAAUCUGAUAUCGAUAGUCCAUAAAAUUGGACAAUUCAGGUUCGCACGCUUUUCGUUCCUAAAUGGAGUGGUUGGUGUAUUGUAUAGUUCUAGAGAUUGGAUUUCACUCAUAACCUACCAUAUGACUCCUCCCACCAUAUUAGGAUGUUCCCCAAGUUUUGGACUCAAUUCGAUAUCGAUUGGUCCUUGAAAUUGGACAAUUCAGGUUCAUACGAAUUUCUUUCUGAAAUGGAGUGGUUGGUUUAUUGUAUAGUUCUAGAGAUUGGAUUUCACUAAAAACCAACCAAAUGACUCCUCCCACCAUAUUAUGAUAUUCCCCAAGUUUUGGACUCAAUCCGAUAUCAAUUAGUGCAUGAAAUUGGACAAUUCUGGUUCGUACGAAGUUCGUUAUGAAAUGGAGUGGUUGGUGUAUUGCAUAUUAAUAGAGAUUGGAUUUCACUCAUAACCUGCCAAAUGACUCCUCCCACCACAUUAUGAUGUUCCCCAAGUUUUGGACUUCAUCCGAUAUCGAUUGGUCCAUGAAAUUGGACAAUUCAGGUUCGUACGGAGUUCGUUCUGAAAUGGAGUGGUUGGUGUAUUGCAUAGUUCUAGAGAUUGGAUUUCACUCAAAACUCACCAAAUGACUGCUCCUUUCAUAUCAUGCUGUUCCCGAUGUUUUAGGCUCAAUCCGAUAUCGAUUGGUCCAUGAAAAUGGACAAUUCUGUUUCGUACGAAGUUCAUUGUGAAAUGGAGUGGUUGGUGUAUUGCAUAGUUUUAGGGAUUGGAUUUCACUCAAAACUCACCAAGUGACUCCUCCCAACAUAUUAUGAUGUUCCCCAAGUUUUGGACUCAAUCCGAUAUCGAUUGUUCCAUGAAAUUGGAAAAUACAAGUUCGUAUGAAGUUCGUUCAGAAAUGGAGUGGUUGGUGUUUUGCAUAGUUUUAUACUUUGGAUUUUACACAAAACUCACCAAAUGACUCCACCCACCGAAUUACGAUGUUCCCCAACUUUUGGACUCAAUGCGAUGUCGAUUGGUCCAUGAAGUUGGACAAUUCAGGUUCGCACGAAGUACGUUCUGAAACGGAGUGGUUCGUGUUUUGCAUAGUUUUAGACAUUGGAUUUCACUCAAAACUCACCAAAUGACUCCUCCCACCGAAUUAUGUUGUUCCCCAAGUUUUGGACUCAAUCCAAGAUCGAUUUGUCCAUGAAAUCGGACAAUUCAGGUUCGUACGAAGUUUGUUCUCAAAAUGCAGUGGUUAGUGUAUUGCAUAGUUCUAGAGAUUGGAUUUCACUCAAAACCUUCCAAAUGACUCCUCCCACCAUACUAUCAUCUUCCCCAAGUUUUGGACUGAAUCCGAUAUCGAUUGGUCCACGAAAUUGGAUAGUUCAGGUUCGUACGAAGUUCGUUCUGAAAUAGAGUGGUUGGUGUAUUGCAUAGUUCUGGAGAUUGGAUUUCACUCAAAAACAACCAAAUGACUCCUCCCGCCAAAUUAUGAUAUUCCCCAAGUUUUGGACUCAAUCCGAUAUCGAUUGGUCCAUGAAAUUGGACAACUCAGGUUCGUACGAAGUUCGUUUUGAAAUGGAGUGGUUGGUGUAUUGCAUAAUUUUAGAGAUUGGACUUCACUCAAGACACACCAAAUGACUCCUCCAAUCAUAUUAUGAUGUUUCCCAAGUUUUGGACUCAAUCCGAUAUCGAUUGGUCCAUGAAAUUGGACAAUUCAUGUGCGUACGUUGUUCGUUCUGAAAUAGAGUGGUUGGUGUAUUGCAUAGUUUUAGAGAUUGGAUUUCACUCAAAACCAACCAAAUGACUCCUCCCGCCAAAUUAUGAUAUUCCCCAAGUUUUGGACUCAAUUCGAUACCGAUUGCUCCAAGAAAUUGAACAAUUCAGGUUCUUUCGAAGUUCGUUUUGAAAUGCAGUGGUUGGUGUAUUGCAUAGUUUUAGGGAUUGGAUUUCACUCAAGACACACCAAAUGCCUCCUCCAAUCAUAUUAUGAUGUUUCCCGAGUUUUGGACUCAAUCCGAUAUCGAUUGGUCCAUGAAAUCGGACAAUUCAUGUGCGUACGUUGUUCGUUCUGAAGUAGAGUGGUUGGUGUAUUGCAUAGUUUUAGAGAUUGGAUUUCACUCAAACCAACUAAAUGACUCCUCCCGCCAAAUUAUGAUAUUCCCCAAGUUUUGGACUCAAUCCGGUACAGAUUGCUCCAUGAAAUUGGACAAUUCAGGUUGUUACGAAGUUCGUUCUGAAAUGGAGUGGUUGGUGUUUUGCAUAGUUUUAGAUAUUGUAUUUCACUCAAAACGCACCAAAUGACUACUCCCACCAUAUUAUGAUGUUCCCCAUGAUUUGGACUCAAUCCGAUAUCUAUUGGUCCAUGAAAUUGGAUAAUUCAGUUUCGUACAAAGUUCAUUGUGAAAUGGACUGGUUGGUGUAUUGCAUAGUUUUAGGGAUUGGAUUUCACUCAAAACUCACCAAAUGACUCCUCCGACCAUAUGAUGAUGUUCCGCAAGUUCUGGACUCAAUCCGAUAUCAAUUGUUCCAUGAAAUUGGACAAUUCAGGUUCAUACGAAGUUCGUUCAGAAAUGGAGUGGUUGGUGUUUUGCAUAGUUUUCGACAUUGGAUUUCACUCAAAACUCACCAAAUGACUCCGCCGAUCGAAUUAUGAUGUUCUCCAGGUUUUGGACUUAGUCUGAUAUCGAUUGGUUCACGAAAUUGGACAAUUCAGGUUCUUACAAAGUUCAUUCUGAAAUGGAGUGGUUCAUGUUUUGCAUAGUUUUAGACGUUGGAUUUCACUCAAAACUCACCAAAUGACUCCUCCCACUGAAUUAUGUUGUUCCCCAAGUUUUGGACUCAAUCAGAGAUCGAUUGGUCCAUGAAAUCGGACAAUUCAGGUUCGUACAAAGUUCAUUCUCAAAAUGCAGUGGUUGGUGUAUUGCAUAGUUCUAGAGAUUGAAUUUCACUCAAAACCUUCCAAAUGACUCCUCCCACCAUACUAUGAUGUUCCCCAAGUUUUGGACUGAAUGUGAUAUCAAUUGGUCCACGAAAUUGGAUAGUUCAGUUUCGUAUGAAGUUCGUUCUGAAAUGGAGUGCUUGGUGUAUUGCAUAGUUCUGGGGAUAGGAUUUCACUCAAAACCAAACAAAUGACUCCUCCCGCCAAAUUAUGAUAUUCCCAAAGUUUUGGACUCAAUCUGAUAUCGAUUGGUCCAUGAACUUGGGCAAUUCAGGUUCGUACGAAGUUCGUUCUGCAAUGGAGUGGUUGGUGCAUUGCAUAGUUUUAGGGAUUGGAUUUCACUCAAGACAUACCAAAUGACUCUUCCAAUCAUUUUAUGAUGUUCCCCAAGUUUUGGACACAAUUCGAUAUCAAUUGGUCCAUGAAAUUGGACAAUUCAGGUUCUUACGAAGUUCGUUCUGAAAUGGGGUGGUUGGUGUAUUGCAUAGUUUUAGGGAUUGGAUUUCACUCAAAACCCACCAAAUGACUCCUAUCACCACAUUAUGAUGUUCCCCAAGUUUUGGACUCAAUCCGAUAUCGAUUGGUCCAUGAAAUUGGACAAUUCAGUUUCGUACGAAGUUCAUUGUGAAAUGGAGUGGUUGGUGUAUUGCAUAGUUUUAGUUAUUGGAUUUCACUCAAAACCCACCAAAUGACUCCUCCCACCAUAUUAUGAUGUUCCCCAAGUUUUGGACUCAAUCCGAUAUCAAUUGUUCCAUGAAAUUGGACAAUUCAGGUUCGUACGAAGUUCGUUCAGAAAUGGGGUGCUUGGUGUUUUGCAUAGUUUUGGACAUUGAAUUUCACUCAAAACUCGUCAAAUAACUCCACCCACCGAAUUAUGAUGUUCCCCAAGUUUUGGACUCUAUCCGAUAUCGAUUGGUCCAUGAAAUAGGACAAUUCAGGUUCUUACAAAGUUCGUUCAAAAAUGGGGUGGUUGGUGUUUUGCAUAGUUUUGGAUAUUGAAUUUCACUCAAAACUCACCAAAUGACUCCGCCCACCGAAUUAUGAUGUUCCCCAAUUUUUGGACUCAGUCCAAUAUCGAUUGGUCCACGAAAUUGGACAAUUCCGGUUCGCACGAAGUUCGGUAUGAAAAGGAGUGGUUGGUGUAUUGCAUAGUUUUAGAGAUUGGAUUUCACUCCAAAGUCACCAAAGGACUCCUCCCACCAUAUUAUAACGUUGCCCAAUUUUGGGACUCAAUCCGAUGUCGUUUAGUCCAUGAAAUUGGACAAUUCAGGUUUGUACGAAGUUCGCUCUAAAAUGGUGUGGUUGGUGUAUUGCAUAGUUCCAGAGAUUGCAUUUCACUCAAAACCUACCUAAUGACUCCUCCCGCCAAAUUAGGGAUUGGAUUUCACUCAAGACAUACCAAAUGACUCCUCCAAUCAUAUUAUGAUGUUCCCCAAGUUUUGGACAUAAUCUGAUAUCGAUUGGUGCAUGAAAUUGGACAAUUCAGGUGCGUACGUAGUUCAUUCUGAAGUAGAGUGGUUGGUGUAUUGCAUAGUUUUAGAGAUUGGAUUUCACUCAAAACCAACCAAACGACUCCUCCCGCCAAAUUAUGAUAUUCCCCAAGUUUUGGACUCAAUAUGAUAUCGAUUGGUCCAUGAAAUUGGACAAUUCAGGUUCUUAUGAAGUUCGUUCUGAAAUGGAGUGGUUGUUGUAUUGCGUAGUUUUAGAUAUUUGAUUUCACUCAAAGGGCACCAAAUGACACCUCCUACCAUAUUUUAAUGUUCCCCAAGUUUUGCACUCAAUCCAAUAUCGAUUGUAUUUCACUCAAAACUCACCAAAUGACUCCUCCCACCAUAUUAUGAUGUUCUCCAAGUUUUGGACUCAAUCUGAUAACGAUUGGUCCAUGAAAUUGGACAGUUCAGGUUCGUACGAAGUGCGUUCUGAAAGGGAGUGGUUGGUGUAUUGCAUAGUUUUAGAGAUUGGAUUUCACUCCAAACCCACCAAAUCACUCCUCCUACCAUAUUAUGAUGUUCCCCAAGUUUUGGACUCAAUCCGAUAUCGAUUGGUCCAUGAAAUUAGACAAUUUCGGUUCGUACGAAGUUCGUUCUGAAAUAGAGUGGUUGGUGUAUUGCAUAGUUUUAGGGAUUGGAUUUCACUCAAAACUCACGAAAUGACUCCUCCCACCAUUUUAUAAUGUUCCCCAAGUUUUGGGAUCAAUCCGAUAUAGAUUGGUCAAUGAAAUUGGACAAUUCCGGUUCUUACGAAGUUCGUUCUGAAAAUGGAGUGGUUGAUGUAUUGCAUAGUUUUAGAGAUUGGAUUUCACUGAAAGAGCACCAAAUCACUCCUCCCCCAAUCUUAUGAUGUUCUUACGAAGUUCGUUCUGAAACGGGUGCCGUUCUUAAUGUUUUCUAUCUCCAUAGCUCCAGGGGGAAAUACUUGAAGCACUUUGAAUGGUCCAACCCAUCUAGACUUCAAUUUACCUGGAAACAGUCGCAAACGUGAGUCAUACAAAAGUACUUUCAUACCUGGUUGAAACUUCUUCCUAAGAAUUGCUUUGUCAUGGUAGAGCUUGGUUCGUUCAUUGUAGAUCCUUGCAUUCUCAUAUGAUUCAUUUCUGAGCUCUUCCAACUUAUUGAGUUGGAACUUCCUCACUGUACCAGCUUCUUUGAGAUCAAAGUUGAACUUCUUUAUGGCCCAAUAUGCACGAUGCUCGAGCUCCAUUGGCAGAUGACAUGCCUUUCCAAACACCAAUCAAUAAGGGCUCAUUCCAAUUGGGGUCUUGUACGCUGUUCGAUACGCCCAAAGGGCAUCAUUCAACCUUAGUGACCAAUCCUUCCUUGUAGGGCUGACGGUUUUCAUCAAGAUGUUCUUUAUUUCUCUAUUGCUGAUUUCCACUUGUCCAGAGGUUUGAGGAUGGUAUGGAGUUGCCACUUUAUGUGUGAUGUUGUACUUCUUCAUCAAUGCCUCGAAAGGUUUGUUGCAGAAGUGACUGCCACCAUCGCUAAUGAUAGCUUUCAGAGUUCCAAACCUAGUGAAAAUCAUAUCUUUGAGCAAAUUGAAAACAACUUUGUGAUCAUUAGUUCGUGUAGCUGUUGCCUCAACCCAUUUUGAUACAUAAUCUACUACCACUAGUAUGUAUAUGUAUCCAAAAGAAGAUGGGAAUGGUCCCACGAAGUCAAUUCCCCACACAUCAAACAGCUCUACCACUAAAAUGUUGUUUAAUGGCAUUUCGUUCCUGCGACUGAUGCCCCCUAUUUUCUGACACCUAUCACACUUAGAGCAAAAAUCAAAAGCAUCUUUAAACAAUGUAGGCCAGAAGAAACCAGAUUGUAAAACCUUUAAAGCUGUCUUUUUGGCACUAAAAUGACCUCUGCAUGCCAAUGCAUGACUGAAUGUUAGUAUGCUUUGCUACUCACUCUCUGGAACACAUCUUCGAAUGAUUUGGUUAGGGCAAUACUUGAACAAAUAGGGCUCAUCCCACAUGUAGUGUUUCACCAUUGAAAAGAACUUCUUUCUCUCCUGAAAAGUCAAAUCAUCUCUAAUUACACCAGAAGCAAGAUAAUUGACAAAAUCAGCAUACCAUGGCUCUUUAUCUUGAAUGACAAAGAGUUGUUCAUCCGGGAAUGAUUCGUUGAGAGGCAAAAUUUUUCCAUCUCCAUGGUUUUCAUCAACAAGGCGCGACAAGUGAUCAGCAACAACAUUUUCACUCCCUUUCUUGUCUGGAAUUUCUAGUUCAAACUCUUGUAACAAGAGUAUCCAUCUGAUCAAACGUGGUUUAGCAUCUUUCUUGGUCAACAAAAACCUAAGAGCUGCAUGAUCAGAGUAAACAAUAACUUUAGAGCCAACAAGAUAUGAACGAAAUUUCUCUAAAGCAAAAACAACAUCAAGCAACUCCUUCUCAGUUGUAGAGUAAUUGAGUUGAGCAUCGUUUAACGUCCGACUUGCAUAGUAGAUUACGUGUGGCAGCUUAUUUACUCUUUGACCUAAAACAGCACCAAUAGCAUAGUCAGAGGCAUCACACAUUAGCUCAAAAGGCAAAGACCAAUCUGGUGCCAUAAUGAUAGGAGCAGAGGUUAGUUCACGUUUCAAGGUAUUAAAUGCAUUCAUACAAUCUUUAUCAAAAUGAAAUACAACAUCUUUGCCAAAAGAUUGCACAAUGGAUAAGUAAUCUUGGAAAAAUCCUUAAUGAAACGACGAUAAAAACAAGCAUGUCCUAGAAAGCUUCUCACUCCCUUCAUUGAAGCAGGGGCUGCCAUAUUUGAGAUGAUGUCAAUUUUUGCUUUGUCAACUUCAAUACCCUUGUUGGAUAUUACAUGCCCCAACACAACACCUUGUUUCACCAUAAAUUGACAUUUUUCCCAAUUGAGAAUCAAAUUUGUUUCUUGACAUCUUUGAAGCACUAGAGAGAGAUGGUUAAGACAAUUAUCAAAAGAAGAACCAAAAACUGAAAAAUCGUCCAUGAAUCCCUCAAUAAAUCUCUCAAUCAUAUCUAAAAAGAUUGCCAGCAUACAUCUUUGGAAUGUUGCUGGGGCAUUGCAAAGGCCAAAAGGCAUCCUUCUAUAUGCAAAAGUACCAAAAUGACAGGUGAAUGUAGUCUUCUCUUGAUCUUCCGGAGCAAUCACAAUUUGAUUAUAACCUGAAUAUCCAUCAAGAAAACAAUAAUAUGCGUGACCAGCUAAUCGCUCAAUCAUUUGAUCAAUAAAAGGCAUAGGGAAUAUAAUCUUUUCUAGUGUCCGAAUUCAACUUCCUGUAAUCGGUGCAAACACGCCAACUAGCUGCAGGUCUCGUUUGAACAAGAUCUUUGUGCUCAUUUUUUACCACUGUGAUUCCAAUCCUCUUAGGCACUACGUGAACAGCGCUGACCCAUUGGCUAUCAGAAAUCGGGUAUAUGAUACCCACAUCUAGCAACUUCAGCACUUCAGCUCUCACUACUUCCUUCAUGUGUGGAUUGAGCCUUCUUUGUGGUUCACGAGUUGGUUUUGGUCCCUCCUCCAAAAAAGUUCGAUGCAUACACAUGGUAGGGCUUAUUCCCUUAAUAUCUACAAUAGACCAACCAAUGGCUGAUUUGAACUCUUUUACCACCCUAAUUAGCUUAUCUUCUUCCAAAAGGGUGAGGUCAUAUGCUAUUAUAACUGGGAGAGUUUCAAACUCAGCUAGGUAAGCAUAUUUUAGAUGUGAUGGAAGUGGUUUAAGGUCAAGUUUUGGAGGUUUAACAAUAGAAGGGAUCAGAUGUGUGGCAGAUGGUUCUAAUGGCUCUAUUAGAGGCGAAAAAGUGGAGGGAUAUUGUUUUAAUGCUUCCAAGGCAGCCACCAUCUCCAUGAGCACUUCUUCAUCAAAGUCAUUUUGAGAUUGACUCAAAACAUAUUGUAAUGUAUCAUUGGAUUGUGCCAACAAAAACUUAGAGAAAACAAGUGAAUCAAGCACAUCAAUCGAACAACAAUCAAUUGAACUAGAAGGGUGGGAAAGAUAUUCAAACACUUUGAAUUGUACAGUUUCUCCUAGCACAGUCAUGGUGAGGAGACCAUUUUGCACAUCUAUGAUCGUCUUUGCCGUGGCCAUAAAGGGUCUCCCAAGCAAAAUAGGUAACUCACGAUCAUGUAGAGGAGCCUCUUCCAUGUCCAACACUACAAAAUCAGCAGGCAAAAUUAGUUUGUCAACUUGAACUAAGAUAUCUUCCACUAUACCUCUUGGAUAUUUCACUGAUCGAUCAGCAAGUUGCAAUGAAAUAGUUGUUGCCUUCAAACCCCCCAAACCUAAUUGAAGAUACACUGAAUAGGGCAUUAAAUUGAUGCUAGCCCCCAAGUCAAGCAUAGCCUUUUCAACUAGCUUGUCUCCAAUGGUGAGAUUGAUAGAAAAACUGCCCGGAUCCUUGAGUUUUGGUGGGAGCUUUCUUUGAAGCAUAGCACUCACAUUUUCAAACACCAUCACCUUCUCAUUAGGUCCAUACUUUCUCUUAUUAGUGUUUAGCUCCUUGAAAAAUUUCCCAUACGCUGCCAUAUUCCUAAUGACAUCAAGCACAUGUAAAUUAACAUUCACUUUACUUAAAAUAUCAAAAAUUUCUUUAAAUGACUUAUCCUGCUUGCUUUUGGCAAGUCUUCCAGGAAAUGGGAUGGGUGGAGAAUAAGGUUUUUCAGCCUUGUGAAAAUUUGGAGCUUCAAAUGAUGAAGUGGCAUUGCUUGGAUCGUCAUUCGGUUUCUUAUUCUCUUCUUGAGUGGGACUUGUAUUCACAUGAUCAGAUUCAUUAGUAACUUCAUUGCCAACUCCAUUAUUAAUAACCUUACCACACCUAAGUGUUAUGACCGCUUUGGCUUGCUCUUGGUUCCUUUGAAGUAUCACCGAUUGGCUUGAAAAUUUUUCGGGUUCUCUUUGACUGAAAGCAUCAGCAAUCUAACCUAACUGUGUCUCCAUUUUGGUUAGAACAGCUGAAUGUUAUUGGAGAGUACUAUUGGUAGUUUGCUGGAAUUGAACGGUGUUUUGAGCUAGCAUUUUGACCGUAUCUUCAAGCGUAGUGGCAGGCUUUGGUUGGAAAUUUUGAAAUUGAUUGUUAUUCUUCCAUGAGAGAUUGGAAUUAUCUCUCCAACCAGGGUUCUACGUAUUAGAGAAUGGGUCAUUCCUCGGCCUCUGAUUGUAAGAAUUCAUGAGAUUCACUUGCUCUUGAACGAAUUCGAGAUAAGCCUCACUAACUGAGCAUUGAUAAGUAGGAUGACUUGGUAUGUUGCAAAUGGCACACACCUCAGCUAUCUUAGGCACCAUAUUGAGCAUAGAAUCGAGCUUCUUUUCCAAACUAGCCACUUGCAAGGCAAGAUCAUUAUUAGAACUCAUUUCAUACACUCCAACUCGUUUACCUCUUGUAUCUUUGUGUUGAGCAUUAGAUCCCAACAUCUCAUAAAUGUUAUAUGACUCUUGAGCAUUUUUUUUUUCUUCAAAGCUCCACCUGCUGCAUUAUCUACAGUCAAUUGACAUGUUUGGGUUAGUCCAUCAUAAAAAAUUUGCAUUUGUAAGUAAAGAGGUAACCCAUGAUGUGGACAUUGCAGAAACAGCCCUUUGAAACGCUCCCAAUAUUCAUUGAAAGGUUCUUCAUCAUCUUGUUUAAAGUUAAAGAUUUGCCCUCUCAAAGUAGCUGUCUUUUGAGUAGAGAAGAACUUCUCCAAAAAUUUCUUAGCUAAGGCAUCCCAAGUGGUGAGCGAACUAGGUGCUAAAGUCAUUAGCCAACCCUUUGCUCUAUCUUUCAAUGUAUAAGGAAAAACCAUCAUCCUCAGAUUCGCUUCACUCACUCCCUGCAAAGGUAAACCACUCACAACAUUGUAGAAUUCCUUAAUAAGGGCUAAUGGAUCUUCAUUAGGUAAACCAUAAAAAGAAGGAAGCAAAUGAAAAAGUGAAGAUUUGAGAUCAUAAUUUCUAGCUUCAGUAGGCAGCAAGAUGCACGAAGGGGAAUUUGGUAUAAUCGGUUGAGCAUAAUCUUCCAAAGCUCGGUUGUCAUCGUUAUUGCCAGCCAUCUCUUCUUCUUUGUCAAAAUUAGAGUUAUCGAAAGAAUCUACACUCGUUGGGCUAGAAGAACUAUUGUCCUCUUCUACACUGCUAGUCUGGGCACUAGUUGAUACAGAAUUCUCAAAAGUGUUGCUCUUUAACCGUUCAAGUGUUUGGCCUAUCUCAGCAAGUGUAUCAGACAUAUACUACCUGAGAAACAAAAAUAAAACCAAAUUAGGGUUUGAGAACAAGCAAUUAUAGAGGACUGAAAUCAGUCCCUGGCAACGGCGCAAAAAUUUUGUUGUGUUCCUUCCAAGUGCCAAUAUAUGGUUAGUAUAGUGGUACAAGUAAGGGUGUCGAACCACAGGGACCGAUUGGAUUCUAUAAAUUACUAGUUUUGAAAGAACCCUGACUAAAAAUGAAAGUGACAAUUUGAAAGUAGUUUUUGUGUUGUAAAUGAAAAAUAACUUAAAAUGCAAGAAGAAUGUAGUAGUGAAUGAUAUAUUGAUGUAGAAAGAAUAGGGAAGAGACCAAAGAUUUAGAAUUAACCAUUGCAAAACUAAUUCCAUGUUUAUAAAAUUAAACCGUACUCAACUACCAACCUAUUUCCAGAGUUCGUUUUACAUAUAUAUGAUCAGCCAUAUGAUGUGUGGUUUUGAUCAAAUUCUCCUAAUCUGCAACCUAGUUGGGAUGUUCAACUUUGGUUCCAAGUUAAGAGUCAUUAGCAUGUAAGAAAACGUUCUAGAACCAAACAAAAUAUACAACAUGAUGUUUGCAUAGCAUUCUCUUCAUUCAUUCACAUGUCUACCAAGAUUAAGCAUGAUGUUUACUAUAACCUUGUCUAGAUAAUCUGUAGGCGACUCUAAUGGUGAUCAAACAUUAAAAUUGACAAACAAAUUGAACAAUAGAUUCAGUGAAUGAAACAAGAAACAAAUUGAUGAACUGAAUACUUUAACUUAGAAACAUGGAUCAAUGUUGCAAGGCUACAUCGAAAUCCCUAGCUAUGAAUUUAGUUACACAUCAUGUUCAAAGAGAUUAAAACAAAAAUAAACAACACGAAUGAAAAUAAAUUCAUGAGAGGAAACCCUUGAACUAAUUCUGAUGUUGAACUUCUCCAAGAACCACCUCUUGCGCUGAGUCCUGAUGGUGGAAAUAUAUGGACGACUAGGGUUUUAGUGUGCACGAAAAGGAGAGAAUAACCAAGAAGUGAGUUCUAGGGUUGUGAAAUUCGUCCAAAAUAAAUAGGGUUUUUAAAAAUGGCUAAAAGGCAAGUUUUUAUGGGGUGAAAGAGGCUGCAAGAUAUUCCAAAGAGAUCCUAACAAAUCAGCCCUUAUUUUGCACGUUUUUACCUCAUUUGGCACUCCAAAUCACGCUAAAAAUCACCAUUUCUUUCCCAUUCUGCUCUUAAUCUUCAACCAAGCCAGGUUCGCCUUGGAUUCUUUAUUUGGACUUCAAAACAGGUCACGAAACUUGUUUCCAUGUUUGAAUAAGGGUCAGCUCCAAAAAUGGCAUGUUUUAAUUUCUUUUGCCUUCAAGUUGAUCCUAAAGUAGAUGCAACUGCAUACUCACACAAAAUAGGGUAAAACGCAACAACUUUGACUCAAAAACAUGACUAAUAUACAAGAAAUUAAUGGUAUAAAUGUAUAAAUAUAUGAGUUAUCACACCAACCACUCCAUUUCACAACGAACUUCGUACGAACCUGAAUUGUCCAAUUUCAUGGACCAAUCAAUAUCGGAUUGAGUCCAAAACUUGGGGAACAUCAUAAAUUGGUGGGACGAGUCAUUUGGUGGGUUUUGAGUGAAAUUCAAUCUCUAAAACUAUGCAAUACACAACCACUCCAUUUCAGAACGAACUUCGUACAAACCUGAAUUGUCCAAUUUCUGGGAACAAUCGAUAUCGGAUUGAGCCCAAAACUUGGGGGACAUCAUAAUAUGGUGGGAGGAGUCAUUUGGUGGGCUUUGAGUGAAAUCCAAUCUAUAAAACUGUGCAAUACACCAACCACACCAAUUAAGAACAAACUUUGUACGAACCUGAAUUGUCCAAUUUCAUGGACCAAUCGAUAUCGGAUUGAGUCCAUAACUUGGGGAACAUCACAAUAUGGUGGGAGGUGUAAUUUGCUGAGUUUUGAGUGAAAUCCAAUCUCUAAAACUAUGCAAAACACCAAGUACACCAUUUCAGAACGAACAUCGUACGAACCUAAAUUGUCCAAUUUCACUUACCAAUCGAUAUUGGAUUGAGUCCAAAACUUGGGGAACAACAUAAUAUGGUGGGACGUGUCAUUUGGUGACUUUGGAGUGAAAUCCAAUCUCUAGAACUAUGCAAUACACCAACAACUCCACUUCUGAACGAACUUCAUACGAACCUGAAUUGUCCAAUUUCAUGGACCAAAUGAUAUCGGAUUGAGUCGAAAACCUGGGGAACUCCAUAAUAUGGUGGGAGGUCAUUUGGUGCUUUUUGAGUGAAAUCCAAUCUUUAAAACUAUGCAAAACACCAACCACUCCAUUUCAUAACGAACUUCGUACGAACGGAAUUGUCCAAUUUCAUGGAACAAUCGAUAUCGGAUUGAGUCCCAAAAUUGGGGAACAUCAUAAUAUGGUGAGAGGAGUCAUUUGGUGACUUUGGAGUGAAAUCCAAUCUCUAGAACUAUGCAAUACACCAACCACUCCAUUUCAUAACGAACUUCGUACAAACCUAAAUGGUCCAAUUUCUGGGAACAAUCGAUAUCGGAUUGAGCCCAAAACUUGGGGAACAUCAUAAUAUGGUGGGAGGAGUCAUGUGCUGGGUUUUGAGUGAAAUCCAAUCUCUAAAACUAUGCCAUACAUCAACCACACCAUUUAAGAGCGAACUUCGUACGAACCUGAAUUGUCCAAUUUCAUAGACCAUUGAAAUUGGAUUGAGUCCAAAACUUGGGGAACAUCAUAAGAUGUUGGGAGGAGUCAUUUGAGGGGUUUUAAGUGAAAUCCAAUAUCUAAAACUAUGCAAAACACCAACCACUCCAUUUUAGAACGAACUUCGUAUGAACUUAAAUUCUCCUAUUUCAGGGACCAAUCGAUAUCGGAUUGGACCCAAGACUUGGGGAACAUCAUAAUAUGGUGGGUUUUGAGUGAAAUCCAAUCUCUAAAACUAUGCAAAACACGAAGUACUCCAUUUCAGAACAAACAUCGUACGAACCUGAAUUGUCCAAUUUCAUUUACCAAUCGAUAUUGGAUAGAGUCCAAAACUUGGGGAACAUCAUAAUCCGGUGGGAGGUGUCAUUUGGUGACUUUAGAGUGAAAUCCAAUCUCUAGAACUAAGCAAUACACCAACCACUCCAUUUCUGAACGAACUUCGUACGAACCUGAAUUGUCCAAUUUCAUGGACCAAACGAUAUCGGAUUGAGUCGAAAACCUGGGGAACAUGAUAAUACGGUGGGAGGAGUCAUUUGGUGCCUUUUGAGUGAAAUCCAAUCUUUAAAACUAUGCAAAACACCAACCACUCCAUUUCAUAACGAACUUCGUACGAACCUGAAUUGUCCAAUUUCAUGGACCAAUCGAUAUCGGAUUGGGUCCAAAGCUUGGGGAACAUCACAAUAUGGUGGGAGGUGUAAUUUGCUGUGUUUUGAGUGAAAUCCAAUCUCUAAAACUAUGCAAAACAUCAAGUACUCCAUUUCAGAACGAACAUCGUACGAACGUGAAUUGUCCAAUUUCAUGGACCAAAUGAUAUCGGACUGAGUUGAAAACCUGGGGAACUCCAUAAUACGGUGGGAGGAGUCAUUUGGUGCUUUUUGAGUGAAAUCCAAUCUUUAAAACUAUGCAAAACAACAACCACUCCAUUUCAUAACGAACUUCGUACGAACGGAAUUGUCCAAUUUCAUGGAACAAUCGAUAUCGGAUUGAGUCCCAAAAUUGGGGAACAUCAUAAUAUGGUGAGGGGAGUCAUUUGGUGACUUUGGAGUGAAAUCCAAUAUCUAGAACUAUGCAAUACACCAACCACUCCAUUUCAUAAUGAACUUCAUACAAACCUGAAUGGUCCAAUUUCUGGGAACAAUCGAUAUCGGGUUCAGCCCAAAAAUUGGGGAACAUCAUAAUAUGGUGGGAGGAGUCAUUUGUUGGGUUUUGAGUGAAAUCCAAUAUCUAAAACUAUGCAAUACACCAACCACUCCAUCUCAUAACGAACUUCGUACAAACCUGAAGUGUCCAAUUUCAUGGACCAAUCGAAAUUGGAUUGAGUCCAAAACUUGGGGAACAUCAUAAUAUGUUAGGAGGAGUCAUUUGAGGGGUUUUAAGUGAAAUCCAAUAUCUAAAACUAUGCAAAACACCACCACUCCAUUUCAGAACGAACUUCAUAUGAACUUAAAUUCUCCUAUUUCAGGGACCAAUCGAUAUCGGAUUGAACCCAAGACUUGGGGAACAUCAUAAUACGGUGGGAGGAGUCAUUUGGUGGGUUUUGAGUGAAAUCCAAUCUCUAAAACUUUGCAAAACUCGAAGUACUCCAUUUUAGAACGAACAUCGUACGAACCUGAAUUGUCCAAUUUCAUUUACCAAUUGAUAUUGGAUAGAGUCCAAAACUUGGGGAACAUCAUAAUACGGUGGGAGGAGUCAUUUGGUGGGUUUUGAGUGAAAUCCAAUCUCUAGAACUAUGCAAUACACCAACCACUCCAUUUCUGAACGAACUUCGUACGAACCUGAAUUGUCCAAUUUCAUGGACCAAACGAUAUCGGAUUGAGUCGAAAACCUGGGGGACAUGAUAAUAUGGUGGGAGGAGUCAUUUGAUGCAUUUUGAUUGAAAUCCAAUCUUUAAAACUAUGCAAAACACCAACCACUCCAUUUCAUAACGAACUUCGUACGAACCUGAAUUGUCCAAUUUCAUAGACCAAACGAUAUCGGAUUGAGUCGAAAACCUGGGGAACAUGAUUGUAUGGUGGGGGAGUCAUUUGGUGCUUUUUGAGGGAAAUCCAAUCUUUAAAACUAUGCAAAACACCAACCACUCCAUUUCAUAACAAACUUCGUACGAACCUAAAUUGUCCAAUUUCAUGGACUAAUCGAUAUCUGAUUGAGUCCAAAACUUGGGGAACAUGAUAAUAUAGUGGGACUAGUCAUUUUGUAGGUUUUGAGUGAAAUCCAAUCUCUAAAACUAUGUAAUACAUGUGGGAGCAUAUAUUUUCGUCUCCAAUCAGGGCACGCCACGUGGAAAAGAAGAUUAUCUCUUAAAUUAAUUAAUUAAAUCAGUUUAUCUGGCUAAUUAAUUAAUUGAGAUAAAUAUCUUAAUUAAUAUGAUAUUAUCUUUAUUUGAAGAGAUAAUAUCAUUAAUUAAGAUAUUAUCCUAAUAAAGAGAAGAUAAUAUCAUUUAAUUCAGAUAUUAUCUUUUUAAGAGAUAAUAUCAUUUAAUUCAGAUAUUAUCUCUCUCCCUCUCCACUCUCCAUAUUUUCUCCCCACGGCUCCAGCCAACACACACGGCUCUGGCCACCCGGUUUACACCCUACAUAAAACUCCGUACCCUUUUGCUUAGCUAUUGUUUUCCUACAAACACUCGAACUAACUUAGGCAUCGGAGGUCCUUUGGCCAACACCCCCCGGGUGUGGUCUAUUUACUCUAGUCUUUUUUACAGGAAUCGAGGAAGAGAGAAAAGGAAGAUCGAAGGUUGAAGGAUCUAGAAGCGAAUAUUCUCCCGUGAGAUUAUUUGCACAAACAUUUGGUGCUUUCAUUGAGAGCACGAGUUAUACUCAACGCGUGCUCAAGGAGUCUGUUCCUCCUAUUUUCCAAUCCACCGAAGCCUUCCAAACAACCAUGGUUGGAAGCAAGCGCACGAGGAGCAAAACCGCCGCUAUGGCUCAAUCCGUGGUGGCCCAAAGCUACUCCUCCCACGAUCCCACGAUCGACAUGGCGGCUCCACCGCCUCUCGCCGCCAUGAACCCUCAGCAACCACCCCGUGUGACAGGAACCACCGCACCGGCGUCCGCCGCCGUCGUACCAUCUCAAAGCCCCAUGGCUGGACCUAGCCACCUUCAUAGCACUACCGUUGAGCAUGGUGGAACCUCACAUCCAGUUGGGCUCACUACCACCGCCGACUUUGGCCCAAUCUUGGAGCAACUUCAACCAUUCCCUCCAUUGCCUCCAUGCUCGACGCAUGCUCCCACGCACACAUCCAACGAAAACCUAGCUCGUGUGCAAUUGGGGUCUACACAUUUCUCUCUUCCGGAUCCACGAAGUCAAGUAGACCUUAAUCUGAGAGUUGACCAGCUAACUCAGAGAAUGGACGACCAAAACAAUUUGAUGAGGCAGCUCCUCAACCAAAUAAACUUGGCUCAAAAUCUUGGCCUUGGACAACAGGGCGAAGAGAGAAGGAUAAACGAACGCGCCGAUAGGCUGUUCGGCGGGAACCAAGCAGGUCGAGCAGGAGUAAGCAGACAAGGAAAUGCGCAACAACGAGAUCAGCUCGUGGACAUGUCACAAGCAUCUGCAAGCCACACUCAGAGCAGACGAAGUUUCCCAUCCAGAUUGAAUUUAAGGACCAACGUGUGCGAUAUGCUGGGCCCAAGACCUAACAUCCACGCUCUCCUGGGCCAACAUGAAGACGUUGAUGAAAGGCUAGGCUCCCAGGGAGGUCAACUUGACGGCCAUCGAGAAGAGGAUCAAGAAGAAAGGCGCUCUGCUGCCCGCUCACAGAGAAAUAUUCAUGAAAGGAUAGGCCCCCAGGGAGGUCAACUCGACAAUCAUCACAAUGAGGACCGUGAAGAAAGGCGCUCCGCUACUCACUCUCGAAGAACCAAUUCUCGUCGCCAAACUACUAGAAAUCUCUCGCAAGCACAGUCCACCAACACGCCGCCUAGACAGCGCAACCGAGAAGGUCGACCCUCGCAAACCAAUGAGGAAGUCAAUCAGCGUCGUCUAAAUCGCGAAGGUCAUCAACGUGACCGACUAGCCAUGCGUGCAGAAGACGUUGAGAAGCUUGUGAAUAACCGAUUCGAGACUUAAAGAUUGGUGGAAAUUUCGAAGAUGCACUACGCAUUGAGGUAGACCAAGCAAACUCCUCACCUUUCACCGCCAAAAUCGAGCAGGCUGCUCCCCCGAAAAGAUUCUCAACGCCCUCUUUCACAUGCUUCAAAGGUGAUUCAGACCCCGAAAGUCAUCUGAAGCAUUUCAAGAGCCUUAUGAUCCUCUAUAAAGCCGAAGACGCGCUAAUGUGCAAGGUGUUUGCAAUGACUUUGCGAGGAGCAGCUCAGGAUUGGUUCCAUACCCUGCCAUCCGGGUUGAUCAACAGCUUCAAGGAGCUUACUUACGUCUUUACUAAAGAAUACACUUCUUAUCGGAUGAUCAAGAAGAACCCUGACCAUCUGUUCAACCUGCGCAAGAAGCCCGAGGAAUCCCUUCGAGAUUACAUCAAGAGGUUCAAAGCAGAAAAGGCCAACAUCGUAGGGUGCGAUGACCAAAUCGCAUCCUCUGCAUUCAAGAAAGGUCUUCCAGCAAAACAUGACUUAUACCGCGAGCUAACUAUCACUCUCAGCCAGACUCUGGCAGAGGUCUUCGCGACCGCAGAACGCUACGCACUCUGGGAUGACGAUGGAAUCACCGCGAAGAAGUCCACUGAGCAAGAAGAUCGACCGGCUAAACCGGGAGAACAAAGAGGCGAUAGGCUUGGCAGCAGGGACAAAGACAAAGGCAGGUCACGCCCACCAAGAGAGGCCAUGACGAAAGAGAACUACACCAAGUUCUCUAUCCUCAUACAUCAAAUUUUGGCCUAAGUGAAGAACAAACCUUGGAUAAAAAGACCGCCACCCUUGAAAGGAGAUCCAGACAAGAGGGAUACCAGAAAAUAUUGUGCCUUCCAUGCGACACAUGGGCACAAUACGAAUAAUUGCUUUGCUUGGAAAGCGCAUCUUGAAGAAGUCGUGAGAGAAGGUCAUUGCACGGAGUUCAUAGCGAAGCAGGCCAUCCAGCAGAUAAAAGACCGCGAUACCGCCAAGGAGCCACCCCAGAAGGUCAUAAGGAUGAACACAAUCCUAGCCGACUCCGAGGAGUCCGGACUCACCAACAAAGAGAAGAAGAGGAAGAUCAAACAGGCUACUAUGAUCUCCCAAGUCUCAACUAGCCUCUCACUGGCAGAAGACGAUCCCGUGAUCGGCUUUCAAAAGAAAGACUUAAUCGGCCUUGAUCUACCGCACAACGACGCCCUUGUCAUCAGCAUUCAAAUCGCUCAGGCCAUGGUUGACCGAGUCCAUGCAGAUGAGGGCAGUGCAGCCAACAUCCUACAAUUGGCAGUCAUCCAACAGAUGGGCUUAGAGGCAAAGAUCAAUAAAUCAGCCAAGUCGCUGACUGGUUUCAAUGGCGCAACGACGGUUACCGUGGGCACGAUAGCUCGACGUCUACUCUCCACCUGUAAUCAUCUUGCAAACGUUCAUGGUCAUUGAUGAAGCCUCACCCUACAAUGGCAUUCUAGGCAGACCAUGGAUCGGCCAGAUCAACGCCAUCACCUCUGCCACACAUCAGAAGAUUCGCUACCCAAUCCCUGGGGGCGGUAUUGGCCAGAUCAACAGCGAUCAAUCAAUGGUAAGAAAAUGCUCAGCUCAAGGGCUGAAGAAAGGCAAGCAAACACAGUUCCUCCCUGUGAAUCAGGCAGAUCUAAAGGGAGUAGAACAAGCAGAGAAGAAAGCAGAUCCAGUUUCUGACGGCCGAGCAGACUAGAAAGGAAAGAGAAUAGCUACUCCCCAAUAGCAAUCAAAGAAUCAGGACCAAGUCGAGGGAAUCCGUCCGGAGGUCUCUCCUGAAGAAGGAUGGAAGCCCAAAGAGGACGUUGAGCUAGUACCCCUUGAUCCUGACAAGCCAGAGAGAAAAGCGCGGAUCGGCUCGCGCCUAAGCCAUGAGGAAAAAAUAGAGCUUGUAGCCUUGCUCCGGAACAACAAAGACGUAUUUGCAUGGUCGCCAUCUGACAUGCCUGGCAUCGAUCCCCAGAUCCUCUGCCAUCGCCUACACGUCAACCCAGCCAUCAAACCUGUAGCGCAGAAGAGACGCAACUUCGCCCCCGAGCGGGUUGCCAUCGUCGAAGCCGGGAUCGAUAAGCUUCUAGCUGCUGGUUUCAUCGAAGAAGUCUCCUACGCAGAAUGGCUGGCGAACGUUGUUCUAGUGGCAAAGAAAGAUAAAGGUUUGUGGAGAGUGUGCGUCGACUACACCGACCUCAACAAGGCAUGCCCUAAAGACAACUUUCCACUGCCUAGAAUUGAUUAGCUCGUCGAUUCAACUUCCGGCAACCAACUGCUAAGCUUCAUGGACGCCUACUCCGGCUACAACCAAAUCAUGAUGCAUGAAGAUGACAAGGCUAAAACCUCUUUCAUCAUCAAAAGAGGUACAUAGUGCUACAAAGUCAUGCCCUUUGGGCUGAAGAACGCCGGAGCAACCUACCAAAGGCUGGUGAACAAAAUUUUCAAGGAGCAAAUCGGCAAGACUAUGGAGGUCUACGUAGAUGACAUGCUAGUCAAAGCUCCCAAGCGAGCAGACCACAUCAAAAACCUUGCCGAGGCAUUCAGCCUGCUCCGAAAAUACAACAUGAAGUUGAACCCGAGCAAAUGCACGUUUGGAGUCUCGUCCGGCCGAUUCCUAGGAUACUUAGUCACCCAAAGAGGAAUUGAGGCACAUCCAAAUCAAAUCAAGGCUAUACUCAACAUGAAGUCACCUGCCACAACAAAGGAGAUACAAAGUCUAACGGGUAGGGCGGCAGCUCUCAACCGAUUCCUCUCAAGAUCUACCGACAAGUGCAUGCCAUUUUUUAAAGCCUUGAAGAAAGGACACAGGGACAAGUGGGAUGACGAGUGCGAAGUAGCUUUUCAAAACUUGAAAACCUACCUCACUUCACCUCCCUUACUCUCAAAACCGAUACCAGGCAAACACUUGUACAUCUACCUGGCAGUGUCCGACUCAGCUGUCAGCUCAGCUCUCAUCCGAGAAGAGCUGGGGGCACAACAUCCGGUAUUCUACACUUCAAAAGCUCUCCUUGAUGCAGAGACUCGCUAUCUGAAAAUGGAGAAGCUCAUUUUUUCGCCUGUAGUUUCCGCGAGAAAACUAAGGCCCUACUACCAAGCACACCAGAUAAUUGUCGUGACAGAAUUUCCUUUGAGAUCGAUCCUCCACAGCCCUGACGCUUCUCAGCGACUCAUGAAAUGGGCUAUCGAACUCAGUCAAUACGACCUCCUCUACCGGCCGAAGACUGCUAUAAAAGCCCAAGCUUUAGCAGAUUUUGUUGUAGAGUUUACUCCGACAGUCGAAGAAGAGAAGAUGGUCACGAAAAGCAAGGGAAAAGCAGACGACACCUCCCCUGCCGAUUCAAACCUACCUAACAACAUGUGGCAAUUGCAUGUAGACGAAGCAUCAAAUCAUAAAGGAUCAGGGGCAGGCGUCGUCAUAAUCACCCCAGACGGAACCUUGUUGGAACAAGCCAUCACACUAGGCUUUUCUGCUUCAAACAACGAGGCAGAAUAUGAGGCAUUGCUCGCAGGACUGCGCCUAGCAAAAGAACUGACGAUCAAGAGAUUAGCCAUCUACUCAGACUCCCAGCUGAUCACGAAUCAAGCCUCAGGCGAGUACAUGGCAAAGCAUCUAAGAAUGAUUCAGUACCUCGACAAAGUCCAAGGACUUUUGAAAGAAUUUCCUACUUUCACCAUCCAACAAGUUCCAAGGGCAGAGAACACUCAUGCAGAUGCGUUGGCAAGCCUAGGAUCAGCGCUGGACAGCCAGUUCAGACGCUCCAUCCUAGUCGAACACCUUGACCGACCAAGCAUCGAUGAAAUAAAGCCAAUCGACUCAAUGCAGAUCGAUGAAGACCCCAGCUGACAAGACCCCAUCAUCGACUACUUGGUGAAUGGAAAUCUGCCGACGGAUAAGUCCGAAGCUAGGAAGGUCCAACAGAAAGCCGCGAGAUAUUACAUGCAACUCGACAAGCUCAUUCGCAGAUCAUACUCCGGCCCUCAUCUCACUUGUAUAAAGUACCCUCAAAUACUUGAGGUCCUCUGCAAAAUUCAUGACGGCGAGUGUGGCAACCACUCUGGGGGCAGGUCACUCGCCCAGAAGGCUCUAAACAUAGGCUAUUUCUGGCCUACUAUGCGUCAUGACUCCACUGAAUAUGUCAAAAGAUGUGAUCGCUGCCAGCGGUACAAACCAGUUCCUAAUCUGCCUGCCGAAAUCUACCAUCCGCAGAAGAGUCCGUGGCCUUUCAUGCAAUGGGCCAUCGACUUAGUAGGCCCCAUGCCAACGGCACCUGCCAAGAAAGAAAUGAUGAUCGUCGCCACUGAUUACUUUACUAAAUGGAUCGAGGCCGAAGCUCUAUCCUCUACUAAAGAAGAUGAUGUGGAACGAUUUAUCUGAAGAAACAUUAUCUGCCGGUUUGGCUGCCCACAAUCACUAGUUACCGACAAUGGCUCGCAAUUCAUCGGCAAGCAGAUCACUGCCUUCUUCAAAAAGUAUGGCAUCAAGCAACAUCUAUCUACCCCAAGAUAUCCUCAAGGCAACGGCCAGGCCGAGGCAUCCAAUAAAAUAAUAUUGGACUGUCUAAAGAAGAGAUUAGAAGGCACCGAAGGAAAAUGGGUAGAUGAGCUCCCUGGCGUACUAUGGGCUUAUCGCACCACCAAGCGAAGAUCGACUGGCAAAACCCCAUUUUCCCUCGCCUAUGGAACUGAAGCGAUCAUUCCUCCUCACAUCAAUGUCCCCUCUAUAGGCAUCGAAGUGGGCAGUAUUGAGCAAAACUCCGAGCAGAUGAGACUCAACCUUGACUUACUUGAAGGCGAGCGUGAGAAGACCAUUGUCCGAGUCGCCUCCUAUCAACAACGGUUGAAGUCUUACUACGAUAAAAGAGCCAAGAUCAGACAGUUUCAACCAGGCGACCUUGUGCUAAGAAAGGCCUUCAUCACUGCACAAAGACAAGGGUCUAAAAAGAUGAAACCCAAUUGGGAAGGCCCUUACAUAAUCAGCCGGUCCGGGGGCAGAGGAAGCUAUACACUUGACACCAUGGAAGGGAAGGAGAUUCCGCGACAAUGGAAUGCCUACCAUCUCCAAAGAUACUAUCCAUGACGCUUCCUCCUACCUGCUCAGUCCCCAGCAGACGACUGAGUACUGCACAUUUCGGAAAAAGAGAAGCAACUACUGCAAAUUCCAGAAUGUGCCACAACAAAAGACAGUUGCCUAUAAGUAGCGUCCUUCGGGAAACGCAUGGCGACAACUAGAAGCGUCCUUCAGGAGACGCAGCCCGCAAAGAAGCGUCCUAAGGGAGACGCAAGGUGCGCCAGGAAUUUCCUAAGGGAGGUAUCCAGGUUUCUAUCCGUUUCCUAAGGGAGGCAGGAUAGCCAAACAGUUGCCCAUAAAAAGCGUCCUAAGGGAGACGCAGGGCAACGACCAAAAGCAUCCUUCGGGAGACGCAGCCCGCAAAGAAGCGUCCUAAGGGAGACACAGGGUGCGCCAGGAAUUUCCUAAGGGAGGUAUCCAGGUUCCUAUCCGUUUCCUAAGGGGGGGCAGGAUAGCCAAACAGUUGCCCAUAAAAAGCGUCCUAAGGGAGACGCAGGGCGACGACCAAAAGCGUCCUUCGGGAGACGUAGCCUGCAAAACAGCGUCCUAAGGGAGACGCAGGGUGCGCCAGGAGUUUCUUAAAAGGGGGUCACCAUGCUCUCUGCGGAAAUAUCCAGGUUCCUAUCCAUUUCCUAAGGGAGGCUGGAUAGUCAAAAAAGUUGUCCAUAAAAAGCGUCCUAAGGGAGACGCAGGACGACGACCAAAAGCGUCAUUCGGGAGACGCAGCCCACAAAGCAGCAUUCUAAGGGGGUUGCAGGGUGCACCAGGAAUUUCCUAAGGGAGGUAUCUAGGUUCCUAUCCGUUUCCUAAGGGGGCAGGACAGUCAGACAGUUGUCCAUAAGCAGCGUCCUAAGGGAGACGCAGGGCAACGACCAGAAGCGUCUUAAAGCAUUUUCUUGAAAAAUGCAAAAUACGCCCGGAGUCCCUCAAGAGGGACCCUGGCUUUUGCCGAAAUCCCAAGGGAAAUACACAGCAGGACACUAACCGGUUACUCAAGUAGUUCACAAGACAAUGUACGAAUUGAAGUUGAAAAAAUAAAGACUGAAAUUUCCAUAGUAAAGCGACCAACCGGCCAAGUUCAAACAAAAAGAAGAUGGUCAAAACAAGACCAAUUAUUCUAAACAAAAAGCAGACUACAAAAGCUGAAAAGAAAUAAAGAAGUCUUCAUCUACUCCGAAAUGCCAGCAGGAGACCCCUGAUCUGCAGCCUCUUCAGCGUCCACCUGAUCAGCCAUGCUCUCAGCAGCUCCACAUGCAUGAUCUAUGACGUCUGCCACUGCCUCAUCAGCUGCAUCAUCCUCUGCACCAUCUUCUUCAGCCACCUGCUAUUCAGCUCCUUCGGUGUUCGUAGCAUUAGCCUCUUCACCUUGCACAGGGGGCAAGUCAGGAUAAAGCAUCUCGAUGUCUUCAUCUCCAAUGGCAUAGAAGGGAUCAUAUCCAAUUGUGCAGCCCAAGUAGCCCAACUUGUACGCAUCCAUGACAGCUUCGGAUUUGGAUUCUUCAGCAGACUUAUGAUAGGAGUGAAAUCUAGCCAAAAGCUUAUCAUAACUAUGAGAGAUGUCGGCACUCUUGCGCUCAAGGCGGAAAUAAGCAUCUUUUCGACUUGCCAAGUCAACAGCAGAAGAGCUGAGCUCAGAAUCUUUCUCAAUAAGGGAACUCUUCAGCUCAGAUAUCAUCGCCCGCAAAUCAGACGUCUUCUUCUUAUAACGAGCCUGUUCGGCAGAAAGCCAGCUAGCUAGCUCAGCAUUCUUCUUCUCCAACGCACUAAGCUGAGCAGAAGAGGAGGCAACAGCAGACGACGAGUUCCGGAUGGUCUCCGCAGCAAAAACCACUCCUUUUUGAAGCAGAUGAAAUGUUGUUUCUCUUUGUUUUUCCAAGAAAAGACUUGAAAAAGUACCGAGAUCACCACCCUGACGGACUUGAUCAACCAGCUCAGCACAAGCGGAUGGACUUGAUAGAAAGUGCGUCUUGAGCAGAUCAGACACGCCUGUAUCCCCUGUAGUGCUAGGCUUGUCCACCUUUGGAUCAGCCGCUGAUGUUGCAGAAGAACUUUUUCCCCGAGCAGAUAACUCUCUUGCUUUCUUAGCCUCUGCCAACCUUACUUCCAAAGGAACUGACGACGAUGAAUCAACUCCACGCUUGACUGCUUGUGACUCAACAGUUGGAUUGUGAUGGUUGGAUGGAUGAGCAGACCUCGUACAUCGACCUCCACUCUUCGACUGGUGCAAACGACCGAACUUCGGAAAGGAAAAUCAGCAUCUUUUGGCUUCUCAACAGGUGACCUGGACCGUGCAUGAACUACGUCGCGGAGCAGAUCACGAUCUCCAAACUCAUCAGCAAGAGGCUUAAGGGGAACAUCCCUAAUGUUGCGCAUACCACCAAUCUUCUUGCUAUCUGCACCAACAAGAUGUUUGACUCUGGCAGAUGACGCGGGAAUAGCUCCUACUUGGGUUUUCUCAGCAGAAGGGAGCCUUGGCUUCUUCCUCAAUGGAGACACAUUCCUCGCCCGUAAAGAAGUAGCUGGAGUUCUCGAAGACUUGACAUCGGCCUUCCUUUUUGGUGGGGGUUCAGCAAAGCACUCAUCCUGUUCAGCAGAUAGAUCAUCAGGGUUCGGACCAUUUUGCUUCCAUCUCUCGACAUCCUCGGCAGGGGGCAGACCACCGUCUUCCUCCCGAUACUUGCUCAACAGCCAGCGCCACUCACGAAACUUUUGGGGGAUGUUCAAAGCACGGCGGACCUUAGCCAUGUCAGGCCCAAGCUCCAAUUGCUUGCUGAUGUCACUCACUACAAGCAGAAGACAGAAGUUAGUCAGCCACACUUGAAGAAACUCAAAUAAAAAGAGAACAAAUCAUAGAUCACAAAAAGACACACCAUAGCAAUAAGUGAUAGGAACAAGGGGGCGUCGCCAACGUCGCCCUCCCAGCGUCCGCUGACUUCCAACAAGUCGUCAUGCCAAGCGUGAUCUCCUUGACUAAGACCAUCGAAUAGCCUGGACCUGUAGACGCGAACUUGGGCAUACUGCUCGAAGUGCCUUACUUCAAAAAAAUAAAAGAACUCUCGCACCGUCAACUCCAGCGUAAAGAAACGGCUCAGAUUCUCAAAGCACAUGAUCGCCCGGUAAACGUUGGGAGUACUCUGGCUUGGAGCACACCCCAUGGCGCAGAACACCUCCUUGAAGAGCUUCGACAGCGGGAAUUUGAAGCCCAGUGAAAAAUAAAAAGGACGGAAGGUAAUGAUCCUAGCACCAGGAUCAUCCGCAUCCUCGAAAGAAUCGUUAUCAGUCCGAGACCUCAAUAGCUUGACCUGCACGUCAUCUGGAAUGGCAGAAGCGAAAGCAGCCUGCCAUUUUUGGAACUGAGCGUCGGUCGUGACUCGGUGCAAGUUGGCCACGAACUUCUUGCUAGGCACUACGGAACCUCCCCACAAAUACAAAGGCACCUGAGAGCUUGGAGCCUUGCUACCGUCCCUGGAAGACAUGGUUGGUCAAUGAACAACUACAAGAAGAGAAGAAAAUUCUACAAGUUAGAAUCCGAAAAAAAAAAGGGCUGGCAGAAAAAAAAAAAAAAAAAAAGAAGGCAGCCCAGCAUGAACAGCCCGUCAAUCCCUCCAGCCCAGCACGCAUGCGGCCCAGUCUUCCAGCUCCUGCACGCAAGGCCCGCCUGCUUGGCGCAGGCCCAAGUCGCGCAGCCCAUCUCUUCCUCGCCCAUCUCGCCAGCGCGCCUUCGGCCCAAGCCCGAGCUCGACGGUCCAGCGCGAGCAGCCUGCUCGCCCAGCGGAAGCCCUUCGCACGCAAGGCCCAACGCCUUUUCUGCCUCAGCUCCGAAGCCCAGCAUGCGCCUCCUUCUGAUUUGGGCUUGGCUCCUCCACGCCCUUGCUUCAGGCCCAGCACACAUAUGCUCCAGCCCAGGCCAGGUAGCUCCAAGACCAGCAUGCACCUCAUGCUCCAUCUGAUACUAGCAUGAACUCCCCAGCUAUUUGUCAACUAUUGCUCACGAAUUGCAACUCAUACUGGACCAUCUCCUUGCUGCCAAAAAAUAAAAAAAAUAUAUAUACAUACAUAUAUAUUUUUACGGGCUCGACUUACUUGGGAUGCACGGCAACUCCUCUCCUCAACAAGCAGUACAAAUUCUCCAAAAUCUUUCUCAAGCCAGAAGGUAGAGAAGUUAAGUUUGUGAUAUGAGAAAGAGUGAAGAGAAGCCCUGUAUUUAUACAGGUUGGACAACCCGGGUCACGAAGGAAUCAAAAACUCAUUCCUACUAGGAAUCCAACUCCAACAACAGUCAGAAGCCUACACCAAUUGGGAAUCCAAUCUGCGAAGGAGUUCAACUCACAUAAUAAAGCCCAGACACAGUUGGAGAGCCCGAAAAAAAUAAUUUCAUCUCCUACAUGCCACACAAGCGCCAUGCAGAAGCUGGGGGCAUUUGUGGGAGCACAUAUUUUCGUCUCCAAUCAGGGCACGCCACGUGGAAAAGAAGAUUAUCUCUUAAAUUAAUUAAUUAAACCAGUUUAUCUGGCUAAUUAAUUAAUUGGGAUAAAUAUCUUAAUUAAUAUGAUAUUAUCUUUAUUUGAAGAGAUAAUAUCAUUAAUUAAGAUAUUAUCCUAAUAAAGAGAAGAAAAUAUCAUUUAAUUCAGAUAUUAUCUUUUUAAGAGAUAAUAUCAUUUAAUUCAGAUAUUAUCUUCUUAAGAGAUAAUAUAUAUUUAAUUAAGAUAUUAUCAAGCCCAACUCGAUUCCUACGAAACCCUAGCCCCGAGGCUCCUAUAAAUAGACAACCUCAUUCAUCAUUCAAGGGACAUCUAAACCUACUCCUUAUACCCGAGAAAAAUACCCGAAGCUCUCUCUCCCUCUCCACUCUCCAUAUUUUCUCCCCACGGCUCCGGCCACCACACACGGCUCCAUUCAGCUGGUUUACACCCUACAUAAAACUCCGUACCCUUUGCUUAGCUAUUGUUUUCCUACAAACACUCGAACUAACUUAGGCAUCGGAGGGCCUUUGGCCAACACCCCCCGGGUGUGGUCUAUUUACUCCAGUCUUUUUUACAGGAAUCGAGGAAGAGAGAGAAGGAAGAUCGAAGGUUGAAGGAUCUAGAAGCGAAUAUUCUCCCGUGAGAUUAUUUGCACAAACAAUACACCAACCACAUCAUUUAAGAACGAACUUCAUACGAACCUGAAUUGUCCAGUUUCAUGGACCAAUCGAUAUCGGAUUCAGUCCAAAACUUGGGGAACACCAUAAUAUGGUCGGAGGUGUCAUUUGGGGCUCUUUGAGUGAAAUCCAAUAUCUAAAACUAUGCAAAACACAAACCACUCCAUUUCAGGACGAACUUCGUAUGAACCUAAAUUGUCCAAUUUUGUGGACCAAUCGAUAUUGGAUUGAGUCCAAAACUUGGGGAACAUCAUAAUGUGGUAGGAUGAGUCAUUCGGUGGGUUUUGAGUGAAAUCGAAUCUCUAAAACUAUGCAAUACAGAAACCACUCUAUUUCUGAAUGAACUUCGUCAGAUUCUAAAUUGUCCAAUUUCAUGGACCAAUCGAUAGCCCAAAACUUGGGGAACAUUAUAGCAUGGUGGGAGGAGUCAGUUCGUGAGUUUUGAGUGAAAUCCAAUCUCUAAAAGUAUUCAAUACACCAACCACUCCAUUUUAGAACGAACUUCGUACGAACCGAAAUUGUCCAAUUUCAUGGACCAAUCGAAAUCGUAUUGAGUCCAAAACUUGGGGAACAUCAUAAUAUGGUGGGAGGAGUCAUUUGGUUGGUUUUGAGUGAAAUCCAAUAUCUAAAACUAUGCAAAACACUAACCACUCCAUUUCAGAACGAACUUCGUACCAACCUGAAUUGUCCAAUUUCAUGGACCGAUCGAUAUUGGAUUGAGCCCAAAACUUGGGGAACGUCAUAAUAUGGUGGGAAGAGUCAUUUGGUGGGUUUUGAGUGAAAUCUAAUCACUAAAACUAUGCAAUACACCAACCACUCUAUUUCAGACCGAAGUUCGAAAGAACCUGAAUUGUCCAAUUUCAUGGAACAAUUGAUAUAGGAUUGAAUCCAAAACUUGGGGAACAUCGUAAUAUGGUGGGAGGACUCAUUUGGUGAGUUUUGAGUGAAAUCCAAUCUCUAAAACAAUGCAAUACACCAACCACUCCAUUUCAGAACGAACUUCGUACGAAGCUGAAUUGUUCAAUUUCAAGGACCAAUCGAUAUCAGAUUGAGCCCAAAACUUGGGGAACAUCAUAAUAUGGUGGGAGGAGUCAUUUGGUGGGGUUUGAGUGAAAUCCAGUAACUAAAACUAUGCAAUAUAUCGACCACUCUAUUUCAUAACGAAAUUUGUACGAACUUGAAUUGUCCAAUUUCAUGGACCAAUCGAUAUCGGAUUGAUCCCAAAACUUGGGGAAACAACAUAAUAUGGUGGGAGGAGUCAUUUGGUGAGUUUUGAGUGAAAUCCGAUCUCUAAAAGUGUGCAACAAACCAACCAUUCCAUUUCGGAACGAGUUUCGUACGAAGCUGAAUUGUCCAAUUUCAGGCACCAAUAGACAUAAGAUAGAGUCCAAAAUUGAGGGAACAUAAUAAUAUGAUGGGAGGAGUCAUUUGGUGGGUUUUGAGUGAAAUCCAAUCUCUAAAACUAUGCAAUACACCAACCACUCUAUUUCAGAACGAACUUCUCACGAACCUGAAUUGUCCAAUUUCAUGGACCAGUCAAUAUCGGAUUGAGUCCAAAACUUACUGAACAUUAUAACAUGGUGCGAGGAGUCGUUUGGUGUGUUUUGAGUGAAAUCCAGUAUCUAAAACUUUGCAAAACACAAACCAUUCUAGUUUAGAACGAACUUCGUACGAACCUGAAUUAUCCAAUUUCAUGGACCAAUCGAUAUUGGAUUGAGUCCAAAACUUGGGGAACAACAUAAUAUGGUGGGAGGAGUCAUUUCGUUGGUUUUGUGUGAUAUCCAAUCCCUAAAACUAUGCAAUACACAACCACUCCAUUUUAGAACGAACUUCGUACGAACCUGAAUUGUCCAAUUUCUUGGACCAAUCAAUAUCGGAUUGAGUCCAAAUCUUGGGAAACAUCAUAACAUGGUGGGAGGAGUCAUUUGGUGAGUUUUGAGUGAAAUACAAUCUCUAAAAUUAUGCAAUGCACUAACCACUCCAUUUCAGAACGAACUUCGUCAGAACUUGAAUUGUCCAAUUUCAUGGACCGAUCCAUAUCGGAUUGAGUCCAAAACUUGGGGAACAUCACAAUGUGGUGGCAGGAGUCAUUUAGGGGGUUUUGAGUGAAAUUGAAUCUCUAAAACUAUACAAUACCCCAACCACUCCAUUUCAUAAUGAACUUUGUACGAACCUGAAUUAUCCAAUUUCAUGGACCAAUCGAUAUCGGAUUGUGUCCAAAACUUGGGGAACAUCAUAAUAUGGUGAGACGAGUCAUUUGGUGUGUUUUGAGUGAAAUUCAAUAUCUAAAACUAUGCAAUAGACCGACCACUGCAUUUCAGAACGAACUUCGUACGAACCUGAAUUGUCCACUUUUAUGUGCCAAUCAAUAUCGGAUUGAGUCCAAAACUUUGGGAACAUCAUAAUAUGGUGGGAGGAGUCAUUUGGUGGGUUUGGGGUAAAACCAAAUUUCUAAACUUUUGAAAUACCCCACCCCCCCCAUUCGGAACGAAACUCGUACGGAACCUGAAUAGAGGUUGGUUUUUAGUCAAACUAUGUCGUGGUCGUUCGCCACCUUGGGNNNNNNNNNNNNNNNNNNNNNNNNNNNNNNNNNNNNNNNNNNNNNNNNNNNNNNNNNNNNNNNNNNNNNNNNNNNNNNNNNNNNNNNNNNNNNNNNNNNNCCAUGUUAUGAUGUUCCCCGAGUUUUGGACUCAAUAUAAUUUUGAUUUGUCCAAAAAAUUGGAGAAUUCAGGUUCGUACGAUGUUCGUUAUGAAAUGGAGUGGUUGUUGUAUUGCAUAGUUCUAGAGAUUGGAUUUCAUGCAAAACCUACCAAAUGACUCCUCCCAUGAUAUUAUGAUGUUCUCCAUGUUUUGGACUCAAUCCGAUAUCGAUUGGGCCAUGAAAUUGGACAAUUCAUGUCUGUACGAUUUUUGUUCGAAAAUGGAGUGGUUGGUGCAUUGCAUAGUUCUAGAGAUUGGAUUUCACUCAAAACCUACCAACUGACUCCUCCCACCAUAUUAUGCUGUUCCCCAAGUUUUGGAGUCAAUCCGAUAUUUAUUGGUCCAAGAAAUUGGACAUUCACGUUCUUACGCAGUCGUUCUGAAAUGAAGUGGUUGGUGUAUUUCCUGGUUCUAGAGAUUGGAUUUCACUCAAAACCUACCAAAUGACUCCCCCCACCAUAUUAUGUCGUGCCCCAAGUUUUGGACUCAAUCCGAUGUCGAUUGGCCCAUGAACUUGGACAAUUCAGGUUCGUAUGAAGUUCGUUCUGAAAUGGUGUGGUAGGUGUAUUGCGUAGUUUUAGAGAUUGGAUUUCACUCAAAACUCACAAAUGACUCCUCCCACCAUAUUAUGAUGUUCAUCAUGUUUUGGGCUCAAUCUGAUAUCCAUUGCUCCAAGAAAUUGGACAAUUCAGGUUCGUACAAAGUUCGUUCUGAAAUGGAAUGGUUGGUGUAUUGCAUAGUUCUAGAGUAUGGAUUUCACUUAAAAAAAAAACCAAAUGACUCCCCCCACUGUUUACCGUUGUUCGCCAAGUUUGGACUCAAUCUGAUAUCUAUUGGUCCAAGAAAUUGAACAAUUUAGGUUCUUACGAAGUUCAUUCUGACAUGGAGUGGUUGGUGUAUUUCGUAGUUCUAGUGAUUCGAUUUUACUCAAAACCUACCUAAUGACUCCUUUCACCAUAUUAUGUUGUUCCCCAAGUUUUGGACUCAAUCCGAGGUCGAUUGGUCCAAGAAAUUGGACACUUCGGGUUCUUACGAAGUUCGUUCUGAAAUGGAGUGGUUGGUGUGUUGGAUAGUUCUGGAAAUUGGAUUUCACUCAAAACCUUCCAAAUGACUCCUCCCACCAUAUUAUGAUGUUCCCCAAGUUUUGGACUCAAUCCGAUAUUGAUUGGUCCAUGAAACUGCACACUUCAGGUUCUUACGAAGUUCAUUCUGAAAUGGAGUGGUUGGUGUAUUGCAUAGUUCUAGCGAUUAGAUUUCACUCAAAACCUACCAAAUGACUUCUCCCACCACAUUAUGAUGUUCCCCAAGUUCUGGACUCAAUCCGAUAUCGAUUGGUCCAUGAAAUGGGAAAAUUCAGGUUCGUACAAAGUUCGUUCUGAAAUGGAGUGGUUGGUGUAUUGCAUAGUUCUAGAGAUUGGAUUUCACUCCAAACCUACCAAAUGACUCCUCCCACCAGAUUAUGAUGUUCCUCAAGUUUUGGAGUCAAUCCGAUAUCGAUUGGUCCAAGAAAUUGAACAAUUCAGGUUCGUACGAUUUUUGUUCUAAAAUGGAUUGGUUGAUGUAUUGCAUAGUUUUAGAGAUUGGGCUUCACUCAGAACCAACCAAAUGACUCCUCCCAUCAUAUUAUGAUGUUCCCCAAGUUUUGGACUCAAGCCGACAUCGAUUGGUCAAGGAAAUUGGACAAUUUAGGUUCUUACGAAGUUCAUUCUGAAAUGGAGUGGUUGGUUUAUUUCAUAGUUCUAGAGAUUGGAUUUUACUCAAAACCUACCAAACGACUCCUCCACCAUAUUAUGUUGUACCCCAAGUUUUGGACUCAAUCCGAUAUUGAUUCGUCCAUGAAAUUGGACAAUUCAGGUUCGUACGAAGUUCGUUCUGAAAUGGUGUGGUAGCUGUAUUGCAUAGUUUUAGGGAAUGGAUUUCACUCAAAACUCACCAAAUGACUCCUCCCACCAUAUUAUGAUGUUCACCAAGUUUUGGGCUCAAUCCGUUAUCCAUUGCUCCAAGAAAUUGGACAAUUUAGGUUCGUACAAAGUUCCUUCUGAAAUGGAGUGGCUGGUGUAUUGCAUAGUUCUAAAGGCUGGAUUUCACUAAAAAAAAACCAAAUGACUUCUCCCACUAUAUUACCAAGUUUGGAAUCAAUCCGAUAUCAAUUAGUCCACGAAGUUGGACAAUUCAGGUUCCUACGAAGUUCAUUCUGAAAUGGUGUGGUAGCUGCAUAGUUUUAGAGAAUGGAUUUCACUCAAAACUCACCAAAUGACUCCUCCCACCAUAUUAUGAUGUUCACCAAGUUUUGGGCUCAAUCCGUUAUCCAUUGCUCCAAGAAAUUGGACAAUUUAGGUUCGUACAAAGUUCCUUCUGAAAUGGAAUGGUUGUUGUAUUGCAUAGUUCUAGAGGCUGGAUUUCACUAUAAAAAAAAAACCAAAUGACUCCUCCCACUAUAUUACCAAGUUUGGAAUCAAUCCGAUAUCAAUUAGUCCACGAAGUUGGACAAUUCAGGUUCCUAUGAAGUUCAUUCUGAAAUGGUGUGGUUGGUGUAUUGCAAAGUUAUAGGGAUUGGAUUUCACUCAAAACUCACCAAAUGACUACUCCCACCAUAGUAUGAUGUUGCCCAAGUUUUGGGCUCAAUCCAAUAUUCAUUGGUCCAUGAAAUUGAACAAUUCAGGUUCGUACGAUUUUUGUUCUGAAAUGGUGUGGUAGAUGUAUUGUAUAGUUUUAGAGAUUGGAUUUCACUCAAAACCAACUAAAUGACUCCUCCCAUCAUAUUAUGAUGUUCCCCAAGUUUAGGACUCAAUCCGAUAUCUAUUGGUCCAAGAAAUUGGACAAUUCAGGUUCUUAUGAAGUUCGUUUUGAAAUGGAGUGGUUGAUGUAUUUCAUAGUUCUAGCGAUUGGAUUUUACUCAAAACCUACCAAUUGACUCCUCCCACCAUAUUAUGUUGUUCCCCAAGUUUUGGACUCAAUCCGAGGUCGAUUGGUCCAAGAAAUUGGACACUUCAAGUUCUUACGAAGUUCGUUAUGAAAUGGAGUGGUUGGGGUAUUAGAUAGUUCUGGAUAUUGGAUUUCACUCAAAACCUACCAAAUGACGCCUCCCACCAUAUUAUGAUGUUCCUCAAGUUUUGGACUCAAUCCGAUAUUGAUUGGUCCAUGAAAUUGGACACUUCAGGUUCAUACAAAGUUUGUUAUGAAAUGGAGUGAUUGGUGUAUUGCACAGUUCUAGUGAUUAGAUUUCACUCAAAACCUACCAAAUGACUUCUCCCACCACGUUGUGAUGUUCCCCAAGUUCUGGACUCAAUCUGAUAUCGAUUGGUCCACGAAAUGGGAAAAUUCAGGUUCGUACAAAGUUCUUUUUGAAAUGGUGUGGUUGGUGUAUUGCAUAGUUUUAGAGAUUGGAUUUCACAUAAAAAUCACCAAAUGACUCCUCCUACCAUAUUAUAGUGUUCCUCAAGUUUUGGGAUCAAUCCGAUAUUGAUUGGUCCAUGAAAUUGUUCAAUUCAAGUUCGUACGAAGUUCGUUCUGAAAUGGAAUGGUUGGUGUAUUGCACAGUUCUAGAGAUUGGAUUUCACUCAAAACCUACGAAAUGACUCCUCCCGCCAUAUUGUGAUGUUCCCCAAGUUUUGGACUCAAUCUGAUAUCGAUUUGUCCAAGAAAUUGGCGAAUUCAGGUUCGUACAAAGUUCGUUCUAAAAUGGAGUGGUUGGUGUAUUGCAUUGUUCUAUAGAUUGGAUUUCACUCAAAACCAACAAAAUGACUAAUCCCACCAUAUUAGAUCUUCCCCAAGUUUUGGACUCAAUCCGAUAGCGAUUGGUCCAAGAAAUUGGACAAUUCAGGUUCGUACGAAGUUCAUUCUGAAAUGGUGUGGUUGGUGUAUUGCAUAGGUCUAGAAAUUGGAUUUUACUCAAAACUCACCAAAUGACUCCUCCCACCAUAUUUUAAUGUUCCCCAGGUUCUGCACUCAAUCCGAUAUUGAUUGGUCCAUGAAAUUGGACUACGUAGGUUCGUAUGAAGUUCAUUCUGAAAUGGAGUACUUGGUAUAUUGCAUAGUUCUAGAGAUUGGAUUUCAUUCAAAGGCAACCAAAUAACUCCUCCCACCAUAUUAUGAUGUUCCCCAAGUUUUGGACUCAAUCCGAUAUCGAUUGGCCCAAGAAAUUCGACUAUGUAGGUUUGUACGAAGUUUAUUUUCAAAUGGAGUGGUUUUUGUAUUGCAUAGUUUUAGAGAUUGGAUUUCACUCAAAACCUACAAAAUGACUCCUCCCACCAUAUUUUGAUGUUCCCCAAGUUUUGGGCUCAAUCCGAUAUUGAUUGGUCCCUGAAAUUGGACAAUUCAGGUUCGUACGAAGUUCAUUCUGAAAUGGAGUAGUUGGUGUAUUGCAUAGUUCUAGAGAUUGGAUUUCCCUCGAAACCUACAAAAUGACUACUCCCACCAUAUUUUGAUGUUCCCCAAGUUUUGAGCUCAAUCCGAUAUUGAUUGGUCCCUGAAAUUGGACAGUUCAGGUUCGUACGAAGUUCGUUCUGAAAUGGAGUAGUUGGUGUAUUGCAUAGUUCUAGAGAUUGGAUUUCCCUCGAAACCUACCAAAUGACUCCGCCCACCAUACUAUGAUCUUCCCCAAGUUUUGGACUCUAUCCGAUAUCGAUUGGUCCAUGAAAUUGGACAAUUCAGGUUCGUACGAAGUUCGUUCUGAAAUGGAGUGGUUGGUGUAUUGUAUUGUUCUAUAGAUUGGAUUUCACUCAAAACCAACAGAGUGACUAAUCCCACCAUAUUAGAUUUUCUGCAAGUUUUGGACUCAAUCUGAUAUCAAUUGGUCCAAGAAAUUGGACAAUUCAGGUUUGUACGAAGUUCGUUCUGAAAUUGGGUGGUUGGUGUAUUGCAAAGUUCUAGAAAUUGGAUUUCACUCAAAACUCACCAAAUGACUCCUCCCACCAUAUUUUGAUGUUCCCCAAGUUUUGGAAUCAAUCUGAUAUCGAUUGGUCCACGAAAUUGACUAUGUAGGUUCGUACGAAGUGCGUUCUGAAUGGAGUGGUUGGUGUAUUGCAUAGUUCUAGAGAUUUGAUUUCACUCAAAAGCAACAAAAUGACUCCUCCCACCAUAUUAUGAUGUUCCCCAAGUUUUGGACUCAAUCCGAUAUCAAUUGGCCCAAGAAAUUCAACUAUGUAGGUUCGUACAAAGUUCGUUAUGAAAUGGAGUGGUUUUUGUAUUGCAUAGUUUUAGAGAUUCGACUAACUUGGCAAAGUGCUCAAUAAGUGCAAGGAUGGCAUGCAAGACAGAGUUCACUCACAACCACACAAAGUCCUUAAACAAUGACUAUCAAUUCCUGAGAAACUAUAUUAGAAUUAAAUCCAAGUCUUAUCGUAGGUGUUUGAAAGGAUGACAAAGCAACUCACAAAAUGCUACGUUUUUAGACAUUAGAUACACUCAAAAAAUUUUAAAUUUGACAAUUUGAAACAACAUAACUAAAUCCUUCACCCCAAACUUAAAUGAAACAUUGUCCUCAAUGUUUAGAGUGUAAGAAGAAGCAAUGCCUCAUAAAUGAAAGGAAAGAAGAUAAGGGAAAGACAUAACCAAAGGUUAGAGUUAAGAAAAACUCCCCUUUGAAGCGAUUAGGAUGCAAGCAGGCUUCCUUGCAUAUUCUAUCUUCUCCUCGUCACCUUGGGUUGCCUCCCAUGAAGCGCUAAGUUUUAUGUCUUUAGUCGGACGUCCAAACUCUGGUGAGCUUCAAGAGAGUGGUGGAGGCUCCUUGAGUGCUUGAGACUCAGUAUUGGCAUCAAAGUUGGCAUCAAAGUAAGGUUUCAACCGAUGUCCGUUCACCUUGAAGGUGCUGCCAUCCUUAAUAUUUUGAAUCUCCACUGCGCCAUGAGCAAACACAUUAAUAAUAACAAAAGGGCCAAUCCACCGAGAACGAAGCUUACCUGGGAAGAGCUUAAGGCGUGAAUUGAAUAAGAGAACCUUCUGCCCUUUCUCAAACGUCUUCCUAAGAAUUUUCUUGUCGUGAUAUUGCUUUGUUUUCUCCUUGUAAAGUUCGCAUUCUCAUACGCUUCAUGUCGCAACUCCUCCAGCUCAUUGAGUUGAAGCCUCCUCUUCUCACCAGCGGCUUUCAUAUCAAAAUUGAAGGCCUUGAUUGCCCAAUAAGCCCUGUGCUCAAGCUCCCCUGGGAAGUGACAAGGUUUACCAAAAACAAGUCUAUACGGAGACAUGCCUAUAGGGGUCUUAUAAGCAGUCCUAUAAGCCCACAAUAUAUCAUCCAAAAGCAUGGACCAAUCAUUCCUUGUGGUGUUCACUGUCUUUUCAAGAAUGUGCUUAAUCUCCCUAUUGCUUAUCUCAACCUGCCCACUAGUUUGAGGAUGAUAGGGUGUUGCCACCUUAUGCGUGAUUCCAUAUUUCUUCAAGAGUGCUGCAAAAGCUUGGUUAACAAAGUGGGAGCCACCAUCACUAAUGAUUGCUCUAGGUGUGCCAAACCUUGUAAAAAUAUUUCCUUUGAGAAAACCGAUCACAACCUUAGCAUCAUUAGUUCUAGUGGCAAUGGCUUCCACCCAUUUAGAAACAUAAUCGACAGCAACUAAUAUAUAUUCAAAUCCAUAAGAGGUAGGAAAAGGGCAUAUGAAAUCAAUUCCCCAAACAUCAAAUAUAUCAAUGAUUAAGAUAUUAGUGAGAGGGAUCUGAUUUCUAGCAUGUAAAUUACCCAUCCGUUGGCAUCUAUCACAUGAAGCACAAAAAACAUAAGCAUCCUUAAAAAGGGUAGGCCAAAAGAAACCCGAUUGUAGCACUUUUCUGGAAGUCUUCCAUGCUCCAAAAUGGCCUCCGCAUGCGUGGGAGUGACAAAACUCCAGAAUGCUCUUAAAAUCACCUUCAAGCACACACCUUCGAAUUACUUAGUCUGGACAAUGCUUGAAUAGAUAUGGAUCAUUCCAAAAGUAGUAUCUUGCUUGCUUCCUAAGUUUGUCACAUUGGAACGUAGAUAACCCUGUAGGGAGUUCAUUAGUGCACAAAUAGUUAACAAUAUCAGCAAACCAAGGCAAUGGAUUGAGAGAAUCCAAAGCACAAAUGUAGAAGAGUUGCUCAUCAGGGAAGCUUUCAAGCAAUGGCAAUGAAUCCUCCUCUUCGUUAGAUACAUGCACUAAUCUACUCAAGUGAUCAGCCACGACAUUCUCACUUCCUUUCUUAUCUUUUAUCUCCAAGUCAAACUCUUGCAACAAGAGAAUCCAUCUAAUGAGUUGUGGUUUGGCAUCCUUCUUAGCUAACAAGUAUUUCAAUGCUGCAUGAUCAGUGUAAACAAUAACCUUGUUAGUAAUCAAAUAUGAUCUGAACUUCUCUAAAGCAAAUAUGACAGCUAACAACUCCUUCUCUGUGGUGGAAUAGUUGAGUUGGGCAUCGUUGAGGGUUCUACUAGCAUAGUAGAUGGCAUGUGGCUUCUUAUCAACUCACUGUCCCAAAACAGCUCCGACAGCAUAAUCUAAGGCGUCACACAUCAAUUCAAAAGGCAAGCUCCAAUCCGGUGGUAUAAUGAUUGGGGCAAUUGUGAGCAUCUUCUUCAAAGCAUUGAAAGCAUUCUCACAGUCUUGAUCAAACACAAAAUCCAUGUCCUUGGCAAGGAGAUUGCACAUAGGGCUUGGAAUCUUAGAAAAAUCCUUAAUGAAAUGCUUAUAGAAACCUGCAUGGCCAAGGAAAGAACGUACUUCUUUGACAGAAGUAGGUGAGGGCAUAGAGGCAAUCAAAUCAAUCUUAGCUUUAUCUACCUCGAUUCCUUUACUAGAGAUGACAUGACCAAGAACUAUGCCUUGGUUAACCAUAAAAUGACAUUUUUCCCAAUUAAGCACAAGGUUAGUCUGUUCACAUCUAGCCAACACCUUGGAUAAGUUCUGCAAGCAUUGAUCAAAAGAAUCACCAAAGACAGAGAAGUCAUCCAUGAAUACCUCAAUGAACCUUUCUACCAUGUCGGAGAAAAUGCUCAUCAUGCACCUUUGAAAAGUGGCUGGGGCGUUACAGAGACCAAAAGGCAUCCAAGCAAAAGUGCCAAAGGGACAUGUGAAGGUCGUCUUCUCUUGAUCCUCUAGGGCUAUGGCGAUUUGGUUGUAGCCUGAAUAUCCAUCAAGAAAGCAAUAAUGGCUAUGGCCAGCUAAUCUCUCAAGCAUUUGAUCAAUGAAUGGAAGAGGAAAGUGAUCUUUGCUUGUUGCUGUGUUGAGCUUCCUAUAAUCAAUGCAAACUCUCCAGGCUGUGGUCAUCCGUGUAGGUACAAGCUCGUUUGCUUCAUUCUUCACCACUGUGAUACCUGACUUCUUGGGGACAACUUGCACUGGGCUCACCCAUUUACUGUCAGAAAUAGGGUAAAUAAUACCAACAUUUAAAAGCUUCAUUACCGCUUUUCUUACCACCUCCUUCAUGUUCAGAUUGAGACGUCUUUGGGCAUCCCUCUUAGGCAUUGCAUUGUCUUCCAAUAAUAUCUUGUGCAUGCACAGUGUUGGGCUUAUGCCUUUGAUAGCCGCAAUGCUCCACCCAAUUGCAGUUUUGUGCUCUUUUAGAACACUCAAAAGCUUAUUUUCAUCAUUUGGUCCGAGAUGUGAGGCAAUGAUAACAGGUAGAGUCUCGUUUUCACCUAAAUAAGCAUAUUUAAGGUGUUUUGGCAAUUGCUUUAAUUCCAACUCUGGUGCCUGCACAAUAGAAGGUAAAACCUUAUUAGUAGGUGGGGGUAAUGAUUCAAAUUGGUUUGCAUACCUCUUUCCAAUUUCUAUGUAGCUAUCCAUGUUGACAAGCUCAAGAAGUAAAGGAGAGAUCACAGCCUCUAAGCUGUCCACUUCUUCUUUCCUUAUGCUUUGUGUGAUGCAUGCUUCAAUGGGCUCCAAAUAACUCAUUGGCAUUGCUUCUUUCACCAUAGUAUCAAUUGCAUCAAGAUGGAAAACUUCAUGCUCGUCACUUGGAAACUUGGAGGCUUCAAACACUUUGAAUGCUAUUGUCUCAUCAAACACAUUCAUGGUCAAUGUACCCUUCUUCACAUCAAUAAUAGCACCGGCAGUUGCCAUGAAUGGUUGACCUAGAAUGAGUGGUAACUGAUUGUCAUGAAUUGGUGCUUCUUCCAUUUCCAACACCAAGAAAUCUGCUGGCAAAAUUAGCUCUUCCACUUUCACCAAAACAUCUUCUAGAAUGCCCUUAGGGUACCUAAUAGUUCUAUCUACCAAUUAAAUGCUCACAGAUGUGGCUUUCAACUCACCAAGGUUAAGUUUCUCAUAAACAUGAUAUGGCAUAAGAUUUAUAGAAGCACCAAGAUCAAGCGCAGCUUUUUGAAACUUAAAAUCACCAACUAUGCAAGGUAUAGAAAACGAACCUGGAUCCUUUAGCUUUGGAGGCAGCUUUCUUUGUAACACUGCACUUACCUCUUCACUCAAUGCAACUUGUUCAUGCUCUUUGAAUCUCCUCUUGUUAGUGCAUAGAUCCUUCAAAAAUUUUGCAUAUUUUGGAAUCUGAGCAAUGGGAUGUUGAUUUGCACCUUCUUGAAUGUUUCCAUUAUCUCAUCCAAGCCUUGAUCUUUCUUUGACUUUGAUAACCUGCUGUGAAAGGGUGCAAUAGGCCUAAAAGCAUUAGUUGAAAUUGGAACUUGAUUAGCAUUAGAUGAUACCUUAGGGUUUGUGCUCUUUCCAGAAGGAUUGAGGGACUGUUUGUUGGAAGCCGUGGGCUACCCAUGUGGUGGCUGAAUGAUCUCCAUGUUUUCUCCAUCUUCUUGCUCUUUAUUGGCAUCUCCAACCUUAUUAUCAACUUGUUUACCACUUCUCAAGAUGUGUACUGCUUUAGCAUGCUCUUGAUGCCUUGGAUUCACCUCUGUUUGGCUUGGGAAAGUUCCGGAUGCUCUAUUGCUGAUGGAGGAUGCAAUCUGCCCAACUUGCACUUCUAGUUUGUUCACUGCAUUUUGAAGAUUCUGAUUGGUUUGCAUCUGUUGCCCUAUGAACUUCUUGAACAUGUCUUGCAAUUCUCCCAUUUGAUCACCCCUUUGCUCUUGCACUUGUUGGGAAGCUUGCUGGAAUUGCCUUUGUUGCGUUUGGAAUCCUGGGGGAGGUCCUUGAUAUUGUUGCACAUUUGGAUUGUUGUUCCACCGAAAAUUAGGAUGAUUUCUCCAUCCCGGAUUGUACGUGUUUGUGUAAGGAUCAUUAUUAGGAUUCCUUGCUUGAAGGGCAUUUGCUUGUUCUAGCAUGUGCUUCGCAAAAGAUUGGUCUUGAACUUCCACUUUGUUUCCUAGAGGGCCAGUCACUGCCUGUUAGAGCAAAGAACACAUAACAUCAAGUUUUCCAGCAAUCUCAUUAUUAGUACUUACCUUAGAGACCACAGCUUUCAUAGGAGCUCAUCUUCCUUUAUUGUGGUUCCAUUGUUGAGAGUUAGCACUCAAGGAUUCAAAGAGAGUAAAAGCCUCAUAUGCUGUUUUGUUCAUCAGUCCUUCUCCACUUGUUGCAUCUACCAUCAUCCUUUCGGAAUCAAGCAAACCUUCAUAGAAAGAUUGCAUUUGCAUCCAACUCUCUAUGUUGUGGUGUGGGCAAGAACUUAUCAUCUCCUUGUAUGUCUCCCAACAUUCAUGAAAAGCUUCUCCUUCCUUUUGUGUGAAACCAAGAAUUUCCUUUCUAAUGUUGUUAGUCUUUUGAGCCGGAAAGAAUUUCUGCAAAACCUAAUUAGAAAGCUCUUCCCAAGUAUGAAUUGAAGCAUUAGGCAAAGAGUAUAACCAAGACUUAGCUUUAUCUUUUAAAUUGAAUGGGAAUAGCCUCAUCUUAAUCUGCUCAUCAUCAAGGCCUUGAAUUUUGAUUGUAGCACAUAUUUCAAAGAAUUGCUUAAUAUGCAUGUAAGGAUCCUCAGUGGUAUUAUCAUAAUAAGUUGGAAGAAGAUGAAUCAUACCACUUCAAAGCUCAAACCUGUCAACAGUGAGUUGAGGAUAGACGAUGCACGAAGGUUGAUCAGUGACUUUGGGAAUGGAAAACUCACGCAGGGGUUUUCGAGGUUGGACAACAAGCGCACUACCUCCUACAACAUUGUUGUUGUUGUUCGGAAUCUCUACCAUCUUGCUUGAACCUUCAGAUUCGUAACUUUUAGAUUCAGCGCUUGAAGAACUAUAAUUCCACCUCAAACCAGCAUGUACAGCAGUGGUUCUUGGUGAAAGUGGCUCAGGUGAACUUUGCUCCUGGUCAGAUUCGGACAUGCACACACCAAGGAACUCGAUUUAGUGCUUUCAAUGAAGAUAACAACUAAAUACAAAAACUGAAUACUAAAAGAAAAACCAACGAGAAGAAACAAAUGAAACAAACAAAAACAAAACAGUCAAAGUAAUCUAACUAUAGCACCAUCGUUACCGGUUCCCCGACAACGGCGCCAAAAACUUGUUGAGACUAUUCUUAACAACUAAAAUGAGUUAUUAAAAACAGCAACUUUAAUUCUCGCAAAUGCACGAACCGUUUAUAGUAUAGCUUAUGUAAAUACGAGGUCGAUCCCACGGAGAAUGGUAACUUGGUUCCAAGUUAAAUUACUUAGAAUGCUAGAAAAACAUAGAACAAAGAAACUAACUAACUAGCUAAAGGCAAGGUCGAAUUCAACAAUGCCUCUUGCUAAUUACUCAAGGUCUAGGACAGAAUCCUAGCACCACACACGCACUCAAAAUGAGGGGUUUUGUUGUUGAAAUGAAAAGAAGAAAGUAAAAUGAAAGUGCUCGAAAGUAAACACUGGCUGCAAUUAACAGAUUGUGAAACAAUAAUUGAGAGGUGUUAGAGCCUUGGAAUCCACCACUAGUUUUCCUAUCCAAGUUAUGAAUGCAUAGAAAUUGACUCAAGCUUCAUCAACAAUAGAUUAUCGCAUACAAGCCUAUGGUAUCUAGGUGCAGGAUGCAUGAUUCUCCUAAGGCAUGUAAUCGUGCAUGGUAUCUACACAACACGUGAUCUCUAAUAUGCAACCUAAGCAUGGUAUCUACUUAGAAUAAAGCAUACAAGAGUCAUUAUGCUCCAUGAGAAUAUGAUAAUCACACAAGUCCUAGAACCUGGUAUCUGUCCUAGUCAACCUAUGGUUAUUAACCCCUUGAAUGAUUCUUAGGCCAUUCAUGUGUUGCUUGUGAAAGGAGAGUAGAAUUGGUGAAUCUAAACCCCUUCCCAACCUGUGCUAGAUGCAUAAAAUCCUAAUUAGCUACUCCAAGAAAACAUACAUCAAGCACAUCAAGCACAUAAUAAACUGGAGAUUAACAACUUGAUAAUAAAAGCAAGGAAAUCAAUUAACUAUAAAAUCAUCAAUAACAUUGAAUAUUCAUGACUAGGGCUUCAUCCUAAGCCCUAACUAAAUGGAUUAGUUAGACAUAAGUAUGAAUACAGAAAAUAAGAAAUACAUAGAUAGGAUAAAAAGAGGAGAAGAAAUAGAUGACAGCAAUGCAGUUCUCAGGACAGCUCCAAUCUUUCUUCUCUCUUUGUGGCGAAUCUGAAUGUGUGUAUGAGAGUAAUGGAUGAAGUGAAUGUGUGUGUCUCCCGCCUUGAAUGAGUGUGCAGCUCUCUAUUUAUAGAGUGUUGAGUGCAAUUUCGUCCUCCCUUUUGGCUGGUGAAGCACACCUCUCUUAGCUGUUCCCAACUGCUCCAGCGGCCCAUAUAUGCCAACUGCUCCAGCUGCCAAAUACAUGCUUUGGUGGACUUUUCUUGGUUUCUUUAUGGAAAGCUUGACUUUUGUUCAUCUUUUUGAGUUCCCAUGCUGAUUUGUCGCCCAUGUGUGGCUGCUCUAAUGUGUAGCAGAUGGCUAUAGGGAUGUACCACAUUAAAUGUGAUGGCAGCCAACAUGACUUUUCUGUGAACUUGGUUCAGUCUUUGACGUACUGCGGGCUCUAGAUUUGUCCAAUUGGGCUGAAAUUUGUAUAUGUUAUAAUAAACUCCCAUUGGAACAACUUCUAUAAGGAUGUCUCCUCAUCCGACCUGUGUAAGUUGCAGACAUGAGGCCUGCAAGAUGACGUACGAAACUGGACUGACAAGGAGUGUGGCUCAAAUUGGUUUUGGCUUUAAGCUCAUAUUCCUCUUGUGCCAAUCAGCCCUUAACAUGCAUGAAUUGUAUCAAAUGUCAUCCCCUUGCUGUCUUAACCUACAAAACACACAAACAUAGGUAAGACACUCAAAAUAAAGAGAAACUUAACAAAAUUACUAAGCAAAGAAGGCAUGCAAAUGUGUGAAAUUAUGACCUUAUCACGUACGAAGUGCGUUCUUAAAUGGUGCGGUUGGUGUAUUGCAUAGUUUUAGAGAUUGGAUUUCACUCAAAAUUCACCAAAUGAUUCCUCCCACCAUAAUAUAAUGUUCCCCAGGUUUUUUGCUCAAUCCGAUAUCAAUUUGUCAAAGAAAAUGGACAAUUCCGGUUCGUACGAAGUUUGUUCUGAAAUAGAGUGGUUGGUGGAUUGCAUUGGUUCUUGAAAUUGGACAAUUCAUGUUUGCACGAAGUUCGUUCCGAAAUGGAGUGGUUGGUUUGUUGCAUAGUUUUAAAGAUUGGAUUUCACUCAAAACUCACCAAAUGACUCCUCCCGCCAUAUUAUAAUUUUCCCCAAGUUUUGGGCUCAAUCCGAUAUCGAUUGGUCCAUGAAAUUGGACCAUUCAGGUUCGUACGAAGUUCAUUCUGAAAUGGAGUGGUUGGUGGGUUGCAUAGUUUUAGAGAUUAGAUUUCACUCAAAACUCACCAAAUGACUCCUCCCACCAUAUUAUAAUGUUCCCCAAGUUUUGGGCUCAAUCCGAUAUCGAGUGGUCCAUGAAAUUGGACAAUUCAGGUUCGUACGAAGUUCGUUCUGAAAUGGAGUGGUUGGUGUGUUGCAUAGUUUUAGAGAUUGGAUUUCACUCAAAACUCAACAAAUGACUCUUUCAUGCACAUUAUAAUGUGCCCCAAGUUUCGGGCUCAAUCCGAUAUCGAUUGGUUCAUGAAAUUAGACAAUUCAGGUUCUUACGAAGUUCGAUCUGAAAUGGAGUGGUUGGUGUAUUGCAUAGUUCUACAGAUUGGAUUUCACACAAAACCAACGAAACGACUCCUGCCACCAUACUAUGAUUUUUCCCAAGUUUAGGACUCAAUCCGAUAUCGAAAGGUGCAUGAAAUUGGACAAUUCAGGUUCGUAUGAAGUUCGUUCAGAAAUGGAGUGGUUGGUGUAUUGCAUAGUUUUAGAGAUUCGAUUUCACUCAAAAUCCACCAAAUGACUCCUCCCACCGUAUUAUGAUGUUCCCCAAGUUUUGGACUCAAUCCAAUGUCGAUUGGUCCACGAAAUUGGACAAUUCAUAUUUUUACGAAGUUCAUUCUGAAAUGGUGUGGUUGGUGUAUUGCAUAGUUUUAGAGAUUAAAUUUUACUCAAAACUCAGCAAAUGACUCCUCCCACCACGUUAUGGUGUUCCCCAAGUUUUGGAGUGAAUCCGAUAUCGAUUGGUCCACGAAAUUGCACAAUUCAGGUUCGUAUGAAGUUCGUUCCGAAAUGGAGUGGUUUUUGUUUUGCAUAGUUUCAGAUAUUCGAUUCCACUGAAAGAGCUCCAAAUGACUCCUCCCACCAUAUUAUGAUGUUCCCCAAGUUUUGGACUCAAUCCGAUGUCGAUUGGUCCAUGAAAUUGAACAAUUCAGAUUCGAACGAAGUUCAUUCUGAAAUGGAAUGGUUGGUGUAUUGCAUAGUUUUAGAGAUUCGACAUCACUCAUAACUCACCAAAUGACUCCUCCCACCAUAUUAUGAUGUUCCCCAAGUUUUGGAAUUUAUCCGAUAUCGAUUUGCCAUGAAAUUUGACAAUUCAGGUUCGUACGAAGUUCGUUCUGAAAUGGAGUGGUUUGUGUUUCGCAUAGUUUUAGACCUUGGAUUUCACUCAACACCUACCUAAUGACUCCUCCCACCAUAUUAUGCUGUUCCCCAAGUUUUGGACUCAAUCCAAUAUCGAUGGGUCUAUGAAAUUGGACAAUUCAGGUUCGUACGAAGUUCUUUCUGAAUUGGAGUGGUUGGUGUGUUGCAUACUUUUAGAAACUCGAUUUCACUCAAAACCCUCCAAAUGACUCCUCCCACCAUAUUAUGAUCUUUUCCAAGUUUUGGACUCAAUCCGAUAUCGAUUGGUCCACGAAAUUUGAGAAUUCAGUUUCAUUCGAAGUUCGUUCCGAAAUGGAAUGGUUUGUGUUUUACAUAGUUUUAAAUAUUGGAUUUUACUCAAAGAGCACCAAAUGACUCCUCCCACCAUAUUAUGGAGUUCCCUAAGUUUUGGACUCAAUCUGAUAUCGAUUAGUCCUUGAAAUUGGACAAUUCAGGUUGGUACCAAGUUCGUUCUGAAAUGGAGUGGUUUGUGUUUUUCUUGGUUUUAGAUAUUGGAUUUCACUUAAAGAGCACUAAAUGACUCCUCCCACCAUAUUAUGAUGUUCCCCAAGUUUUGGACUCAAUCCGAUGUCGAUGGCUCCAUGAAAUUGGACAGUUCAAGUUCAUACGAAGUUCAUUCUGAAAUGAAGUGGUUGGUGUAUUGGAUACUUUUAGACACUCGAUUUCACUCAAAACCUGCCAAAUGACUCCUCCCAGCAUAUUAUGAUGUUCCCCAAGUUUUGGACUCAAUCCGAUAUCGGUGGGUCCACGAAUUUGGAGAACUCAUGUUCGUACGAAGUUCGUUCUAAAAUGGAGUCAUUUGUGUUUUGCAUAGUUUUAGACAUUGGAUUUUACUCAAAGAGCACCAAAUGAUUUGUCCCCCCAUAUUAUGAUGUUCCCCAAGUUUUAGACUCAAUCCUAUGUUGAUUGGCGCAUGAGAUUGGAUAAUUCAGAUUCGUACGAAGUUCGUUCUAAAAUGGAGUGGUGGGUGUAUUGCAUAGUUUUAGAGAUUCGAGUUCACUCAAAACUCACCAAAUGUCCCAGCAUAUUAUGAUGUUCCCCAAGUUUUGGACUCAAUCCGAUAUCGAUUGGUCCACGAAAUUGGACAAUUCAGGUUCAUAUGAAGUUCGUUCUGAAAUGGAGUGGUUGGGGUAUUGCAUAGUACUAGACAUUGGAUUUCACUCAAAACCUACCUAAUGACUCCUCCCACCAUAUUAUGUUGUUCCCCAAUUUUUGGACUCAAUCCGAUAUCGAUGGGUCCCCGAAAUUGGACAGUUCAAGUUCGUACGACAUUCGAUCUGAAAUGGAGUGGUCGGUGUUUUCCACAGUUAUAGAGAUCGCUCAAAAAGCACCAAAUGACUUCUCACACCAUAUGAUGGAGUUCCCCAAGUUUUAGACUCAAUCCGAUGUCGAUUGGUCCAUGAAAUUGGACAAUUCAUGUUCGUACGAAGUUUGUUCUGAAAUGGAGUGGUUUGUGUUUUGCAAAGUUUUAGAUAUUGGAUUUUACUCAAAACCCACCAAAUGACUCCUCCCACCAUAUUAUGAUGUUCCCCAAGUUUUGGACUCAAUCCGAUUUUGAUUGGUCCAUGAAAUUGGACAAUUCCGGUUCGUACGAAGUUCGUUCUGUAAUGGAGUGGUUGGUGUAUUGCAUAGUUUUAAAGAUUCAAUUUCACUCAAAACCCACCGAAUGACUCUUCCCACCACAUUAUGAUGUUCCCCAAGUUUUGAACUCAAUCCGAUAUUGAUUGAUCCAUGAAAUUGGACAAUUCAGAUUCGUACGAAGUUUGUUCUGAAAUGGAGUCGUUUGUGUUUUGCAUAGUUUUAGAUAUUGGAUUUCACUCAAAGAGCCCCAAAUGACACCUCCUAACAUAUUAUGAUAUUCCCCAAGUUUUGGACUCAAUCCGAUAUCGAUUGGUCCAUGAAAUUGGACAAUUCAGGUUCGUACAAAGUUUGUUCUGAAAUGGUGUGGUUAGUGUAUUGCAUAGUUUUGGAGAUUGGAUUUCACUCAACACCAACCAAAUGACUCCUCCCACCAUAAUAUGAUCUUUCCUAAGUUUUGGGCUCAAUCCGAUGUGGAUUGGUCCAUGAAAUUGGACAAUUCAGGUUCGUACGAUGUUUGUUCUGAAAUGGAGUGGUUGGUGUAUUGCAUAGUUAUGGACUUUGGAUUUCACUCAAAACCCACCAAAUGAAUUCUCUCACCAUAUUAUCUUGUUCCCCAAGUUUUGGACUCAAUCCGAUAUCGAUUGGUCCAUCAAAUUGGACAAUUCAUGUUCGUACGAAGUUCGUUCUGAAAUGGAGUGGUUGGUGUAUUGCAUAGAUUUAGGGAUUGGAUUUCACUCAAAACUAACCAAAUGACUCCUCCCAACAUAUUACGAUGUUUCCCAAGUCUUGGACUCAAUCCGAUAUCGAUUGGUCCACAAAAUUGGACAAUUCAAGUUCGUACGAAGUUCGUUGUGAAAUGGAGUUGUUGGUGUAUUGCAUAGUUUUAGAUUUUCGAUUUCACUCAAAACCCACCAAAUGACACCUCCCACCAUGUUAUGAUGUUCCCCAAGUUUUGGACUCAAUCCGAUAUCGAAUGGUCCAUGAAAUUGGAGAAUUCAGGUUCGCACGAAGUUCGUUCCAAAAUGGAGUGGUUGGUGUGUUGCAUAGUUGUUCACCCGUUUUCGUGUUUACUCCUGAGAUGGAAGGGCGAAGUUCCCCACUGGCUUGGAGACCAUUUGUUGGUCAACAAGUCAGCUUUCUUUGGUGUGUGAGCGUGCCACUGCUAGCAAUGUAAAUCCUAGCAGACUUCUUUUUAGAGUGGAUAACUUGCGCCCCAAGUUACUGACUUCUAAAACAAAUGAUUGUGAAUUUGGGUGAGGAAUAUCCCCAAGUAAGUUCUUUUCUUACCUCAGACUGGUGAGGACUUUCAUAAUUUAUCUCAGUAUCAAAUGGCUGUUCUGGCCAGAAAUAUUCGAUAGAAGUUGGGCUGUCUUAGGCAGAAAUGCCUUUUGCAAAACAAUAAAUAUGCAUAUCAACGCUAGGAAAGUUAAAAGAUGGCCGGAACUCCGUUUCUGCUUGGAUGGAAGGCUCUGGUUUGGGCUGGACUGGACGUGCUUGGGCCGGUCCGUACUGCUUCGUGACUUCAGAUGCUAGGCUGAGCUAUAAAUCGAUACCAAAGUUUGAAUUUGGCAGAGCUUUAAGUUUGCUUCACGCUUCAUGAGGCCUUUGAGUGGGCAGAACUGUAGCUUCUUCAGUUUGAAGGGGCAGAAGUGGCUAUUCUCGAGGGUUUGAUAGGCUAGGGAUUGCACUACGAGCGUUGUUCUGCUUGAGCAGGACUCUUCAUAAGUUUGCUGAGGUCUCCACAUUCGUGAAAACUCAAACUCUGCUUGCCUUGGCUUUUGCUGAACCAAAUUUGUAACGAGAGAGAUCUUGUUUUUAGAAGACUUAUUUUCUAAGUCUGAACUUUGGAAUUCUAAUCUAAAGCUGGUUUCUCUUGGAAUCCAAGUGAGCUUUUGGUUGUUUUCUUGUUGUUGUUUUUUUUUAUUGAUUGAUGAAUUGAGUCUCCUCUUCCUUGCCUAUUUUCUGUUUUUUAUAAGAGACCCUCUUAGGGACGUGGUUUUUGUUUAGAUUUUAAUAAUGGGCGGUAAAAAGAUCUCCUAUAAUGUAAAGUAGAAGGGAUUUUUAUCAAUCAUGGCAGAUAGGCUCUCAGUAGUCACCUCCUAAAGCAGUCCCUUCCCUGGUUUCCUGGGUGGCAGCUUUCUAUUUCGACCACCGCCAUCGUCUGUGUGGGCUAAAUUUUAUGGCGGUUGGUUUUCUUUUGUAUUUUCUGAACAACUCAUUGUUUCCCGUUCUAACUUAGAAAGCGUGACCCGUGAAUUCUUUGGAAGAUGGUAUAUUGCUUUGGAGUAAAAUCUCCGAAUACAGAUGGGUUUUGAUCUUCUGUUGGUAGUGUUUCAGAGAUUUCCCUCUCAUAUUUUAACUUAGUUGGAAUUGCUGACUUUUCAAAGCUAAGGUAGCCACGUGGGUGUGUUUUUUUUUUUUUUUAGUCCCUUGGGGUUGAACCCAACAAAAUUAUGGGCUGAUCCUUGAAGCCCAAAUGACAGUCUUCACGUUAGUCUUUCUUGGGCUGGGGGCUUUGUUUUCAACAUCCUGGCGUGAAGCCCAACCUGUCUGGAUCCUAAUCUUGUUUAUCCUCAAGUUUUUGGGCUGGGCAGGUAAUUUUACCAUGGGCCUGUCUUUUGAUUUUUGGCGUGCUGAAUUUAGGCCCGAACAAUGCCCCCUAAGUCUGAAUCGUUUUGGAACGGUUUUAAUGUUUUUGCCAUUAAUUCGCGCGCCAAUCUUUUCCUUUUUUAGCCCACGUCUGCCACGUCCGCCUACUAUGAACUAGAGUUCGUGGGAAAAUGGCUAGUUAUUAGCUAGUUUACUAGCUAAUAAUCAUCAGGUGCCGUUCCAUCUUCUUCUUCCCACGUUUUUGAGCUUCUCUUUUAAAAGGAUUUCAAAUCCACCGCUUCUGAAAACCUAGCCCUUCCGACUCCGUUCUUCCGAGCUUUUCUUCGGGAUUUCCAUUGUUUCCUUCGGACCUCCCUUUUCUUUCACUCUCUCUCUGUUUCUUCCCUCGACUCAGAAAUGUCUUCCCCAAGGUCUCGUGCUCAGUCUUCUUCAGCUCCAGUUCCUCCCGAUUUCAUUACCGGGACCGGGAUUGAUGCUCAUGCGAUAGAAGUCAGGAGCAAGCUUCAUCCCUUUGCCCAAAAGAACCUGGACGAGAAUGUCCUUCAUUUGUUCGAGAAUACCCUGGUGUUAGGGCCUCACUGGUUUGGUCCUGUUCCGGCUGAGAUGGCAGAUUUGCUGAAAAAGGAUGCCGAGGCUCCUUUGUGCUUUGAGAGUACUUCUGCCCUGGCUUCUUAUUCUUGGGUGAGCAAGAAUUUGAGCAGGUCUUUCCCGUCUAGCGAGGUGAGGAACAGUCCAGUCAAAUGGGCAGACUGGAAUGACAGACUUCUCCCGAGAUAUGGGGGUCACUGGAGGAGAGCCGGGAUUUAUGAUGCCAUUCUCCUGUCCAAGCAGUCGAUUAACAGAGAUGAGAACCUGCUUGCCGCUGUUUUGUGUUUCUGGAAUUCUGCCAGCAACACAUUUGAUUUCCGUGUGGGUCCUAUGGCGCCAACCCUGCUAGAUAUGGCCUAGAUCUUUGGGUUCAUGCCCCAUGGCAGGCCUGUUGAUGCUGUUGGAGAUUAUCACAGGCGAAAAAACCAAGAGAAAGUGGCCACUCCCUUUACCAUCUCUUCAGCCACGAUCAACCAGAACUGCUCUUUCUCCAAUUAUCUGAAGAAAUUUAGUGCUGAGAAGGACAAGGAUCAGCAACACAUGUUGUUCCUUCUGUAUUGGCUGAACCGGUUCGUUUUCCCCAAUCGGUCUUUGGCAGUUCUGCUUGAGUACAGACAUCUGGCAGAAGCGCUUCACAAUCACACUGAUGUGGGGCUUGGGCCUACAGUUCUCGCUCACCUUUUCAAGAAUCUGCACACUGCCACCCUGGAGAAUCCACUGAACCUGUCGGCCCCUGGCGCAUUCUGGAUGAUCCAGAUUUGGCUGCAGGUCUAUUUUCUGGAGCUAAGGUUCCCAGACAUAGUUCUGCCUGAAGACCAAGUCCUAGCCCUUCCUCUGAUAUCGGCAGAAGUGCCCAAGCGUUCUAUUGAGGAGUACUUGAUGCUCUUCAGGCAUUGUACAAAAAGGUCGGCAGUUCAGUGGCAAGUGGUGAUCAGAAGGACCUAUCCUUGGUUCCAGACCGGAUUUCGGUUGUUCGAGAAGGAGCCAGAAGACGAGGCUACCAGAACAGACUUCAGGAGGAAAUUUCUGAGUAUUACUUUGCCCAGAGAUCUACCCCACGGUGGGGGCAAACCUCCAAAUUAUCAUCUGGGGGCAGAAGUUUAUCAUCCCAACUUCUGUGCAAGGCAGCUUGGCUGUCCUCAGCUCAUUCCCCUGAAAUCAUAUGGGAGUUGCAACCGGGCCUCCUCCUGGAGGGAUGCAGAUGAUCUGGAGGUGCACAAGGAUGCCCGGUGUGCAGUGAACAAAAUCAACAACAGCAUGGAUGCCCUCUAUCCCUCGUGGAGCCGAAUUCCUGUAGUUCCGCUGAUUUUGACGCCUGGUGGAAAGCCAGAUUCCAAGGUCUGCCUGCUUCUGUCACUGCCCUCAAGGUGCUUUUUGAUGGUUGGGAAAACUGGCUCAUUUUUGCGGAUGGGGACGCCAAAACGCAAAUGGUCCAGACCAUCAAAGACAUCAAUGCACAAAUCAUAGAAGGUAGAUUUCUGAUUCUGUCUGGGAUUUGUUCUGUCUUGAUGAUCGAUUUCUAAUGUCUGUUCUGCCUAUAUCAGAUCCUUCUCUGACAACCAACGUAGGUGGGCAGUCUGUUCAGGCUAGAGAAGUGAUCGGUAAGUAUCCUUUUAAUUUGUUUCUUCUGUCUUUUCCUGCUGGAUUGGUUUCUAAUCUCUAACUUCUUGGUGCAGUCUCUUCUGUUAUUGCCGCCGGGGACUUGGAGCAUCCUUCUUCGGAUGAAGAAGAUGAGGUUCAGGUAGAACAAACACCUGCCGAGGCUGCUCUUUCUGGUAGAAGAAAAAGAAAAGGACCUGCCCCUCCUCCGGACAAUACUACUCGGCCUGGUAUUUCAGGUAAGCUCAUGAUGUUCCAGCUAUUCCUUUCAAAUUUAUUCUGACUUGCCUUCUUUUCCUAAUCUUUGCUUUUUGUUCUGUCCAGCUGAAAGUCCUUCCCCUCCUCCUACUAAGUUGAAAAAACUUAAAAAGAGGAGUGAAGUGGAGUAUGUUGCCACAAAAGAAACCGCAGCAGUCCCUACCACUACUUCUGGGACGGAUGAAGAGCUGCGAGAGGCUUUUGAGGAGGUGGAGCAGGAAAAAGAGCUGGAAGAGUUGGAAGGAGUGCCUCAGGAAAAAGCAACGAUGGUGGAAGAAGAGGUGAGUUUUAUUUCUGCGAUUUGUAUCAGUUCCUCUUUCGCCUCAUUCCUUCUGUUCUGACCUCUGUUUUGUAGGAGGAGAUCCCUGCUGAGGUGAUUGCAGAGAGCAUUGCCUUGGCGCAGAAGCAACAAGGGGGUCCAAGGGCUGAGCUGACUAGCUCAGAACUGGCCCUAUUUGAGGAUGCCGAGGCAGAGCACUCUACUGCCGCUCCAGCGGCUGAGGAUCAGGCGGAGAGGUCUGCAUCAGAGCCUGUGGAUCAGGCAGAACUAUCUAUUGUAGUCCCGGAGGCUGAGGUGGAAACAACUGCCGCUGUUCCUGUGGUUGUGGUAAUUUUCCUCCUUACCUGUCCAUAUUUUCCUGCAAUUCUGCCUUGUUCUCCCCUUUUUAACUGUUGUAGCCUUUCCAGCAGAAGUGCCUAAAGCUGUUGGCGCCCUGGCAGUGGUGACCCCCCUGAAGCCUCCCAUCGUUGCUGUAAGCUUUUAUAACUUUUAGGCCCCUUGUUUUCCAUUUUCUGCCUGGUCUUAACUUAUGCUUUCUUCUACAGAUACCUAUUCAUUCCUUUCUAGGAUCAUCUACCACGGCUUCUUUUGCUGAUCCAGAACUGGAGGAGUUUGAAGCCAUGGAUCUAGAUGCUCAAUUGGAUAGGUUGGAGAAACUCAGCUCUCCUCCAGGCAAGGCAAAAUCUAGGGCAGUGGCGGAGGCCAUGGAGAGAUUGAAAAGUUGGCAGUCUACUGAGCUGGAGCUUGACCAAGAUAAGGAAGCCUUUGAUCAGCUGAUGAAGGACUUGGACCUGCUACACAGACAGAACAUGGCUCCGAAGCCUAUUCUUGAGAUGGGCCUAAGCUUGGCCAGAGAUGUGCUCAACUUGCAUGAUCGUUAUGAGGAUCUUAGGCCCACCUUCAAGACUUCUGAGUUCUGCAAGGCCACUCAUGAAGCCAACCUGGCUGACUUUGUAAAGUAGAAAGCAGAACUGGACCAGAUGGUGGCAGGAUACAAGGAAGCCAGGGCUACCGCAGACAAGCUGGAGAAGCAAAUUGAAGAGCUCCAAAAACAGCUGGCAGAGUGCAGGGAGGUGCAGAGCUGGCUUGGGGUUGGACUGAGUUCUAAGACCAAGGCUACCUUCCUCGUGCAAAGCAUGGUUGCAGCUUCCAGGCCAGCUUUGGAAAUUGCAAAGGCUUCAAUUCACCAGGGGGUGCUACUCCAGAAAGAACUCUCUGUCAAGAAGGCGAACCUGCAGGAAACCCUUAGGAAACUAGGGUUUUAGUCUUUUCUAUUUUUAGUUUCUUUAUUGUUUGAACAAUCUUGCCGCGAAGGUGGCUAUUUUUAUAUAAGCUUAUUUAUUUGUUGCCCUUAAAUAGCAUUUUACUACUUUUCAUUUACUCUUGAUGCAAUAACCGGACACGGUAUUGAAAGUAAAAAACAAAAUAACUUUAAAGCAAAAAUAGAUCCAAACAAAAAUUUUAAACAAAAGGGGGCAGUCUUAUUCCCUUUCUAUCCCAGGGUCUGUCUGUACAGUCUGCGAAUCCCACAUGGUUGGAUAGAAUUUCUUUAACCAUUUGCCAUUGAUUAGGGCAGUAUGAAUAACUCCAUCUCGGUCCUGCAACCUGUAUGCCCUCAUUCCGAGGAUCUGGUUAAUUACAAAAGGGCCUUCCCAUGUAGGUGACCAUUUCCCAUAUCCAGCUAUGUGUGCUCCAAGUUCCAGACUAUUUCUCCCUCUUCAAAACUCUUGUUUCUGACUCUUUUGUUGUAGGCCCUCGACACAGCCUGUUUUCCUGCUAAGAGUUUGUUGAGGGUGUCAAUCCUGCCUGCAUCCAAUUCUUCCAAUUCCAGCAACAUGGCUUGAGAGUAGUCUUCUCCAGUGAGACCGUGCUGGUGAGCAAUUCUAAGAGACUGGACUGCUAUCUCCAUGGGAAGAAUUGCAUCAUGGCCGUAGGUUAGAGCAUAGGGGGUCAUGCCAGUUGCUUCUCUUUUUGAAGUUCUGUAUGCCCAUAAAGUCUCUGAUAACUUCUCAUGCCACUGCUUUGGAUUCUUCUCCAGCAUCUUUCUGAUGAUAUUGAUAAUCACCUUGUUACUUGAUUCUGCCUGUCCAUUAGCUUGAGCAUAGUAAGGAGUAGAUUGAAGCAGUUUGAACUUGAAUGUUUCUGCCAUAUCUAGCAUAUCCCUAGAUAUGAAAGAAGAACCCCUAUCAGUUGUGAUUGAUUCUGGAAUGCCAAACCUUUGUAUGAUCUGUUCUUCUAUAAAGGUGAUGAUCUCUUGAGAUGUCGUGGUUUUUACUGGCUUGGCCUCUACCCAUUUGGUGAAAUAGUGUGUGGCAACAAUAAUAAAACAGUGCUGCUGGCUGGAUAGAUUUUGCCAAUGAGAUCCAUUGCCCAUCCCCUAAAAGGCCAUGGUUUUACCACUGGAUUCAUGGGAACCGAAGGAGCCUACUGGAUUGGGCCGUGCCUUUGACAGGCUUCACAUCCCUUGGAAUAGUUGAUGCAAUCCUUCAUCAUGGUUGGCCAGAAGUAGCCAUACCUUCUGAUUAGCCAGCACAUCUUUCUUCCCCCUUGGUGAGCUCCACAGAUCCCCUCAUGGGUUUCUCCCAUGACUUUCAUAUAUUCUGUCUUCCCGAGGCACCUUAAUAGCACCUCAUCCUUACUUUUUCGGACCAAAUCUUCAUUCCACAUGAGGUAGUUUGUAGCCAUGAUUCUGACUCUUUUCUUAGAGGGCAGAGUGGGAUAUUGUAAGUGAGUCAUGAUAGGCUCCCUCCAAUCAUCUUCAGUGAUUAAGGCAGAAUUGACUUCUAUCUCCAUCCCUCUAGUCAAAACAGAUGGUAGACUUUUCCUUCCUAUCUUGAUGAUCCUCUGGAUGCAGUCUUCGGGCAUUUGUAUGCCUGAUGCUACCUGAGCCAGUUCAUUGGCUGCAAAGUUUUCCUCCCUUGGGAUGUGUUCCCAAGUAGCUUCUCUAAAUUUUGUCAAUAGAUUUCUAGCUGCUACUAGAUAUACAGCCAGAGAAGGAUUUAGACACUUGUAUUCUCCACGGAUUGGAUUCCUAAUUCUACCAAUAUCUCAAGCCCUAUAAUCAAAGCUUCAUACUCGGCCCUGUUGUUGGUGCACUGGAAAUCUAACUGGAAGGAAUAGCAAUGUCUGACUCCCAAUGGUUCUUCCAGAACAAUCCCGGCUCCUGAAGCCUUAUCUGUCUUUGAUCCAUCAAAAUAUAGUUUCCAAGGUGUGAGAUGAAUCGAAUAGAUUGGAUUGUUAAGGCAAACAUGAGCUCUAGUUAGCAGAUCCGCAUUUGCUAUGUCCAAAGAGUCCAUGUUUUCAAUUUCCUCUCCUGGGUGAUCUGCUAGGAAGUCUGCCACAGCCUGUCCUUUGACAGCUUUCUGGGGGACAUACCUGAAGGUGAAUUCUGUCAAAGCCAAAGUCCAUUUCCCAAUUAUGCCCCUCAGCAUUGGUCUUGUUAGCAUGUAUUUGAUUAAGUCUGUCUUGGCAAUGAUGUAGAUAGUGUGUGGCAGCAUGUAGUGUCUGAGUUUUACAGCAGUGAAAUACAAGGCCAGGCAAAGCCUCUCUAUCGCGGAAUACCUUCUUUCCACUUCUGUUAAUGUUCUGCUUAGAUAGUAGACUGCUUGUUCCUUUCCUUCUUUGUUAUCUUGAACUAACAGACUUCCAAUGGAUACUUCUGAUACAGAUACAUAGAGCUUGAGUGGUCUGCCUCUUUUUGGUGGGGACAGAACUGGUGGAUUUGAGAGGUAAUGCUUUAUUUCCUGGAAAGCCUGUUGGUGCUGUUCUUCCCACUUGAAUGUUUGUUCCUGCUUCAGCCUUAACAGGGAAGAAAAAGGUUGGAUUUUUCCUGCAGAAUUGGAUAUGAAUCUCCUUAGAAAAUUGAUUUUUCUUAGGAGACUCUGAAGUUCCUUCUUGUUUCGAGGUGGUAGGGCUUCUAUGAUGGAUUUUGCUUUAUUUCUAUCAACCUCUACGCCUCUCUGUUGAACCAAGAAUCCUAAGAAAUUUCCUGCUUGAACUCCAAAAACACACUUUUUGGGGUUCAUUUUUAGUUUGUGCUGCCUCAUUCUUAGGAAUGCCUUUCUCAGACUUGCUACGUGGUUUCCUUCCUCGGGGGAUUUAAUCACCACGUCAUCUAUGUAUACUUCCAAAGAAUGUCCUAUCAUAUCAUGAAAAAUGGAAUUCAUUGCCCUUUGGUAGGUGGCCCCCGCAUUUCUCAAACCGAAAGGCAUUACAGUAUAUUCGAAAGCACCUAUAUGUCCUGGGCACAUGAAGGCUGUCUUGUGGAUGUCUUGUUCUGCCAUCAUAAUCUGGUUAUAACCUGCAUUGCCGUCCAUGAAAGAUAGUAUCUGGUUAUGAGCAGCUCCAUCUACUAGCAUGUCUGCCAUUAGCAUAGGAUAUUCGUCCUUAGGAGAUGCUUCAUUCAGAUUUCUGUAAUCCACACAGAUUCUAACUGCCCCUGUUUUUCUUUUGAGAACAGGUACAAUAUUUGCUAACCAAUCGGCAUAGAUGGCUGGCCUGAUGAAUCCUGCCUUGAGCAGCCUUUCUAUCUCUUCUUUGACCUUUAGUUCUGUGUCCAUAGACAUUCUUCUUCUGGCCUGUUUAACUGGAAGGUAGCCAUCUUUGAUUGGCAGCUUGUGCUUGACUAACUGCCUGUCUAAUCCUGGCAUCUCGUGGUAAUGCCAGGCAAAACAAUCUCUGAACUCCUGCAAAAGUGUCAUGAGUUCAGUCUUGAGUGGUUCCUUCAAAAGUGUGCUGAUGAAAGUAGGCCUUGGAUCUUCUUCUGUCCCUAAGUUUAUUUCAUGUAGAGGAUCCUCCACUUCUGGCAGGGAGUCAUCCAGUGCUGCUGGUGCAAAAUCUAAUACUUCCUUCUGUAAAAUUUCCUCUUCUUUUCCUCUGUGCUUUCGUGCGUGAAUUCUGCCAUAUUGAUGGCUGGAUUCUGCAUGAAGAGCUUCCUUUCUUCCCAGUAUAUCAACAAAAUUAUGGGCUGAUCCUUGAAGCCCAAAUGACAGUCUUCACGUUGGUCUUUCUUGGGCUGGGGGCUUUGUUUUCGACAUCCUGGCUUGGAGCCCAACCUGUCUGGAUCCUAAUCUUGUUUAUCCUCAAGUUUUUGGGCUGGGCAGGUAAUUUUACCAUGGGCCUGUCUUUUGAUUUUUGACGUGCUGAAUUUAGGCCCAAACAAUAGUUUUAGAGAUUGGAUUUCACUCAAAACUCAACAAAUGAAUCCUCCCACAAUAUUAUGAUGUUCCCCAGGUUUUGGACUCCAUCCAGUAUCGAUUGGUCUAUGAAAUUGGACAAUUCAGGUUCGUACAAAAUUCGUUCUGAAAUGGAGUGGUUGGUGUAUUGCAUAGUUUUAGAUUUUCGAUUUCACUCAAAACCCCACAAAUGACACCUCCCACCAUAUUAUGAUGUUUCCCAAGUUUUGGACUCAAUCCUAUAUCGAUUGGUCCAUGAAAUUGGACAAUUCAGGUUGGAACGAAGUUCGUUCCGAAAUGGAGUGGUUGGUGUGUUGCAUAGUUUUAGAGAUUGGAUUUCACUCAAACCUCACCAAAUGACUCCUCCCACCACAUUAUAAUGUUCCCCAAGUUUUGGGCUCAAUCCGAUAUCAAUUGGUCCAUGAAAUUGGACAAUUCAGGUUCGUAUGAAGUUCGUUAUGAAAUGGAGUGGUUGGUGUAUUGCAUAGUUCUAGAGAUUGGAUUUCACACAAAACUAACGAAAUGACUCAUGCCACCAUACUAUGAUGUUUUUCAAGUUUUGGACUCAAUCCGAUAUCGAUUGGUCCAUGAAAUUGGACAAUUCAGGUUCCUACGAAGUUCAUUCUGAAAUGGAGUGGUUGGUGUAUUGCAUAGUUUUAGAGAUUGAAUUUCACUCAAAACUCACCAAAUGACUCCUCCCACAAUAUUAUGAUGUUCCCCAAGUUUUGGACUGCAUCCGGUAUCGAUUGGUUUAUGAAAUUGGACAAUUCAGGUUCGUACGAAGUUCGUUCUGAAAUGGAGUGGUUGAUGUAUUGCAUGGUUCUAGAGAUUGGAUUUCACACAAAACCAACGAAAUGACUCAUGCCACCAUACUAUGAUGUUUCCCAAGUUUUGGACUCAAUCCGAUAUCGAUUGGUCCAUGAAAUUGGACAAUUCAGGUUCGUACGAAGUUCGUUCUGAAUUGGAGUGGUUGGUGUAUUGCAUAGUUUUAGAGAUUGGAUUUCUCUCAAAACUCACCAAAUGACUCCUCCCACCAUAUUACGAUGUUCCCCAAAUUUUGGACUCAAUCCUAUAUCGAUUGGCGCAUCAAAUUGGACAAUUCAAGUUCGCACAAAGUUCGUUCUGAAAUGGAGUGGCUUGUGUUUUGAAAGGCCCCGCCCCGAAUUUCCUAGAACUCGAGGCGAAUCCAGUGGAAUUCCCGAAGUCACCCCGAUGUCGGGCCCACUUACUAAAGACCGAGACUUUCUGCUGAAAUUUCAGUAGAGUCUCCCCUAUAAAUUGGACAUUUCCCAAAAUUUCAACCUGCAUAAAACACUAUUUAAUGUCUACAACUGGCAGCAUGCACAAUAUAAUUUCAUGCAAUUUACAUAAACGGCCUUCGGCCUUCCAAUAAUUCUCAACAAACUACCAAACACGCUAACAAAUCAAUUUAUGCCUUAAAGAUGGCAAACGAUAAAUUCAAAAUAUAAAUUAUGACUAAUAAAUUUCAAUAUACAACAUCUAACUUUUUCAAUUUCAACAUACGAGGUUUUAACCUCCUAACACGAUCACAUCUACGUCUGCGACUGCACCUUAUAAUCUUAGGCUGCCUACGUACCCUCCUUGAGGGAUCAAGCCACACGUAGUUCUUCCAUAAAACCCAAUUCCACACAUAGGCAAUACCUUAUUUCUUUUCUCUGUAUUUCACAUAAUCUCCCCAUACGCCGGUACAACCAACGCCACGUAUGGGGCCUGUCAACACGCCGGAUAACCUACGCCACGUGCGACUACAGCCAACGCCACGUAUGGGGCCUGUCUCAACGCUGGAUAACCUAAGCCACGCGAGACCUACACAUCAUAUCACAUAUCUCCCCAUACGCCGGUACAACGAACGCCACGUAUGGGGUUUGUCGACACGCCGGAUAACCUACGCCACGCGCGGCCUCAACUUAAUAUCACAUAAUCUCCCCAUACGCCGGUACUACCAACGCCACGUAUGGGGCCUGUCCGCACGCCGGAUAACCUACGCCACGUGGGACCUAACUUUCACAUGGUGGUACUUGUAGUGUAACAUAAUCCAGGGAGGUACCUAAGGUAGUGCGUAUAGCACUUCAAACUGACAUUCUAGACUCUUUUGUACCCUUAUACAAACAUACAUAUUAAUUCUAAUAUUGUGUAGACCCCAACAAUAGUCUAGCACCUGAUAAUCCCCCUGGGAAGGUGAGAUUACUUCGGGAGACUCACGGUCAACCAAGGGUCAAACUAUCCUAACCCUGGUCAAACGGGCCCACGGGGGCCACGACCUCCAAAUUCCGAUCCGAAAGUUCAUAUGGGUUCUUCAAGGUAUAGGACACUCGUCCUGCAAGUUUGGUUCAGAUCGGACGGUCAGAUCGCUCACGAUCACACGAUCUGACGGUUAAUAUAAAACAUAAACUUUAAAUUAUUUAUUCGGAACAUCCGGGGCUCCGAUUCACAAUCCGUGAAUUCCUACUCGGUCCUAGAAAUACCUAGAUUAACAUAUAUUAUGUUCGAGACCAUCCAAUGGUCCCAACCUAUCGAACCCGGAUAACGCGCAAUAUGCGAUCGUCCGUUCAAUAGACAAACGACGUCCGAAUUGAGAUCCACGAAAUCAUACGCACUCGUGACAACCUAAGGAUCUCAUCGAGACACAGUGCAACUCCACUACCCUCGUCCACGCACCGCCACACGGGCCGGCAGCGUUGGGUGUCCAAAGCUAUUACGCAUCGCCGGAAAAUCUCAAAACCAUGUCUCCAAGCUCCUACCCUAGGUAUAACACCCUAUUUGGAGCCACUUUUGUUCUUGGACCUACCCCAAAAACUGACCAAAAGUGGCCGAAAUCGCGAUCCCAAAAUCGGCAGAACUUCAAUCCUACCCAACAGGCAGCUAGAGCAUGAAAAGUAGGUGAGAAAUCAUAGCUCGCUCGCCGGAAUCGGUGGCAGGAGGAGGGAGAUCGACGGCGGCGAAGAUCGGACGACACCGGCCGCUUCUUCUCCAUUUUUUGGUGAAACCAUGGCGACUAGAGGCGGGAGGCGGCUGGGGCUGGAAGAGGACGACGCUCCAGUCAUUUUGGUACCGGCCCCGUCCACAGCAGUGGCAGGUGGCCGGAGUUUCGAGGAGAAAGAAAGAGACCGACGGGGAGAGAAAGAGAGAGCUCGCAGGAGGGGGAGAGAGAGAGAGAGAAAAAAAAAUCUGAUUUUUAUAAAAAUCCCAUUUCAAAAUAGUUACGAUUGGGCCACUGGGUUUCUUUUGACCAUAUCUCUCUCGUUACAACUCCGAUUCGAGCCCACUACGUGUCUAUGAACUCGUCUCAGUACGACCUAUCCACAAAUACUAGUCACAGCCCCAAACUCUCUCAGGUUAAGAAUAUGACCAAAUUUCAAGGGUAAAUUUGUAAUUUCUCUUAAAUAAUUAAAUCAUUUAAAUAAGGGGUUUAAUUUGGAGUUGGGGUGUUACAAGUUUUGCAUAGUUUUCAAUAUUGGACUUCACUCAAAGAACACUAAAUGACUCCAACCACCACAUUAUGAUGUUCCACAAGUUUUGGACUCAAUCCGAUACCGAUUAGUCCAUAAAAUUGGACAAUUCAGGUUCGUACGAAGUUCGUUCUGAAAUGGAGUGGUUGGUGUAUUGCAUAGUUUUAGAGAUUGGAUUUCACUCAAAACCCACCAAAUGACUCCUCCCACCAUAUUACGAUGUUCCACAAGUUUUGGACUCAAUCCGAUAUCGAUUGGUCCAUCAAAUUAGACAACUCAGGUUCGUACAAAGUUCGUUCUGAAAUGGAGUGGUUGGUGUAUUGCAUAGUUCUAGAGAUUCGAUUUCGUUCAAAACCCCACCAAAUCACUCCUCCCACCAUAUUAUGAUAUUCCCCAAGUUUUGGACUCAAUCCGCUAUCGAUUGGUCCGUGAAAUUGGACAAUUCCGGUUCGUACGAAGUUCGUUCUGAAAUGGAGUGGUUGGUGUAUUGCAUAGUUUUAGAGAUUGGAUUUCACUCAAAACUCAUCAAAUGACUCCUCCCACCAUACUAUGAUGUUCCCCAAGUUUUGGAGUCAAUCCUAAAUAGAUUGGUCUAUGAAAUUAGACAAUUUAGGUUCGUACAAAGUUCGUUAUGAAAUGAAGCGGUUGGUGUAUUGCAUAGUUUUAGAGAUUGGAUUUUACUCAAAACUUUCCAAAUGACUCCUCCCACUAGAUUAUGAUGUUCUUCAAGUUCUGGACUCAAUCCUAUAUCGAUUGGUCCGUGAAAUUUUCCAAUUCCGGUUCGUACGAAGUUCGUUCUCAAAUGGAGUGGUUGGUGUAUUGCAUACUUCUAGAGAUUGGAUUUCACUCCAAAGUCACCAAAUGACUCCUCCCACCAUAUUAUGAUGUUUCCCAAGGUUUGGAUUGAAUCCGAUAUCGAUUGGUCCAUGAAAUUGGACAAUUCAAGUUCGAAAGAAGUUCGUUCUGAAAUAGCGUGGUUGGUGUAUUGCAUAGUUUUAGAGAUUGGAUUUCACUCAAAACCCACCGAAUGACUCCUCUCAACAUAUUAUGAUGUUCCCCAAGUUUUGGACUCAAUCCGAUAUAGAUUAGUCCAUGAAAUUGGACAAUUCAAGUUUGCAUGAAGUUCGUUCUGAAAUGGAGUGGUUUGUGUUUUGGUUUCUUUAAGAAAUUGGAUUUCCCUUAAAGUGCUCAAAAUGACACCUCCCACCAUAUUAUGAUGUUCCCCAUGUUAUGGACUCAAUCCGAUAUCGAUUGGUUCUUGAAAUUGGACAAUUCAAGUUCGUACGAAGUUCGUUUCGAAAUGGAGUGGUUGGUUCGUUGCAUAGUUUUGGAGAUUGGAUUUCACUCAAAACUCACCAAAUGACUCCUCCCACCAUAUUAUAAUAUUCCCCAAGUUUUGGGCUAAAUCCGAUGUCAAUUGGUCCAUGAAAUUGGACAAUUCAGGUUCGUACGAAGUUCGUUCUAAAAUGGAGUGGUUUGUGGGUUGCAAAGUUUUAGAGGUAGGAUUUUACUCAAAACUUACCAAAUGACUCCUCCCACCAUAUUAUAAUGUUCCCCAAGUUUUGGGCCCCAUCCGAUAUCGAGUGGUCCAUGAAAUUGGACAAUUCAGGUUCGUACGAAGUUCGUUUUGAAAUGGAGUGGUUGGUGUGUUGCAUAGUUUUAGAGGUUGGAUUUCACUCAAAACUCACCAAAUGACUCUUUCAUCCACAUGAUAAUGUGCCCCAAGUUUCGGGCUCAAUCCGAUAUCGAUUGGUUCAUGAAAUUAGACAAUCCAUGUUCGUGCGAAGUUCGAUCUCAAAUGGAGUGGUUAGUGUAUUGCAUAGUUUUAGAUAUUGGAUUUCACUCCAAAGUCACCAAAUGACACCGCGCACCAUAUUGAGAUGUUCCCCACGUUUUGGACUCAAUUCGAUAUCGAUUGGAUUUCACACAAAACCAAAGAACCGACUCCUGCCACCAUACUAUGAUUUUUCCCAAGUUUAGGACUCUAUCCGAUAUCAAAAGGUCCAUGAUAUUGGACAACUCAGGUUCAUACGAAGUUCGUUCUGAAACGGAGUGGUUGGUGUAUUGCACAGUUAUAGAGAUUGGAUUUCUUUCAAAACUCACCAAACGACUCCUCCCAUCAUAGUAUGAUGUUCCCUAGGUUUUGGGCUCAAUCCGAUAUCGAUUGGUCCACGAAAUUGGACAAUUCAAGUUCGUAUGAAGUUCAUUAUGAAACGGAGUGGUUGGUGUAUUGCAUAGUUCUAGACAUUGGAUUUCACUCCAAACCUGCCUAAUGACUCCUCCCACCAUUUUAUGAUUUUCCCCAACUUUUGGACUCAAUCCGAUAUCGAUCGGUCCAUGAAAUUGGACAAUUCAGGUUUGUACGAAGUUUGUUCUGAAACAGAGUGGUUUGUGUUUUGCAUAGUUUUACAUAUUGGACUUCACUGAAAGAGCACCAAAUGACUCCUCCCACCAUAUUAUGAUGUUCCCCAAGUUUUGGACUCCAUCCGGUAUCGAUUGGUUAAUGAAAUUGGACAAUUCAGGUUCGUACGAAGCUCGUUCUGAAAUGGAGUGGUUGAUGUAUUGCAUGGUUCUAGAGAUUGGAUUUCACACAAAACCAACGAAAUGACUCAUGCCACCAUACUGUGAUGUUUCCCAAGUUUUGGACUCAAUCCGAUAUCGAUUGGUCUAUGAAAUUGGACAAUUUAGGUUUGUACAAAAUUUCGCUCUUAAAUGGAGUGGUUGGUUUAUUGCAUAGUUUCAAAUAUUGGAUUUCACACAAAACCCACCAAAUGACUCCUCCCACCAUAUAAUGAUGUUCUCCAUGUUUUGGGCUCAAUUUGAUAUCGAUUGCUCCCAGAAAUUGGACAAUUUAGGUUUGCCCGAAGUUCUUUGGGAAAUGGAGUGGUUGGUGUAUUGCAUAGUUCUAGAGAUUGGAUUUCACUCAAAACCUACCAAAUGACUACACCCACCAUACUAUGUUGUUCCCUAAGUUUUGGACUCAAUCCGACAUCGAUUGGUCCCAGAAAUUGGACAAUUUAGGUUCGUACGAAGUUCGUUCUGAAAUGGAGGGGUUGGUGUAUUGGAUAGUUCUAGACAUUAGAUUUCACUCAAAACCUACCUAAUGACUCUUCCCACCAUAUUAUCAUGUUCCCAUGUCGUUUGGUCCACAAAAUUGGACAAUUCAGGUUCGUACGAAGUUCGAACUGAAAUGGACUUGUUCGUGUUUUGCAUAGUUUUAGAGAUUGGAUUUCACUCAAAAUGCGCCAAAUAACUCCUCCCACCAUAUUCUGGAGUUUCCCAAGUUUUGCACUCAAUCUGAUAUCGAUUGGUACAUGAAAUUGGACAAUUCAGGUUCGUACGAAGUUCAUUUUGAAAUGGAGUGGUUGGUGUAUUGCAUAGUUCUAGGGAUUGGAUUUCACUCAACACCCACCGAAUGACUCCUCCCACCAUAUUAUUUGUUCCCCAAGUUUUCGACUCAAUCCGAUAUCGAUUGGUCCAAGAAAUUGGAUAAUUCUGGUUCGUGCGAAGUACAUUAUGAAAUGGAUUUGUUGGUGUUUUGCAUAGUUUUAGUGAUUGGAUGUCACUCAAAACCCGUCAAAUGACUCAUUCCACGAUAUUAUGUUGUUCCACAGGUUUUCGGCUCAAUCCGAUAUUGAUUGGUCCCUGAAAUUGGACAAUUUAAGUUCGUAUGAAGUUCAUUAUGAAAUGGAGUGGUUGGUGUUCCGCAUAGUUUUAGUGAUUGGAUUUCACUCAAAUCCCACCAAAUGACUCCUCCCACCAGAUUAUGAUGUUCCCCAGGCUUUGGGCUCAAUCCCAUAUCGACUGGGCCAUGAACUUGGACAAUUUAUUUUCAUACGAAGUUCGUUCUGAAACAGAGUGGUUGGUGUAUUGCAUAGUUCUAGACAUUGGAUUUCACUCAAAACCUACCUAAUGACUCCUCCCACCGUAUUAUGAUGUUACCCAAGGUUUGGACUCAAUCCGAUAUCGAUUGGUCAAUGAGAUUGGACAAUUCAGGUUCGUACAAAGUUUGUUCUGAAAUGGAAUGGUUGGUGUUUUGCGUAGUUUUAGAGCAUGGAUUGUACUCCAAACACACCAAAUGACUACUCCCACCAUAUUAUAAUGUUCCCCAAGUCUUGGACUCAAUCCGAUAUCGAUUGGUCCAUGAAAUUGGAGAAUUCAUGUUCGUACAAUGUUCGUUCUGAAAUGGAGUAGUUGGUGUAUUGCAUAGUUCUAGAGAUUGGAUCUCACUCCAAAGUCACCAAAUGACACCUCCCCCAUAUUGAGAUGUUCCCCACAUUUUGGACUCAAUUCGAUAUUGAUUGGUCCAAGAAAUUGGACAAUUCGUGUUAGUAUGAAGUUCGUUCUGAAAUGGAGUGGUUGUUGUUUUGCAUAGUUUUGGAGAUUGGAUUUCACUCAAAAGACACCAAAUGACUCCUCCCACCAUACUAUAACGUUCCACAAGUUUUGGACUCAAUUUGAUAUCGAUUGGUCCAUGAAAUUGGACAAUUCAAGUUCAUACGAAGUUCGUUCUGAAAUGGAGGGGUCUGUGCUUUGCAUAGUUUUAAAUUUUCGAUUUUACUGAAAGAGCACCAAAUGACUCCUCCCAUCAUAUUUUGAUGUUCCCCAAGUUUUGGACUCAAUCCGAUAUUGAUUGGUCCAUGAAAUUGGACAAUUCAGGUUCGUACGAAGUUCGUUCUGAAAUGGAGUGGUUGGUGUAUUGCAUAGUUUUAGAUAUUCGAAUUCACUCAAAACCCACCAAAUGACACCUCCCACCAUAUUUUAAUGUUCCCCAAGUGUUGGACUCAAUCCGAUAACGAUUCGUCCAUGAAAUUGCACAAUUCAGGUUCGUACGAAGUUCGUUUUGAAAUGGAGUAUUGUAUAGUUUUAGAGAUUGGAUUUCGCUCAAAACCCACCAAAUGUCUCCUCCCACCAUAUUAUGAUGCUCCCCAAGUUUUGGCCUCAAUCCGGUAUCGAUUGGUCCAUGAAAUUGGACAACUCAGGUUCGUACGAAGUUCGUUGUGAAAUGGAGUGGUUAGUGUAUUGCAUAGUUUUAGAGAUUGGAUUUCACUCAAAACCAGCCAAAUGACACCUCCCACUAUAUUAUGGUGUUCUCGAAGUUUUGGACUCAAUCCGGUAUCGAUUGGUCCAUGAAAUUGGACAAUUCAGGUUCGUGCGAAGUUCGCUUUGAAAUGGUGUGGUUAGUGUAUUGCCUACUUUUAGAGAUUGUAUUUCACUCAAAACCCACGAAGUGACUCCUCCCCCCAUAUUAUGAUGUUCCUCAAGUUUUGGGAUCAAUCUGAUAUCGACUGGUCCAUGAAAUUGGACAAUUCAAGUUCGUCCGUAGUUCGUUCUGAAAUGGAGUGGUUGGUGUAUUUCAUAGUUUUACGGAUUCGAUUUCACUCAAAACCCAACAAAUGACUCCUCCCACCAUAUUAUGAUGUUCCCCAAGUUUUGGACUGAAUCCGAUAUCAAUUAGUGCAUAAAAUUGGACAGUUCAUGUUCGCACGAAGUUCGUUCUGAAAUGGAGUGGUUGGUGUUGUGCAUAGUUUUAGACAACGGAUUUCACUGAAAACAUACCAAAUAACUCCUUCUACCAAAUUAUGAUGGUCCCCAACUUUUGGACUCAAUCCGGUGUCGAUUGGUCCACAAAAUUGUACAAUUCAGGUUCGUACGAAGUUUGUUCAGAAAUGGAGUGGUUGGUGUAUUCGUAGUUCUUGAGGUUGGAUUUAACUCAUAACCUUCCAAAUGACUCCUCCCACCAUAUUAUGAUGUUCCCCAAGUUUUGGACUCAAUCUGGUAUCGAUUGGUCCAUGGAAUUAAACAAUUCAGGUUCGUACGAAGUUCGUUCUGAAAUGGAAUGAUUGGUGUAUUGCGUACUUUAAGAUAUUUGAUUUCACUCAAAACCAACCAAAUGACUCCUCCAUGUUCCCCAGGUUUUGGACCAAUCCUAUAUCAAUUGGUCCAUGAAAUAGGACAAUUCAGGUUAGUACAAAGUUCGUUCUGAAAUGGAGUGCCUGGUGUAUUGCAUAGUUUUAGAGAUUGGAUUUCACUCAAAACCAACCAAAUGACUCCUCCUAUCGUAUUAUGAUGUUCCCCAAGUUUUGGACCCAAUCCGAUAUCAAUUGGUCCAUGAAAUUGGACAAUUCAGGUUCGUACGAAGUUCGUUCUGAAAUGGAGUGGUGGGUGUUUUGCAUAGUUUUAGAGAUUGGAUUUCACACAAAACCCACCAAAUGACUCCUCCCACCAUAUUAUGGUGUUCCACAAGUUAUGGACUCAAUCCGAUAUCGAUUGGUCCAUGAAAUUGGACAAUUCAGGUUCGUAUCAAGUUCAUUCUGAAAUGGAGUGGUGGGUGUUUUGCAUAGUUUUAGAGAUUGAAUUUCAGACAAAACCCACCAAAUGACUCCUCCCACCAUAUUAUGGGGUUCCACAAGUUUUGGACUCAAUCAGAUAUCGAUUGGUCCAUGAAAUUGAACAAUUCAGGUUCGUACGAAGUUUGUUCUGAAAUGGAGUGGUUGGUUUGUUGCAUAGUUCUUGAGAUUGGAUUUCACUCGUAACCUACCAAAUGACUCCUCCGACCAUAUUCUCAUGUUCCCCACAUUUUGGACCCAAUCCGAUAUCAAUUGGUCCAUCAAAUUGGACAAUUCAGGUUCGUACGAAGUUCAUUUUGAAAUGGAGUGGUUGGUGUUUUUCAUAGUUUUAGACAUUGGAUUUCACUCAAAACAAACCAAAUAACUCCACCCACCAUAUUAUGAUAUUUCCCAAGUUUUGGACUCAACCUUAUAUCAAUUCAUCCACGAAACUGGACAAUUCUGGUUCGUACGAAGUUUGUUCUGAAAAGGAGUGGUUGGUGUUUUGCAUAGUUUUAGACAUUGGAUUUCACUCAAAACAAACCAAAUAACUCCUCCCUCCAAAUUCUGAUGUUCCCCAACUUUUGGACUCAAUCUGAUAUCGAUUGGUCCAUGAAAUUGGACAGUUCAGAUUCGUACGAAGUGUUAUGCAAUAGAGUGGUCAGCGUGUUGCAUAGUUUUAGGGAUUGGAUUUCACUCAAAACUCCUCAAAUGACUCCUCCCACCAUAUUACGAUGUUCCCCAAGUUUUAAACUCAACCCGGUAUUGAUUGGUCCAUGAAAUUGGACACUUCAGGUUCGUACAAUGUUCGUUAUGAAAUGGAGUGGUUGGUGUUUUGCAUAGUUUUAGAGAUUGGAUUUCACUCAAAACACCCCAAUUGACUCCUCCCACCAUAUUAUGAUGUUCCAUAAGUUUUUGACUCAAUCCGAUAUCGAUUGGCCCAUGAAAUUGGACAAUUCAGGUUCGUACGAAGUUCGUUCUGAAAUCGAGUUUUUGGUGUAUUGCAUAGUUCUUGAGAUUGCAUUUCACUCAAAAAAAACCAAAUAACUCCUUCCUCCAAAUUAUGUUUUUCCCCAACUUUUGGACUCAAUCCGAUAUCGAUCGGUCCAUGAAAUUAGACAAUUCAGGUUCUUACGAAGUUCGUUCUGAAAUGGAGUUGUUGGUGUAUUGCAUAGUUCUUGAGAUUGGAUUUCACUCAAAAAAAACCAAAUAACUCCUUCCCCCAAAUUACGUUUUUCCCCAACUUUUGGACUCAAUCCGAUAUUGAUCGGUCCAUGAAAUUAGACAAUUCAGGUUCUUAUGAAGUUCGUUCUGAAAUGGAGUUGUUGGUGUAUUGCAUAAUUUUACGGAUUGGAUUUCACUCAAAAUUCACCAAAUGACUCCUCCCACCAUGUUAUGAGGUUCCCCAAGUUUUGGACUCAAUCCGAUAUCGAUUGGUCCAUGAAAUUGGACAAUUUAGUUUCGUACGAAGUUUGUUCUGAAAUGGAGUGAUUGGUGUUUUGCAUAGUUUUAGACAUUGGAUUCCACUCAAAACUCACCAAAUGACUCCUCCCACCAAAUUAUGACGUUGAACAAGUUUUGGACUCAAUCCGACAUCGAUUGGCCCAUGAAAUUGGACAAUUCAGGUUCGUACGAAGUUCGUUCUGAAAUGGAGUAGUUGUUGUAUUGCAUAGUUUUAGCGAUCGGAUUUCCCUCAAAACUCACCAAAUGACUCCUCCCAUCAUAUUGUGAUGUUCCCCAAGUUUUGGACUCAAUCUGAUAUCGAUUGGUCCACGAACUUGAACAAUUCAAGUUCGUACUGAAAUGGAGUGGUUGGUGUUGCAUAAUUUUACAGAUUGGAGUUCCUCAAAAUUCACCAAAUGACUCCUCCCACCAUGUUAUGAUGUUCCCAAGUUUUGGACUCAAUCCGAUAUCAAUUGGCCCACGAAAUUAGACGAUUUAGUUUCGUACGAAGUUCACUCUGAAAUGGAGUGAUUGGUGUUUUGCAUAGUUUUAGAGAUCGGAUUUACCUCAAAACUCACCAAAUGACUCUUCCCAUCAUAUUGUGAUGUUCCCCAGUUUUGGACUCAAUCCGAUAUCGAUUGGUCCAUGAAUUUGGACAAUUCUGGUUCGUACGAAGGUUGUUCUGAAAUGGAGUGGUUGGUGUAUUGCAUAGUUCUAGAGAUUGGAUUUCACUCCAAAGUCACCAAAUGACUCCUCCCACGAAAUUAUGUUGUUCCCAAAGUUUUGGACUCAAUCCAAAUUUGAUUGGUCCAUAAAAUUGGACAAUUCAGGUUUGUACGAAGUUCGUUAUGAAAUGGAGUGGUUGGUGUAUUGCAUAGUUCUAGAAAUUGGAUUUCACUCCAAAGUCACCAAAUGACUCCUCCCACCGUAUUAUGAUGUUCCCCAAGUUUUGGACUCCAUCCGAUAUCGAUUGGUCCACUAAAUUGGACAAUUCAGGUUCGUACAGAGUUCGUUCCGAAAUGGAGUGGUUGGUGUUUUGCGUAGUUCUUGAGAUUGGAUUUCAGUCAUAACCUACCAAAUGACUCCUCCCACUACAUUAUCAUGUUCCCUAAGUUUUGGACCCAAUCCGAUAUCGAUUGGUCCAUAAAAUUCGACGGUUCAGGUUCGUACGAAGUUCAUUCUGAAAUGGAGUGGUUGGCGUGUUGCAUAGUUCUAGAGAUUGGAUUUCACUCCAAAGUCACCAAAUGACUCCUCCCACCAUAUUAUGACGUUCCCCAAGUUUUUGUCUGAAUCCGAUGCCGAUUGGUCCAUGAAAUUGUACAAUUAAGGUUCGUACGAUGUUCAUUAUGAAAUGGAGUGGUUGGUGUUUUGUAUAGUUUUAGAGAUUGGAAUUCACUCAAAAAACAAUCCAAAUGACUCCUCCCACCAAAUUAUGAUGUUCCCCAACUUUUCGACUCAAUCCAAUACCGAUUGGUCCAUGAAAUUGGACAAUUCAUGUUCGUACAGAGUUGGUUAUGAAAAAUGGAGUAGUUGGUGUUUUGCGUAGUUCUUGACAUUGGAUUUCAGUUCUAACCUACCAAAUGACUCCUCCCACUGCAUUAUCAUGUUCCGUAAGCUUUGGACUCAAUCCGAGUUCGGUUGGUCCAUAAAAUUGGACAGUUCAGGUUCGUACGAAGUUCGUUCUGAAAUGGAGUGGUAGACAGGUUGUAUAGUUCUAGAGAUUGGAUUUGACUCCAAAGUCACCAAAUGACUCCUCCCACCAAAUUAUGAUGUUCCCAAAGUUUUGGACUCAAUCCAAUAUUGAUUGGUCCAUAAAAUUGGACAAUUCAGGUUUGUGUGAAGUUCGUUAUGAAAUGGAGUGGUUGGUGUAUUGCAUAGUUCUAGAAAUUGGAUUUCACUCCAAAGUCACCAAAUGACUCCUCCCACCGUAUUAUGAUGUUCCCCAUGUUUUGGACUCAAUCUGAUAUCGAUUGGUCCAUGAAAUUGGACAAUUCAGGUUCGUGCAGAGUUCGUUCUGAAAUGGAGUGGUUUGUGUUUUGCGUAGUUCUUGAGAUUGGAUUUCAGUCAUCACCUACCAAAUGACUCCUCCCACUACAUUAUCAUGUUCCCUAAGUUUUGGACUCAAUCCGAUAUCGAUUGGUCCAGAAAAUUCGACAGUUCAGGUUCGUACGAAGUUCGUUCUGAAAUGGAGUGGUUGGCGUGUUGCAUAGUUGUAGAGAUUGGAUUUCACUCCAAAGUCACCAAAUGAUUCCUCCCACUAAAUUAUGACGUUCCCCAAGUUUUGGUCUCAAUCCAAUAUCGAUUGGUCCAUGAAAUUGUACAAUUCAAGUUGUACGAUGUUCGUUAUGAAAUGGAGUGGUUGGUGUUUUGCAUAGUUUUACAGAUUGGAUUUCACUCAAAAAACAAUCCAAAUGACUCCGCCCACCAAAUUAUGAUGUUCCCCAACUUUUGGACUCAAUCCGAUAUCGAUUGGUCCAUGAAAUUGGACAAUUCAUGUUCGUACAGAGUUGGUUCUGAAAUGGAGUGGUUGGUGUUUUGCGUAGUUCUUGAGAUUGGAUUUCAGUUAUAACCUACCAAAUGACUCCUCCCACUACAUUAUCAUGUUCCCUAAGCUUUGGACUCAAUCCAAGUUCGAUUGGUCCAUAAAAUUGGACAGUUCAGGUUCGUACGAAGUUCGUUCUGAAAUGGAGUGGUUGGCAUGUUGCAUAGUUCUAGAGAUUUGAUUUCACUCCAAAGUCACCAAAUGACUCCUCCCACCAAAUUAUGAUGUUCCCCAAGUUUUGGACUCAAUCCAAUAUUGAUUGGUCCAUAAAAUUGGACAAUUCAGGUUUGUGUGAAGUUCGUUAUGAAAUGGAGUGGUUGGUGUUUUACAUAGUUCCAGAAAUUGGAUUUCACUCCAAAGUCACCAAAUGACUCCUCCCACCGUAUUAUGAUGUUCCCUAUGUUUUGGACUCUAUCUGAUAUCGAUUGGUACAUAAAAUUGGACAAUUCAGGUUCGUUCUAAGUUCGUUCUGAAAUAGAGUGGUUGAUGUUUUGCAUAGUUUUAGAGAUUGGAUUUCACUCAAAACCCACAAAAUGACUCCUCCCACCAUAUUAUGGUUUUCCCAAAGUUUUCGACUCAAUCCGAUUUUGAUUGGUACAUGAAAAUGGACAAUUCAGGUUCGUUCUAAGUUCAUUUUCAAAUAGAGUGGUUGAUGUUUUGCAUAGUUUUAGUGACUGGAUUUCACUCAAAACUCAGCAAAUGACUCCUGCUACCAUAUUAUGAUAUUCCCCUAGUUUUGGACUCAAUCCGAUAACGAUUGGUCCAUGAAAUUGGACAAUUCAGGGUCGUACGAAGUUCGUUCUGAAAUGGAGUGGUUGGUGUUUUGAAUAGUUUUAGAGAUUGAAUUUCACUCAAAACUCACCAAAUGACUCCUCCCUCCAAAUUAUGAUGUUAUCCGAGUUUUGGGUGGCUUGAUCAAUUCCGAUGACCGGAAAACUUUGUUAUUGUAAGCCCAACUUUCUACCCUAGGUUCAUAACGUGAUUUGGAGCCACCUUUGUUCUUGGAGCUACCCCAAAAACUGGCGGGAAGUGGCCGGAAUAGCGAUCCGAAAUCCGGCUAAACUUAGGGUUAUAAAACGAACCACCUAGGCUAUAAAUUUAUCAAAUCCUACCUAAUCAUCAGCUAGUGCUUGAAAAGUAGGCAAGAAACCAUACCUCACUCGACGGAUUUGGCCGUCGGAGUUGCCGGAAACUCUAAAGCACCACCGGAAUACCCGUCCCUUUUCUAAGCUUCGAAUUGACCUCAUCGUCACCGAAUUAGAUCGGGUCUCGGAUGAGUUUUGUAGAGGAGGAGGACGAGGGGAAGAGAUUUCGUGAAGGUUGCGGUGGCAACCGGGCUGAGAUGGUGUCUCCAAAGAAUGAUGGAAGUGGACGGAAUUAAGAAAAUAACCAGAAUACCUGGUUAAAUCGCAAGGAAGAAAAAGACCCGGCACUGUAGCGGCACUGUAGACCUUUUUGUUUGUAGACCUUUUCUCCUUCGUUACAACUCGGAAUUGGGCAGGCCGCAUGUCUACGAACUCAUAUCGUCGACCUCUACGCAAUUGUAUCACCCAAAUCCCCAAAUUAUUUUCCAAGCAAAAAGUCAAAUUAAACCCAACAAAAUAUUCUGGGGGUAUUCUAGUCCUUUCCUUGAAUAAAAUAAUAAUUAAGACUUAAUUAAGGAUCGGGUUGUUACAACCAUAUUAUAAUGUUCCCCAAGUUUUGGGCUCAAUCCGAUAUCGAUUGGUCCAUGAAAUUGGACAAUUUAGGUUCAUACGAAGUUCGUUCUGAAAUGGAGUGGUUGGUGUUUUGCAUAGUUUUAGAAAUUGGAUUUCUAUCAAAAAGCACCAAAUGACUCCUCCCACUAUAUUAUCGAGUUCCCCAAGUUUUGGACUCAAUCUGAUAUCGAUUGGUCUAUGAAAUUGGACAAUUCAGGUUCGUACGAUGUUCGUUCUGAAAUAGAGUGGUUGGUGCUUUGCAUAGUUUUUGAGAUUGGAUUUCACUCAAAACUCAGCAAAUGACUCCUCCCACCUUAUUUUUAUGUUCCCCAAGUUUUGGACUCAAUCCCAUAUCGAUUGGUCCAUGAAAUUAGACAAUUCAGGUUCGUACGAAGUUCAUUAUGAAAUGGAGUGGUUGGUAUUUUGCAAAGUUUUAAAGAUUGCAUAUCACUGAAAACCCACCAAAUGACUCUUCCCACCAUAUUAUGAUGUUCCCCAAGUUUAGGACUUAAUCCGAUAUCGAUUGGUCCAUCAAAAUUGGACAUUUCAGGUUCGUACGAAGUUCGUUCUGAAAUGGAGUCGUUGGUGUAUUGUAUUGUUCUACAAAUUGGAUUUCACUCAAAACCCACCAAAUGACUCCUCCCACCAUAUUAUGAUGUUUCCCAAGUUUAGGACUUAAUCCGAUAUCGAUUGGUCCAUGAAAUUGGACAAUUCAGGUUCGUACGAAGUUCGCUCUGAAAUGGAGUCGUUGGUGUAUUGUAUUGUUCUACAGAUUGGAUUUCACUCAAAACCGACCAAAUGACUCCUCCCACCAUAUUAUGAUGUUCCCCAAGUUUUAGACUCAAUUUGAUAUGGAUUGGUCCAUGAAAUUGGACAAUUCAAGUUCGUACAAAGUUCGUUCUGAAAUGGACUGGUUGGUGUAUUGCAUAGUUUUAGAGAUUGGAUUUCACUCAAAGAGCACCAAAUGACUCCUCCCACCAUAUUAUGAUGUUCCCCAGGUUUUGGACUCGAUCCGAUAUCAAUUGGUCCAUGAAAUUGGAUAAUUCAGAUUCGUACGAAGUUCCUUCCUAAAUGGGGUGGUUGGUGUAUUGCAUAGUUUUAGAUAUUCGAUUUCACUCAAAAACCAAAUGACUCCUCCCACCAUAUUAUGAUGUUCCCCAAGUUUUGGACUCAAUCCGAUAUCAAUUGGUCCAUGAAAUUGGACAAUUCAGGUUCGUACGAAGUUCGUUCUGAAAUGAUGUGGUUGGUGUAUUGCAUUUUCCUACAGAUUGGAUUUCACUGAAAACCAUCCAAAUGACCCCUCCCACCGUAUUAUGAUAUUCGCCAAGUUUUGGACUCAAUCCGAUAUCCAUUGGUCAAUGAAAUUGGACAAUUCAGGUUCGUACAAAGUUGGUUCUGAAAUGAAGUGGUUGAUGUAUUACAUAGUUCUAGAGAUUGGAUUUCACCCAAAAUAAACCAAAUGACUCCUCCCACCGUAUUAUGCUGUUCCCGAAGUUUUGGGCUCAAUCCGGUUUUGAUUUGUUCUAGAAAUUGGACAAUUUAAGUUCGUACGAAGUUGGUUCUGAAAUGAAGUGGUUGGUGUAUUGCAUAGUUCUAGAGAUUGGAUUUCACUCAAAAUCAACCAAAUGACUCCUCCCACCAUAUUAUGAUAUUCCCCAAGUUUUGGACUCAAUCCGAUAUCCAUUUGUCCAUGAAAUUGGACAAUUCAGGUUCGUACGAAGUUCGUUAUGAAAUGGAUUGGUUGGUGUUUUGCAUAGUUUUAGAAAUUGAAUUUCACUCAAAAAGCACCAAAUGAUUCCUCCCCCCAUAUUAUGGAGUUCCCCAAGUUUUGGACUCAAUCCGAUAUUGAUUGGUAAAUGAAAUUGGACAAUUCAAGUUCGGACGAAGGUCAUUCUGAAAUGAAGUGGUUGGUGUAUUGCAGAGUUCUAGAGAUUGAAUCUCACUCCACGUCACGAAAUGACUCCUCCCACCACGUUAUGAUGUUCCCCAAGUUUUGGACUCAAUCCGAUAACGAUUGGUCCAUGACAUUGGACAAUUCAGGUUCGUAUGAAGUUCAUUCUGAAAUGGGGUGGUUUCUGUUUUGCAUAGUUGAAGAUAUUGAAUUUCACUCAAAGAGCACCAAAUGAUUCCUCCCGCCAUAUUAUGAUGUUCCCCAAGUUUUGGACUCAAUCCGAUAUCGAUUGGCCCACAAAAUUAGACAAUUCAGGUUCAUACGAGGUUCCUUCUGAAAUGGGGUGGUUGGUGUAUUGCAUAGUUUUAGAUAUUCGAUUUCACUCAAAACCCACCAAAUGACUCCUCCCAACAUGUUAUGUUGUUCCCCAAGUUUUGGACUCAAUCCGAUAUCGAUUGGUCCAUGAAAUUGGACAAUUCAGGUUUGUACGAAGUUCGUUCUUAAAUGGAGUAGUUUGUGUAUUGCCUAGUUUAAGAUAUUGGAUUUCACUCAAAACCCUCCAAAUGACUUGUCCCACCAUAUUAUGAUGUUCCCCAAGUUUUGGACUCAAUCCGAUAUCGAUUGGUCCAUGAAAUUGGACAAUUUAGGUUCGUAUGAAGUUCGUUCUUAAAUGGGGUGGUUUGUGUGUUGCCUAGUUUAAGAUAUUGGAUUUCUCUCAAAGUGCUCCACAUGACUCCACCCACCAUAUUAUGAUGUUCCCCAUGUUUUGGAGUCAAUCCGAUAUUGAUUGGUCCAUGAAAUUAGACAAUUCAGGUUCGUACGAAAUUCAUUCUGAAAUUGGGUGGUUUGUGUUUUGCAUAGUUUAAGAUUUUGGAUUUCACUCAAAGAGCUCCAAAUGACUCCUCCCACCAUAUUAUGAUGUUCCCCAAGUUUUGGACUCAAUCCAAUAUCGAUUGGUCCCUGAAAUUGGACAAUUCAGAUUCGUACGAAGUUCGUUCUGAAAUGCAGUGGCUCGUCUAUUGCAUAGUUUUAGAGAUUCGAUUUCACUCAAAACCCCUCAAAUGACUCCUCCCAACAAAUCAUCAUGUUCCCCAAGUUUUGGACUCAAUCCAAUAUCGAUUGGUCCAUGAAAUUGGACAAUUUUGGUUCGUACGAAGUUCGUUCUUAAAUGGGGUGGUUUGUGUGUUGCCUAGUUUAAGAUAUUGGAUUUCUCUCAAAGUGCUCCACAUGACUCCACCCACCAUAUUAUGAUGUUCCCCAUGUUUCGGAGUCAAUCCGAUAUCGAUUGGUCCAUGAAAUUAGACAAUUCAGGUUCGUACGAAGUUUGUUCAGAAAUUGGGUGGUUUGUGUUUUGCAUAGUUUAAGAUUUUGGAUUUCACUCAAAGAGCUCCAAAUGACUCCUCCCACCAUAUUAUGAUGUUCCCCAAGUUUUGGACUCAAUCCAAUAUCGAUUGGUCCAUGAAAUUGGACAAUUCAGGUUCGUACGAAGUUCGUUCUGAAAUUGAGGGGUUUGUGUUUUGCAUAGUUGUAAAUAUUGGAUUUCACUCAAAGAGCUCCAAAUGACUCCUCCCACCAUAUUAUGAUGUUCCCCAAGUUUUGGACUCAAUCCAAUAUCGACUGGUCCAUAAAAUUGGACAAUUCAGAUUCGUACGAAGUUCGUUCUGAAAUGUAGUGGCUCAUCUAUUGCAUAGUUUUAGAGAUUCGAUUUCACUCAAAACCCACCAAAUGACUCCUCCAACCAUAUUAUGGUGUUCCCCAAGUUUUGGACUCAAUCCGAUAUCGAUUGGUCCGUGAAAUUGGACAAUUCAGGUUCGUACGUAGUUCGUUCUGAAAUGGGGUGGUUCGUGUUUUGCAUAGUUUAAUAUAUUUUAUUUCACUCAAAGAGCACCAAAUGACUCCUCCCACCAUAUUAUGAUGUUCCCCAAGUUUUGGACUCAAUCCGAUAUCGAUUGGUCCAUGAAAUGGGACAAUUCCGGUUCGCACGAAGUUCAUUCUGAAAUGGAGAAGUUGGUCUUUUGCAUAAUUUUAGAGAUUCGAUUUCACUCAAAACCCACCAACUCACUCCUCCCACAAUAUUACGAUGUUCUCCAAGUUUUGGACUCGAUCCGAUAUCAAUUGGUCCAUGAAAUUGAACAAUUCAGGUUCGUACGAAGUUCCUUCCGAAAUGGGGUGGUUGGUGUAUUGCAUAGUUUUAGAUAUUCGAUUUCACUCAAAACCCACCAAAUAACUCCUCCCAACAUAUUAUGAUGUUCCCCAAGUUUUGGACUCAAUCCGAUAUCGAUUGGUCCAUGAAAUUGGACAAUUCAGGUUCGUACGAAGUUCGCUCUGAAAUGGAGUCGUUGGUGUAUUGUAUUGUUCUACAGAUUGGAUUUCACUCAAAACCGACAAAACGACUCCUCCCACCAUAUUAUGAUGUUCCCCAAGUUUUAGACUCAAUCUGAUAUGGAUUGGUCCAUGAAAUUGGACAAUUCAAGUUCGUACAAAGUUCGUUCUGAAAUUGACUGGUUGGUGUAUUGCAUAGUUUUAGCGAUUUGAUUUCACUCAAAAUCCAUUAAAUGACUCCUCCCACCAUAUUAUGAUGUUCCCCAAGUUUUGGACUCAAUCCGAUAUCGAUUGAUGAAUGAAAUUGGACAAUUCAGGUUCUUACGAAAUUCAUUCCGAAAUGGAGUGGUUGGUGUAUUGCAUAGUUUUAGAGAUUGGAUUUGACUCAAAACUCACCAAAUGACUCCUCCUAUCAUAUUAUAUUCUUCCCCAAGUUUUGGGCUCAAUUCGAUUUCGAUUGGUCCAAGAAAUUGGGCAAUUCAGGUUCAUACGAAGUUCGUUCUGAAAUGGAGUGGUUGGUGUAUUGCAUAGUUCUAGAGAUUGGAUUUCACUCAAAACCUACCAAAUGACUACUCCCACCAUACUAUGAUGUUCCUGAAGUUUUGGACUCAAUCCGAUUCGAUUGGUCCAUGAAAUCGGACAAUUCAGGUUCGUACAAAGUUCGUUCUAAAAUGGAGUGGUUUGUGUUUUGCAUAGUUUUAGAUAUUGGAUUUCACUCAAAGAGCACCAAAUGACUCCUACCACCAUAUUAUGAUGUUCCCCAAGUUUUGGACUCAAUCCGAAGUCGAUUGGUCCAAGAAAUUAGACAAUUCUAGUUCGUACGUAGUUUGUUCUGAAAUGGAGUGGUUGGUAGUUUUAGAUAUUGAAUUUCACUCAAAACCCCUCAAAUGACUCCUCCCAACAAAUCAUCAUGUUCCCCAAGUUUUGGACUCAAUCCGAUAUCGAUUGGUCCAUGGAAUUGCACAAUUCAGGUUCGUUUGAAGUUCGUUCUAAAUUGGAGUGGUCGGUGUAUUGCAUAGUUUUAGAGAUUGGAUUUCACUCAAAACUCACCAAAUGACUCCUGCCAUCAUAUUAUAUUGUUCCUCAAGUUUUGGGCUCAAUCCGAUAUCGAUUGGUCCAUGAAAUUGGACAAUUCAGGUUCGUACGAAGUUCGUUCUUAAAUGAAGUGGUCGGUGUAUUGCAUAGUUUUAGCGAUUGGAUAUCACUUAAAACUCACCAAAUCACUUCUCCCACGAUAUUAUGAUGUUUCCCAAGUUGUCGACUCAAUCCGAUAUCGAUUGGUCCACGAAAUUGGACAAUUCAGGUUCGUACGAAGUUCGUUCGGAAAUGGAGUGGUUGGUGUAUUGGAUAGUUUUAGAGAAUGGAUUUCAGUCAAAACUCACCAAAUGACCUCUCCCACCAGAUUAUGAUGUUCCCCAAAUUUUGGACUCAAUCUAAUAUCGAUUGGUCCAUGAAAUUAGACAAUUCAGGUUCUUACGAAGUUCGUUCUGAAAUGGAGUGGUUGAUUUAUUGCAUAGUUUUAGAGAUUGGAUUUCACUCAAAACACACCAAAUGACUCCCCCCACCAUGUUAUGAUGUUCCUCAAGUUUUGGACUCAAUCCGAUAUCGAUUGGUGCAUGAAAUUGGACAAUUCAGUUUCAUACAAAGUUCGUUAUGAAAUGGAGUGGUUGGUGUAUUGCGUAGUUCUAGAGAUUGGAUUUCACUCAAAACCUUCCAAAUGACUACUCCCACCAUACUAUGAUGUUUCCCAAGUUUUGGACUCGAUCCGAUACCGAUUGGUCCAUGAAAUUGGACAAUUCAGUUUCAUACGAAGUUCGUUAUGAAAUGGAGUGGUUGGUGUAUUGCAUAGUUCUAGGGAUUGGAUUUCACUCAAAACAAGCCAAAUGACUCCCCCCACCAUAUUACGUUGUUCCCCAAGUUUUCGACUCAAUCCGAUAUCGAUUGGCCCAUGAAAUUGGACAAUUCAGCUUCAUACGAAGUUCGUUAUGAAAUGGAGUGGUUGGUGUAUUGCAUAGUUCUAGAGGUUGGAUUUCACUCAAAACCUACCAAAUGACUACACCCACCAUACUAUGAUGUUCCCCAAGUUUUGGACUCAAUUCGAUAUCGCUUGGUACAUGAAAUCAGACAGUUCAGGUUCGUACGAAGUUCGUUCUGAAAUGGAGUGGUUGGUGUAUAGGAUAGUUUUAGGGAUUGGAUUUCACUCAAAACUCACCAAAUGACCUCUCCCACCAUAUUAUGAUGUUCCCCAAAUUUUGGACUCAAUCUGAUAUCAAUUGGUCCAUGAAAUUGGACAAUUCAGGUUCUUACGAAGUUCGUUCUGAAAUGGAGUGGUUGAUGUAUUGCAUAGUUUUAGAGAUUGGAUUUCACUCAAAACACACCAAAUAACUCCCCCCACCAUAUUAUGAUGUUCCCCAAGUUUUGGACUCAAUCCGAUAUCGAUUGGUCCAUGAAAUUGAACAAUUCAGUUUCGUACAAAGUUCGUUCUGAAAUGGGGUGGUUGGUGUAUUACGUAGUUCUAGAGAUUGGAUUUCACUCAAAACCUACCAAAUGACUACUCCCGCCAUACUAUGAUGUUUCUCAAGUUGUGGACUCGAUCCGAUAUCGAUUGGUCCAUGAAAUUGGACAAUUCAGUUUCAUACGAAGUUCGUUAUAAAAUGGGGUGGUUGGUGUAUUGCAUAGUUCUAGAGAUUGGAUUUCACUCAAAACAAGCCAAAUGACUCCCCCCACCAUAUUAUGAUGUUCCCCAAGUUUUCAACUCAAUCCGAUAUCGAUUGGCCCAUGAAAUUGGACAAUUCAGUUUCAUAUGAAGUUCGUUAUGAAAUGGAGUGGUUGGUGUAUUGCAUAGUCCUAGAGAUUGGAUUUCACUCAAAACCUACCAAAUGACUACACCCACCAUACUAUGAUGUUCCCCAAGUUUUGGACUCAAUUCGAUAUCGAUUGGUCCAUGAAAUCGGACAGUUCAGGUUCGUACGAAGUUCAUUCUAAAAUGGAGGGGUUGGUGUUUUGCAUAGUUUUAGAUAUUGGAUUUCACUCAAAGAGCACCAAAUGACUCCUCCCACCAUAUUAUGAUGUUCCCCAAGUUUUGGACACAAUCCGAAAUCGAUUGGUCCAAGAAAUUGGACAAUUCUGGUUCAUACGUAGUUCGGUCUGAAAUGGAGUGGUUGGUAGUUUUAGAUAUUGGAUUUCACUCAAAGCCCCUCAAAUGACUCCUCCCAACAUAUUAUGAUGUUCCCCAAGUUUUGGACUCAAUCCGAUAUCGAUUGGUCCAUGGAAUUGCACAAUUCAGGCUUGUAUGAAGUUCGUUCUGAAAUGGAGUGGUUGGUGUAUUGCAUAGUUUUAGAGAUUGGAUUUCACUCAAAACUCACCAAAUGACUCCUCCCAUCAUAUUAUAACGUUCUCCAAGUUUUGGGCUCAAUCCGAUAUCGAUUGAUCCAUGAAAUUAGACAAUUUGUGUUGAUACGAAGUUCGUUCUGAAAUGGAGUGGUUGAUGUAUUGCAUAGUUUUAGAGAUUGGAUUUCACUUAAAACUCACCAAAUCACUUCUCCCACGAUAUUAUGAGGUUCCCCAAGUUUUGGACUCAAUCCGAUAUCGAUUGGUCCAUGAAAUUGGACAAUUCAGGUUCGUACGAAGUUCGUUCGAAAAUGGAGUGGUUGGUGUAUUGCCUAGUUCUAGAGAUUGUAUCUCACUCAAAACCUACCAAACGACUCGUCCCACCAUACUAUCAUGUUCCCCAAGUUUUGGACAAAAUCUGAUAUCGAUUGGUCCUUGAAAUUGGACAAUUCAGGUUCUUACGAAGUUCGUUUUAAAAUGGAGUGGUUGAUUUAUUGCAUAGUUCUAGAGAUUGGAUUUCACUCAAAACCCACCAAAUGACUCCUCCCAGAAGAUUAUGAUGUUCCCCAAGUGUUGGACUCAAUCCGAUAUCGAUUAGUCCACGAAAUCGGACAAUUCAGGUUUGUACGAAGUUCGUUCUGAAAUGGGGUGGUUGAGGUAUUGUAUAGUUCUAGAGAUUGGAUUACACUCAAAACCUACAAAAUGACUACUCCCACCAUACUAUGAUGUUCCCCAAGUUUUGGGCUCAAUUUGAUAUCGAUUAGUCCACGAAAUCGGACAAUUCAGGUUUGUACGAAGUUCGUUCUGAAAUGAAGUGGUCGGUGUAUUGCAUAGUUUUAAAGAUUGGAUUUCACUUAAAACUAACCAAAUCACUUCUCCCACGAUAUUAUGAUGUUCCCCAAGUUUUGGACUCAAUCCGAUAUCGAUUCGCCGUGAAAUUGGACAAUUCAGUUUCAUAAGAAGUUUGUUCUGAAAUGGAGUGGUUGGUGUAUUGCAUAGUUCUAGGGAUUCUAUUUCACUCAAAACCUACCAAAUGACUACUCCCACCAUGCUAUGAUGUUCCCCAAGUUUUGGGUCAAAUCCGAUAUCGAUUGGUCCACGAAAUUGGACAAUUCAGGUUCGUACGAAGUUCGUUCCGAAAUGGAGUGGUUUGUGUUUUGCACAGUUGUAAAUAUUUGAUUUCACUCAAAGAGCACCAAAUGACUCCUCCCACCUUAUUAUGAUGUUCCCGAAGUUUUGGACUCAAUCCGAUAUCGAUUGGUCCACGAAAUUGGACAAGUCAGGUUCAUACGAAGUUCGUUCUGAAAGUGAGUGGUUGGGGUUUUGCAUAGCUUAAGACAUUGGAUUUCACUGAAAACACACCAAGUAACUCCUCCAACCAUAUUAUGAGGUUCUCCAAGUUUUGGACUCGAUCCGAUAUCGAUUGGUCCAUGAAAUUGGACAAUUGAGGUUCGUACGAAGUUCGUUCUGAAAUGAAGUGCAUCGGUUAUUGCAUAGUUUUAGAGAUUGGAUUUCACUUAAAACUCACCAAAUGACUUCUCCCACGAUAUUACGAUGUUCCCCAAGUUUUGGACUCAAUCUGAUAUCGAUUGGUCCAUGAAAUUGGACAAUCCAGGUUCCUACGAAGUUCGUUCGGAAAUGGAGUGGCUGGUGUGUUGCAUAGUUCUACAGAUUGGAUUUCACUCCAAACCUGCCAAAUGACUCCUCCCACAAUACUAUGAUGUUCCCCAAGUUUUGGACUCAAUCCGAUAUUGAUUGGUCCAUGAAAUUGGACAAUUCAGGUUCGUACGAAGUUCGUUCUGAAAUGAAGUGGUUGGUGUAUUGCAUAGUUGAAGAGAUUGGAUUUCACUUAAAACUCACCAAAUGACUUCUCCCACGAUAUUAUGAUGUUCCCCAAGUUUUGGACUCAAUCCGAUAUCGAUUGGUCCAUGAAAUUGGAUAACUCAGGUUCGUACGAAGUUCGUUCGGAAAUAGAGUGGCUGGUGUGUUGUAUAGUUCUGGGCACUGGAUUUCACUCAAAGCCUACCGAAUGACUCAUCCCACCAUACUAUGAUGUUCGCCAAGUUUUGGACUCAAUCCGACAUCUAUUGGUCCAUAAAAUUGGACAAUUCAGAUUCAUACGAAGUUCGUUCAAAAAUUGAGUGGUUUGUGUAUUGCAUAGUUGUAAAUAUUGGAUUUGACUCAAAGAGCACCAAAUGACUCCUCCCACCAUAUUAUGAUGUUCCCCAGUUUUUGGACUCAAUCCGAUAUCGAUUGGUCUAUGAAAUUGGACAAUUCAAUUCGUACAAAGUUCGCUCUGAAAUGGAGUGGUUGGUGUAUUGUAUAGUUUUAGAUUUUCGAAUUCACUAAAAACCCACCAAAUGACACCUCCCACCCUAUUUUGAUGUUCCCCAAGUUUUGGACUCAAUCCGAUAACGAUUGGUCUACGAAAUUGGACAAUUUAGGUUCAAACGAAGUUCGUUCGAAAAUGGAGUGGUUGGUGUAUUGUAUAGUUCAAGAGAUUGGAUUUCACUCAAAACCUACCAAAUGACUGCUUCCACCAUACUAUGUUGUUCCCAAAGUUUUGGUCUCAAUCCGAUAUAGAUUGGUCCAUGAAAUUGGACAAUUCAGGUUCGUACAAAGUUCGUUCUGAAAUUGAGUGGUUUGUGUUUUGCAUAGUUGUAAAUAUUGGAUUUCAAUCAAAGAGCACCAAAUGACUUCUCCCACCAUAUUAUGAUGUUCCCCAAGUUUUGGACUCAAUUCGAUAUCAAUUGGUCUAUGAAAUUGGACAAUUCAGCUUCGUACGAAGUUCGUUCCGAAAUGAAGAGCUUGGUGUAUUGCAUAGUUUUAGAGAUUGGAUUUCACUUAAAACUCACCAAAUGACUUCUCCCACGACAUUACGAUGUUCCCCAAGUUUUGGCCUCAACUCGAUAUCGAUUGGUCCGUGAAAUUGGACAUUUCAUGUUUGUACGAAAUUCUUUCGGAAAUGGAGUGGCUGUUGUAUUGCAUAGUUCUAGAGAUUGGAUUUCACUCCAAACCUACCAAAUAACUCCUUCCACCAUACUAUGAUGUUCCCUAAGUUUUGGACUCAAUCCGAUAUCGAUUGGUCCAUGAAAUUCGACAACUCAGGUUCUUACGAAGUUCUUUAUGAAAUGGAGUGGUUCAUGUAUUGCAUAGUUUAAGAGAUUCGAUUUCACUUAAAACUCGCCAAAUGACUUCUCCCAUGAUAUUAUGGUGUUCCCCAAGUUUUGGACUCAAUUCUAUAUCGAUUGGUCCAGGAAAUUGGACAAUUCAGGUUCAUACGAAGUUCGUUCUAAAAUGGAGUGGUUGGAGUUUUGCAUAGUUUUAGACAUUGGAGUUCACUCAAAACUCACCAAGUGACUCCUCCAACCAUAUUAUGAUGUUCUCCAAGUUUUGGACUCGAUCCGAUAUCGAUUGGUCCAAGAAGUUGGACAAUUCAGGUUCGUACGAAGUUCGUUAUGAAAUGAAGUGCUUGGUGUAUUGCGUAGUUUAGAGAUUCGAUUUCAUUUAAAACUCACAAAAUGACUUCUCCCACGAUAUUAUGAUUUUCCCCAUGUUUUGGACUCAAUCCGAUAUCGAUUGGUCUAUGAAAUUGGACAAUUCAAGUUCGUACGAAGUUCGUUUCGAAAUGGAGUGGCUGGUGUGUUGCAUAGUUCUGGAGACUGGAUUUCACUCAAAACCUACCAAAUGACUCUUCCCACCAUACUAUGAUGUUCGCCAAGUUUUGGACUCAAUCCGACAUCUAUUGGUCCAUGAAAUUGAACAAUUCAGGUUCGUACGAAGUUCGUUCUGAAAUUGAGUGGUUUGUGUUUCGCAUUGUUGUAAAUAUUGGAUUUCACUCAAAGAGUACCAAAUGACUCCUCCCGCCAUAUUAUGAUGUUCCCCAAGUUUUGGUCUCGAUCUGAUAUCGAUUGGUCCAUGAAAUUGGACAAUUCAGGUUCAUACGAAGUUCGUUCUGAAAUGGGGUGGUUGGUGUAUUACAUAGUUAAAGAGAUGGGAUUUCACUCAUAACCUACCAAAUGACUCCUCCCACCAUAUUAUGAUGUUCCCCCAGUUUUGGACUCAAUCCGAUAUCGAUUGGUCCAUGAAAUUGGACAAUUCAGGUUCGUACGAAGUUCAUUCUGAAAUGGAGUGGAUGGUGUAUUGCAUAGUUUUAGAUUUUCAAAUUCACUCAAAACCCACCAAAUGAGACCUCCCACCAUAUUUUGAUGUUCACCAAGUUUUGGACUCAAUCUGAUAUCGAUUGGUCUACGAAAUUCGACAAUUCAAGUUCGUACAAAGUUCGUUCGGAAAUGGAGUGGUUGGUGUAUUGCAUAGUUCAAGAGAUUGGAUUUCACUCAAAACCUACCAAAUGACUCCUCUCACCAUACUAUGUUGUUCCCAAAGUUUUGGACUCAAUCCGAUGACGAUUGGUCCCUGAAAUUGGACAAUUCAGGUUCGUAUGAAGUUCGUUCUGAAAUUGAGUGGUUUGUGUUUUGCAAAGUUGUAAAUAUUGGAUUUCACUCAAAGAGCCCCAAAUGACUCCUCCCACCAUAUUAUGAUGUUCCCCAAGUUUUGGACUCAAUCGGAUACCGAUUUGUCCAUGAAAUUGGACAAUUCAGGUUCGUACGAAGUUCAAUCUAAAUUGGAGUGGUUGGUGUAUUGCUUAGUUCUAGAGAUUGGAUUUACUCAUAACCUACCAAAUGACUACUCCCACAAUACUAAGAUGUUCCCCGAGUUUCGGACUCAAUCUGAUAUCGAUUGGUCCAUGAAAUUGGACAAUUCAGGUUCGUACGAAAUUCAUUCUGAAAUGAAGUGCUUGGUGUAUUGCAGAGUUUUAGAGAUUGGAUUGCACUUAAAACUCGCCAAAUGACUUCUCCCACGACAUUACGAUGUUCCCCAAGUUUUGGACUCAAUCCGAUAUCGAUUGGGCCAUGAAAUUGGACAAUUCAGGUUCGCACGAAGUUCGUUCGGAAAUGGAUUGGCUGGUGUAUUGCAUAGUUCUAGAGAUUGGAUUUCACUCAAAACCUACCAAAUGACUCCUCCCACCGUACUAUGAUGUUCCCCAAGUUUUGGACUCAAUCCGAUAUCGAUUGGUCCAUGAAAUUGGACAAUUCAGGUUCGUACGAAGUUCGCUCUGAAAUGGAGUGAUCGGUGUAUUGCAUAGUUUUAGAGAUUGGAAUUCACUCAAAACUCACCAAAUGACUCCCCCCAUGAUACUAUGGUGUUCCCCAAGUUUUGGACUCAAUCCGAUAUUGAUUGGUCCACGAAAUUGGACAAUUCAGGUUCAUACGAAGUUCGUUAUGAAAGGGAGUGGUUGGAGUUUCGCAUAGUUUUAUACAUUGGAUUUACUCAAAACGCACCAAAUGAGUCCUCCCACCAUUUUAUGAUGUUCCCCAAGUUUUGGACUCAAUCUGAUAUCGAUUGGUCCGUGAAAUUGGAUAAUUCAAUUUCGUACGUAGUUCGUUCUGAAAUGGAGUGGUUGGUGUAUUGCACAGUUCUAGAGAUUGUAUUUCACUCAAAACCUACCAAAUGACUCUUCCCAUCAUACUACGAUGUUCCCCAAGUUUUGGACUCAAUCCAAUAUCGAUUGGUCCAUGAAAUUGGACAAUUCAGGUUCGUACGUAGUUCGUUCUGAAAUGGAGUGGUUUGUGUUUUGCAUAGUUUUAGAUAUUGGAUUUCACUCAAGCAGCACCAAAUGACUCCUCUAAACAUAUUAUGAUGUUCCCCAAGUUUUGGACUCAAUCCGAUAUCGAUUGCUCCCAGAAUUGGACAAUUCAAGUUCGUACGAAGUUCGUUCUGAAAUCGAGUGGAUGGUGUAUUGAGUAGUUUUAGAGAUUGGAUUUCCCUCAGAGAACACCAAAUGACUCCUCCCACCCUAUUAUGAUGUUCCCCAAGUUUUGGACUCAAUCCUAUAUCGAUUGGUCUAUGAAAUUGGACAAUUUAUGUUCGUACGAAGUUCGUUCUGAAAUGGAGUGGUUGGUGUAUUACAUAGUUUUAGAGAUUGGAUUUCACUCAAAACUCACCAAAUGACUCCUCCCACCACAUUAUGAUGUUCCCAAGUUUUGGACUCAAUCCGAUAUUGAUUGGUCCAUGAAAUUGGACAAUUCACGUUCGUAAGAUGUUCGUUCUGAAAUGGAGUGGUUGGUGUAUUGCAUAGUUUUAGAGAUUGGAUUUCACUCAAAACUCCCCAAAUGACUCCUCCCAUCAUGUUAUAAUGUUCCCCGUGUCUUGGGCUCAAUCUGAUAUCGAUUGGUUCAUGAAAUUGGACAAGUCAGUUUCUUACGAAGUUCGUUCUGAAAUGGCGUGGUUGGUGUAUUGCACAGUUUUAGAGAUUAGAUUUAGCGCAAAACCUACCAAAUGACUCCUCCCAUCAUACUAUGAUGUUCACAAAGUUUUGGACUCAAUCCGAUAUCAAUUGGUCCAUGAAAUUGGACAAUUUAGGUUCGUAUGAAGUUCGUUCUAAAAGGGAGUGGUUGGAAUUUUGCAUAGUUUUAGACAUUGGAUUUCACUCAAAACUCACUAAGUGACUCCUCCCACCAUAUUACGAUGUUCCCCAAGCUUUGGACUCAAUCCGACAUCGAUUGGUCCACGAAAUUGGACAAUUCAGGUUCAUACGAAGUUUGUUCUGAAAGGGAGUGGUUGGAGUUUUGCAAAGUUUUAGACAUUGGAGUUCACUCAAAACUCACUAAGUGACUCCUCCCACCAUAUUACGAUGUUCCCCAAGCUUUGGACUCAAUCCGACAUCGAUUGGUCCACGAAAUUGGACAAUUCAGGUUCAUACGAAGUUUGUUCUGAAAGGGAGUGGUUGGAGUUUUGCAAAGUUUUAGACAUUGGAGUUCACUCAAAACUCACCAAGUGACUCCUCCAACCAUAUUAUGAUGUUCUCCAAGUUUUGGACUCGAUCCGAUAUCGAUUGGUCCAAGAAGUUGGACAAUUCAGGUUCGUACAAAGUUCGUUCUGAAAUGAAGUGCUUGGUGUAUUGCAUAGUUUAGAUAUUCGAUUUCAUUUAAAGCUCACCAAAUGACUUCACCCACGAUAUUAUGAUGUUCCCCAUGUUUUGGACUCAAUCCGAUAUCGAUUGGUCUAUGAAAUUGGACAAUUCAGGUUCGUACGAAGUUCGUUCGGAAAUAGAGUGGCUGGUGUGUUGCAUAGUUCUGGAGACUGAAUUUCACUCAAAACCUACCAAAUGACUCUUCCCACCAUACUAUGAUGUUCGCCAAGUUUUGGACUCAAUCCGACAUCUAUUGGUCCACGAAAUUGAACAAUUCAGGUUCGUACGAAGUUCGUUCUGAAUUUGAGUGGCCUGUGUUUCGCAUUGUUGUAAAUAUUGGAUUUCACUCAAAGAGUACCAAAUGACUCCUCCCGCCAUAUUAUGAUGUUCCCCAAGUUUUGGACUCGAUCUGAUAUCGAUUGGUCCAUGAAAUUGGACAAUUCAGAUUCAUACGAAGUUCGUUCUGAAAUGGAGUGGUUGGUGUAUUACAUAGUUCAAGAGAAGGGAUUUCACUCAUAACCUACCAAAUGACUCCUCCCACCAUAUUAUGAUGUUCCCCCAGUUUUGGACUCAAUCCGAUAUCGAUUGGUCCAUGAAAUUGGACAAUUCAGGUUCGUACGAAGUUCAUUCUGAAAUGGAGUGGAUGGUGUAUUGCAUAGUUUUAGAUUUUCAAAUUCACUCAGAACCCACCAAAUGACACCUCCCACCAUAUUUUGAUGUUCGCCAAGUUUUGGACUCAAUCUGAUAUCGAUUGGUCUACGAAAUUCGACAAUUCAAGUUCUUACAAAGUUCGUUCGGAAAUGGAGUGGUUGGUGUAUCGAUGGGUUCAUGAAAUUGGACAAGUCAGGUUCUUACGAAGUUCGUUCUGAAAUGGCGUGGUUGGUGUAUUGCACAGUUUUAGAGAUUAGAUUUCGUUAAAAACCUACCAAAUGACUCCUCCCAUCAUACUAUGAUGUUCACCAAGUUUUGGACUCAAUCCGAUAUCAAUUGGUCCAUGAAAUUGGACAAUUCAGGUUCGUACGAAGUUCGUUCUAAAAUGGAGGGGUUGGUAUGUUGCGUAGUUCUAGACAUUGGAUUUCACUCAGAACCUACCUAAUGACUCCUCCCACCAUAUUAUCAUGUUCCCCAAGUUUUGGACCCAAUCCGAUAUCGAUUGGUCUAUGAAAUUGGACCAUUCAGGUUCGUACAAAGUUUGUAAUUUUAGAGAUUGAAUUUCACUCAAAAUGCACCAAAUGACUUCUCCCACCAUAUCGAUUGGUCCACGAAAUUGGACAAUUCUGAUUCGUACGAAGUCCGCUUUAAAAUGGUGUGGUUGGUGUAUUGCAUAGUUUUAGAGAUUGAAUUUCAGUCAAAAAGCACCAAAUGAAUCCUCCCCCAAUAUUAUGAUGUUCCCCAAUUUUGGGACUCAAUCCGAUAUCGAUUGGUUCAUGAAAUUGGACAAUUCAGGUUCUUACGAAGUUCGUUAUGUAUUGCAGUGGUUGGUGUUUUGCACAGUUUUAGAGAUUGCAUUUUACUCAAAAGCCACCAAAUGAAUCCUCCCAUCAUAUUAUGAUGUUCCCCAAGUUUUGGACACAAUCCGAGAUCGAUUGGUCCACGAAAUUGGACAAUUCAGGUUCGUACGAAGUUUGUUAUGAAAUGGAGUGGUUGGUGUUUUUCAAAGCUUUAGAGAUUGGAUUUCACUUAAAAAGCACCAUACAACUCCUCCCACCAUGUUAUGAUGUUCCCAAUUUUGGGACACAAUCCGAUAUCGAUUGGUCCAUUGAAUUGGACAAUUCAGGUUCGAACGAAGUUCGCUCCGAAAUGGAGUGGUUUGUGUUUUGCAUAGUUUUAGAUAUUGGAUUUCACUCAAAGAGCACCAAAUGACUCCUCCCACCAUAUUAUGAUGUUCCCCAAGUUUUAGGCUCACUCUGAUAUCGAUUGGUCCAUUAAAUUGGAUAAUUCAAGUUCGUGUGAAGUUUAUUCUGAAAUGGAGUGGUUGGUGUAUUGCAUAGUUUUAGGGAUUGAAUUUCACUCAAAACUCACCAAAUGACUUCGCCCAUUAUGUUAUAAUGUUCCCUAAGUUUUGGGCUCAAUCCGAUAUCGAUUGGUCCGUUAAAUUGGAUAAUUCAAGUUCAUGCGAAGUUCGUUCUGAAAUGAAAUGGUUGGUGUAUUGCAUAGUUUUAGAGAUUGGAUUACACUCAAAACCCACCAAAUGACUCAUCCCACCACAUUAUGAUGUUGAACAAGUUUUGGACUCAAUCCGAUAUCGAUUGGACCAUGAAAUUGGACAAUUCAGGUUUGUAUGAAGUUCAUUCUAAAAUGGAGUGGUUGGUGUACUGCAUACUUUUAAAGAUUCGAUUUCACUCAAAACCCACCAAAUGACUCCUCCCACCACAUUAUGAUGUUUCCCAAGUUUUGGACUCAAUCCGAUUUCGAUUGGUCCAUGAAAUUGGACAAUUCAGGUUCAUACGAAGUUCGUUCUGAAAUGGAAUGGUUAUGUAUUGCAUUGUUCUAGAGAUUGGAUUUCACUCAAAACCUACCAAAUGACUCCUCCCACUAUACUAUGAUGUUCCCCAGGUUUUGGACACAAUCCGAUAUCGAUUGGUCCAUGAACUUACACAAUUCAGGUUCUUACGAAGUUCGUUCUGAAGUGGUUGGUGCACUGCAUAGUUUUAGAUAUUGGAUUUCACUCAAAACUCACCAAAUGACUCCUCCCACCAUAUUAUGAUGUUCCCCAAGUUUUGGACUGAAUCUGAUUUCGAUUGGUCCAUGAAAUUGGACAAUUCAGGUUCGUACGAAGUUCGUUCUGAAAUGAAGUGGUUGUUGUAUUGCAUAGUUUUAGAGAUUCUAUUUCUCUCAAAACCCACCAAAUGACUUCUUCCACCAUAUUAUGAUGUUCCCCAAGUUUUGGACUCAAUCCGAUAACGAUUGGUCCAUAAAUUGGAUAAUUCCGGUUCUUACGAAGUUCGUUCUGAAAUGGAGUGGUUUGUGUUUUGCAUAGUUUUAGGUAUUUGAUUUCACUGAAAGAGCAAUAAAUAAUUCCUCUCACCAUAGUAUGAUGUUCCCCUAGUUUUGGACUCAAUCUGAUAUCGAUUGGUCCAUUAAAUUAGACAAUUCAAGUUCGUGCGAAGUCCAUUCUGAAAUGGAGUGGUUGGUGUAUUGCAUAGUUUUAGAGACUGGAUUUUACUCAAAACUCACCAAAUGACUUCGCCCAUCAUGUUAUAAUGUUCUCCAAGUUUUGGGCUCAAUCCGAUAUCGAUUGGUCCAUUAAAUUGGAUAAUUCAAGUUCGUACGAAGUUCGUUCUGAAAUGAAGUGGCUGGUGUAUUGCAUAGUUUAUAGAUUGGAUUUCACUCAAAACUCACGAAAUGACUCCUCCCACCACAUUAUGAUGUUCCCCCAGUUUUGGACUCAAUCCGAUUUUGAUUGGUCCAUGAAAUUGGACAAUUCAGGUUCGUACGAAGUUCAUUCUGAAAUGGAAUGGUUGUGUAUUGCAUACUUCUAUAGAUUGGAUUUCACUCAAAACCUACCAAAUGACUCCUCCCGCCACAUUAUGAUGUUCCCCAAGUUUUGGACUCAAUCCGAUUUCGAUUGGUCCAUGAAAUUGGACAAUUCAAGUUCGUACGAAGUUCGUUCUGAAAUGAAGUGGUUGGUGUUGUGCAUAGUUUUAGAGAUUGGAUUUCACUCUAAACCCACCAAAUGACUCCUCCUACCAUAUUAAGUUGUUCCCCAAGUUUUGGACACAAUCCGAUAUCGAUUGGUCCAUAAAAUUGGACAAUUCAGGUUCGUACGAAGUUCGUUCUGAAAUGGAGUGGUUUGUGUUUUGCAUAGUUUUGGAAAUUAGAUUUCACUCAAAACACACCAAAUGACUCCUCCCACCAUAUUAUGAUGUUCCCCAAGUUUUGGACUCAAUCCUAUAUCAAUUGGUCCAUGAAAUGGACAAUUCAACUUCGUACGAAGUUCGUUCCGAAAUGGAGUGGUUUGUGUUUUGCAUAGUUUUAGAGAUUAGAUUUCGCUCAGCACCCACCAAAUGUCUCUUCCCACCAUAUUAUGAUGUUCACCAAGUUUUGGACUCAAUCCGAUAUCGACUGGCCAAGGAAAUUGGACAAUUCAGGUUGAUACGAAGUUCUUUCUUAACUAGAGUGGUUGGUGUAUUGCAUAGUUUUAGAGAUUGGAUUUCACUCUAAUCCCCCCCAAUGACUCCUCCCACCAUAUUAUGAUGUUCCCCAAGUUUUGGACUCAAUUCAAUAUCGAUUGUUCCAUGAAAUUGGACAAUUCAAGUUCAUACGAAGUUCGUUCUGAUAUGGAGAGGUUUGUGUUUUGCAUAGUUUUAGAGAUUGGAUUUCACUCAAAACUCACCAAAUGACUCGUCCCACCAUAUCACGAUGUUCACCAAGUUUUGGACUCAAUCCGAUAACGACUGGUCCAUGAAAUAGGACAAUUCAGAUUCAUACGAAGUUCGUUCUGAAAUAGAGUGGUUGGUGUAUUACAUAGUUUUAGAGAUUGGAUUUCACUCAAAACUCACCAAACGACUCCUCCCACCACAUUAUGAUGUUCCCCAAGUUUUGGACUCAAUCCUAACGAUUGGUCCUUGAAAUUGGACAAUUUAGGUUCGUACGAAGUUCUUUCUGAGAUGGAGUGGUUGGUGUAUUGCAUAGUUUUAGAGACUGGGUUUCCCUCAAAAGUCACCAAAUGACUCCUCCCUCCAUAUAAUGAUGUUCCCGAAGUUUUGGACACAAUCCGAUAUCAAUUGGUCCAUGAAAUUGGACAAUUCAGGUUCGUACAAAUGGGGUGGUUUGUGUUUUGCAUAGUUUAAGAUAUUGGAUUUCACUCAAAGAGCACCAAAUGACUCCUCCUACCAUAUUAUGAUAUUCCCCAGGUUUUGGACUCGAUCCGAUAUCAAUUGGUCCACGAAAUUGAACAAUUCAGGUUCGUACGAAGUUCGUUCUGAAAUGGAGCGGUUUGUGUUUUACAUAGUUUUAGAGAUUGGAUUUCACUUAAAACUCACCAAAUGACUCGUCCCACCACAUUACGAUGUUCCCCAAGUUUUGGACUCAAUCCGAUAACGACUGGUCCAUGAAAUUGGACAAUUCAGAUUCAUACGAAGUUCGUUGUGACAUAGAGUGGUUGGUGUAUUGCAUAGUUUUACAGAUUGGAUUUCACUUAAAACCCACCAAAUGACUCCUCCCACCAUAUUAUGAUGUUCCCGAAGUUUUGGACUCAAUCCGAUAACGAUUGGUCCACGAAAUUGGACAAUUUAGGUUCGUACGAAGUUCUUUCUGAAAUGGAGUGGUUUGUGUUUUAGCAUAGUUUUAGAGAUUGGAUUUCACUCAAAACUCACCAAAUGACUCCUCCCACCAUAUUAUGAUGUUCCCCAAGUUUUGGACUCAAUCCGAUAUAGGUUGGUCCAUGAAAUUGGACAAUUCAACUUUGUGCGAAUUUCGUUCUAAAAUGGAGUGAUUCGUGUAUUGCAUUGUUUGAGAGACUAGAUUUCACUCAAAACUCACCAAAUCACUCUUCCCACCAUAUUAUGAUGUUCCCCAAGUUUUGGACUCCACCGAAAUCGAUUGGUCCAUGAAAUUGGACAAUUCAACUUUUUACGAAGUUCGUUAUGAAAUGAAGUGGUUGGAUUAUUGCAUAGUUUUAGAGAUAGGAUUUCACUCAAAACACACCAAAUGACUUCUCCCACCAUAUUAUGAUGUUCCCUAAGUUUUGGACUCAAUCCGAUAAUGAUUGGUCCAUAAAAUUGGACAAUUCAGGUUCGUACGAAGUUCUUUCUGAAAUGGAGUGGUUUGUGUUUUGCAUUGUUUUAGAGAUUGAAUUUCACUCAAAACUCACCAAAUGACUCCUCCCACCAUAUUAUGAUGUUCCCCAAGUUUUGGACUAAAUCCGAUAUAGGUUGGUCCAUGAAAUUGGACAAUUCAGGUUCAUACAAAGUUCGUUCUGAAAUUGAGUGGUUGGUGUUUUGCAUAGUUUUAGAGAUUGGAUUUCACUCAAAAAUUACAAAAUGACUCCUUCCACCAUAUUAUGAUAUUCCCCAAGUUUUGGACUCAAUCUGAUAUCGAUUGGUCCACGAAAUUGGACAAUUCAAGUUCGUACGAAGUUCGUUCUCAAAUGGAGUGGGUUUUGUUUGGCAUAGUUUUUGAUAUUGGAUUUCACUCAAAACCCACCAAAUGACUACUCCCACCAUAUUAUGAUGUUCCCGAAGUUUUGGACUCAAUCCGAUAUCGACUGGUGCAUGAAAAUGGAAAAUUGAGAUUCGUACGAAGUUCGUUCUGAAAUGGAGUGGUUUGUGUAUUGCAGAGUUUUAGAAAUUGGAUUUCACUCAAAACCCACCAAAUGACUCCUUCCACCAUAUUUUGAUGUUCCCCAAGUUUUGGACAAAAUCCGAUAUUGAUUGGUCCAUGAAAUUGGACAACUCAGGUUCGUACGAAGUUCGUUCUGAAAUGGAGUGGUUGGUGUAUUGCAUAGUUUUAGAGAUUGGAUUUCACUCAUAACUCACCAAAAGACUCCCCCCACCAUAUUGUGAUGUUUCCCAAGUUUUGGACUCAAUCCGAUAUCGACUGGUCCAUGAAAAUGGACAAUUGAGAUUCGUACGAAGUUUGUUCUGAAAUGGAGUGGUUUGUGUAUUGCAGAGUUUAAGAGAUUGGAUUUCACUCAAAACCCACCAAAUGACUCCUUCCACCAUAUUUUGAUGUUCCCCAAGUUUUGGACAAAAUCCGAUAUCGAUUGGUCCAUGAAAUUGGACAACUCAGGUUCGUACGAAGUUCGUUCUGAAAUGAAGUGGUUGGUAUAUUGCAUAGUUUAUAAGAUUGGAUUUCACUCAAAACUCACCAAAAGACUCCCCCCACCAUAUUAUGAUGUUCCCCAAGUUUUGGACUCAAUCCGAUUCGAUUGGUCCAUCAAAUUGGACAAUUCAGGUUCGUCCGAAGUUCGUUCUGAAAUGGAGUGGUUGGUGUAUUGCACAGUUCUUGAGAUUGGAUUACACACAUAACCUACCAAACUACUCCUCCCUCCAUAUUACGUUGUUCCCCAUGUUUUGGACUCAAUCCGAUAUCGAUUGGUCAACGAAAUUGGACAAUUCAGGUUCGUACAAAGUUCGUUCUGAAAAGGAGUGAUUGGUGUUUUGCUUAGUUUCAGACAUUGGAUUUCACUCAAAACAAACCAAAUAACUCCUCCCACCAAAUUAUGAUGUUCCCCAACUUUUGGGCUGAAUCAGAUAUCGAUUGGUCCUUGAAAUUGGACAAUUCAAGUUCGUAUGAAGUUCGUUCAGAAAUUGAGUGGUUGGUUUAUUGCAUGGUUCUUGAGAUUGGAUUUCACUCAUAACCUACCAAAUGACUCCUCCCACCAUAUUCUCUUGUUCCCCAUGUCUUGGACGCAAUCCGAUGUCGAUUGGUCCACAAAAUUAGACAUUUCAGGUUUGUACGAAGUUCGUUCUGAAAUGGAGUGGUUGGUGUAUUGUAUAGUUCUUGAUAUUGGAUUUCACUCGUAACCUGCCAAAUGACUCGUCCCACCAUAUUAUCAUGUUCCCCAUGUUUUGGACUCAAUCCAAUAUCGAUUGGUCCAUCAAAUUGGACAAUUCAAGUUCGUACGAAGUUCAUUCUGAAAUGGAGUGGUUGGUGUUUUUCGUAGUUUUAGACAUUGGAUUUCACUCAAAACAAACCAAAUAACUCCACCCACCAUAUUAUAAUAUUCCCCAAGUUUUGGACUCAACCCGAUAUCGAUUUGUCCACGAAAUUGGACAAUUCAGGUUCGUACGAAGUUCGUUCUGAAAAGGAGUGAUUGGUGUUUUGCAUAGUUUCAGACAUUGGAUUUCACUCAAAACAAACCAAAUAACUCCUCCCACCAAAUUAUGAUGUUCCCCAACUUUUGGACUCAAUCCGAUAUCGAUUGGUAAAUGAAAUUGGACAAUUCAAGUUCGUCCGAAGUUUGUUCCAAAACGGAGUGGUUGGUGUAUUGCAUAGUUCUUUAGAUUGGAUUUCCCACAUAACCUACCAAACGACUCCUCCCACCAAAUUAUGAUGUUCCCCAACUUUUGGACUCAAUCAGAUAUCGACUGGUCCACGAAAUUGGACAAUUCAGUUUCGUACGAAGUUUGUUCUACAAUGGAGUGGUCAGUGUGUUGCAUAGUUUUAGAGAUUAGAUUUCACUCAAAACUCCUCAAAUGACUCCUCCCACCUUAUUAUGAUGUUCCCCAAGUUUUAAACUCAACCGGUAUCGAUUGGUGUAUGAAAUCGGACAAUUCAUGUUCAUACUAAGUUCGUUAUGAAAUGGAGUGAUUGGUGUUUUGCAUAGUUUUAGACAUCGGAUUUCACUCAAAAAAAACCAAACAACUACUCCCUCCAAAUUAUGAUGUUCCCCAACUUUUGGACUCAAUCCGAUUUCGAUCGGUCCAUGAAAUUGGACAAUUCAGGUUCGUACGAAGUUCGUUCUGAAAUGGAGUGGUCGGUGUAUUGCAUAGUUCUUGAGAUUGGAUUUUACUCAUAACCUACCAAAUGACUCCUCCCACCGUAUUAUGAUAUCCACAAGUUUUGGACUCAAUCCGAUAUCGAUUAGUCCACGAACUUGGACAAUUCAGGUCCAAACGAAGUUCGUUCUGAAAAAGAGUGGUUGGUGUGUUUCAUAGUUUCAGAGAUUGGAUUUCACUCAAAACACCCCAAACGACUCCACCCACCAUAUUAUGAUGUUCCCCAAGUUUUUAACUCAAUCCGAUAUCGAUUGGUCCAUCAAAUUGGACAAUUCAGGUUCGUACAAAGUUCGCUCUGAAAUGGAGUGGCUGGUGUAUUGCACAGUUCUUGAGAUUGGAUUGCACACAUAACCUACCAAACUACUCCUCCCUCCAUAUUACGAUGUUCCCCAUGUUUUGGACUCAAUCCGAUAUCGAUUGGUCCACGAAAUUGGACAAUUCAGGUUUGUACAAAGUUCUUUCUGAAAUAGAGUGGUUGGUGCAUUACACAGUUCUUCAGAUUGGAUUUCACUCAUAACCUACCAAUUGACUCCUCCCACCAUAUUAUGAUGUUCUCCAAGUUUUGGACUCAAUCCGAUAUCGAUUGGUCCACGAAAUUGGACAAUUCAGGUUCGUACAAAGUUCCUUCUGAAACGGAGUGGUUGGUGUUUUGCAUAGUUUUAGAAAUUGGAUUUCACUAAAAAAAAAAACUCCCCAAAUGACUCCUCCCACCACAUUAUGAUGUUCCCCAAGUUUUGGACUCAACCCGGUAUCGAUUGGUCUAAGAAAUUGAACAAUUCAGGUCCGUACGAAGUUCGUUCUAAAAUGGAGUGGUUUGUGUUUUACGUAAUUUUAGAUAUUGGAUUUCACUCAAAGAGCACCAAAUGACUCCUCCCACCAUAUUAUGAUGUUCCCCUAUUUUUGGACUCAAUCCGAUAUCGAUUGGUCCACGAAAUUUCACAAUUCAGGUUCGUACGAAGUUCUUACUGAAAUGGAGUGGUUUGUGUUUUGCAUAGUUUUAGAUAUUGAAUUUCACUCAAAGAGCACCAAAUGACUCCUCCCAGCAUAUUAUGAUAUUCCCCAAGUUUUGGACUCAAUCCGAUAUCGAUUGGUCCAUGAAAUUGGACAAUUUAUGUUCGAACGAAGUUCGUUAUGAAAUGGAGUGGUUGUUAUAUUGCAUAGUUUUAGAGAUUGGAUUUCACCCAAAAUAAACCAAAUGACUCCUCCCACCAUAGUAUAAUGUUCCCAAAGUUUUGGAUUCAAUCUGAUAUCAAUUAGUCCAUGAAAUUGGACUAUUCAGGUUCGUACGAAGUUCAUUCUGAAAUGCAGUGGUUGGUCUAUUGCAUAGUUUUAGAUAUUGGAUUUCAGUCAAAGAGCACCAAAUGACUCCUCCCACCAUGUUAUAAUGUUCCCCAAGUUUUGGACUCAAUCUGAUAGUGAUUGGUCCAUAAAAUUGGACAAUUCAGGUUCAUACGAAGUUCGUUCUGAAAUGGAGUGGUUGGUCUAUUGCAUAGUUUUAGAGAUCGGAUUUCACUCAAAACUAACCAAAUGACUCCUCCCAUCAUAUUAUAAUGUUCCCCAAGCGUUGGGCUCAAUCCGAUAUCGAUUAGUCCAUGAAAUUGGAUAAUUCAGGUUCGUACGAAGUUUGUUCUGAAAUGGAGCGGUUGGUCUAUUGCAUAGUUUUAGAGAUUGGAUUUCACUCAAAACCCACCAAAUGACUCCUCCCACCAUAUUAUGAUGUUCCCCAAGUUUUGUUCUCAAUUCGAUAUCGAUUGGCCUAGGAAAUUGGACAAUUGAGGUUCGUACGAAGUUCGUUAUGAAAUGGAGUGGUUUGUGUUUCCCAUAGUUUUAGAUAUUGGAUAUCACUCAAAGAGCACAAAAUGACUCCUCCCACCAUAUUAAGAUGUUCUCCAAGUUUUGGACACAAUUCGAUAUCGAUUGGUCCAUGAAAUUGGACAAUUCAGGUUCAUACGAAGUUCGUUCAGAAAUAUAGUGGUUUGUGUUUUGCAUAGUUUUAGAUAUUGGAUAUCACUCAAAGGGGACCAAAUGCCUCCUCCCACCAUGUUAAGAUGUUCCCCAAGUUUUGGACUCAAUCCGAUAUCGAUUGGUCCAUGAAAUUGGACAAUUCAGGUUUCGUACGAAGUUCAUUCUGAAAUAGAGUAGUUAGUGUAUUGCAUAGUUUUAGAGAUUGGAUUACACUACAAACAUACCAAAUGACUCCUCCCACGAUCUUAUGAUGUUCCUUAAGUUUUGGACUCAAUAUGAUAUCGAUUGGUCUAUGAAAUUGGACAAUUCAAGUUCGUACGAAGUUCAUUAUAAAAAGGUGUGGUUGGUGUAUUGCAUAGUUUUAGAACCAAAUGACUCCUCCCACCAUAUUAUGAUGUUCCCCAAGUUUUGGACUCAAUCCGAUAUCGAUUGGCCCAGGAAAUUGGACAAUUCAGGUUCGUAAGAAGUUCGUUCUGAAAUGGAGUGGUUUGUGUUUUGCAUAGUUUUAGAUAUUGGAUUUCACUCGAAGAGCACCAAAUGAGUCGUCCCACCAUAUUAUGAUGUUCCCCGUGUUUUAGACCCAAUCCGAUAUCGGUUGGUCCAUGAAAUUUCACAAUUCAGGUUCGUACGAAGUUCUUUCUGAAAUAGAGUGGUUGGUGUAUUGCAUAGUUUUAGAGAUUGGAUUUCACUCAAAACCCACCAAAUGACUCGUCCCACCAUAUUAUGUUGUCCCCCAAGUAUUGGACUCAAUUCGAUAUCGGUUGGUACAUGAAAUUGGACAGUUCAGUUUCGUAUGAAGUUCUUUCUGAAAUGAAGUGGUUGGUGUAUUGCAUGGUUCUAGAGAUUGGAUGUCACUUAAAACCUACCAAAUGACUCCUCCCACCAUACUAUGAAGCUCCCUAAGUUUUGGACUUAAUCCGAUAUCGAUUGGUCCAUGAAAUUGGACAAUUCAGGUUCGUACGAAGUUCGUUCUAAAAUGGAGUGGUUAGCAUUUCCCAUAGUUUUAGAUAUUGGAUAUCACUCAAAGAGCACAAAAUGACUCCUCCCACCAUAUUAAGAUGUUCUCCAAGUUUUGGACUCAAUCCGAUAUCGAUUGGUCUAUGAAAUUGGACAAUUCAGGUUCGUACGAAGUUCAUUCUGAAAUAUAAUGGUUUGUGUUUUGCAUAGUUUUACAUGCUUGAUAUCACUCAAAGAGCACCAAAUGACUUCUCCCACCAUAUUAAGGUGUUCCCCAAGUUUGGGACUCAAUCCGAUAUCAGAUGGUCCCUCAAAUUGGACCAUUCAGGUUCGUACGAAGUUCGUUCUGAAAUAUAG